rnacentral:lncRNA from 1 species
UCCAGUUGACCGAACUGGGCGGCGAUGUGGAGUAUCGUGUUAUGCUUUGGGGUUAAAUGGACUAGUAAGUCAUGAUCUGAAAUUUUUUCGAGGACUUUAAUGUUCCCCCUUGCUGCCGCCUUGUACACUUUCGCAUCCAUGCCUGUGAUGACAGUGUGGCUGCCAUCUCCAUUUGCAGCCUGGUUGGAGGUCUGGGCUGGGCUAGGAUCUUGAGCUACAACCUGAUUGGAAUUAGAAUCCAUGUCAAUAUUCUGAAAUUCUGCACUGAGGUUCGAAGCACGCAGCUUUCAAACCACCAAAUAUAGCCUUUAAUUUCUAUGUUUUUCUUUUAUAUUAAUAGAAUGUCAUUGAAAUAUUUUGCCAGCUCAUGUACGACAACUGUGGAAAGGACGGACAACACCGUUGAGUUAAAUAUGAUAGAAUACGUUGAUUACUUGUGUGGUGGAGAGGAGGCGCUCAAUUUUUCUUUUUCUUUUUUCCUUGAGUGGUCGGGAAAAAGUUGGUGAGUGAUAAUUGCUGUAAAGAAAGAGAAGGAAGAGGCAGGGAAAUAUUUCCAGAAAAGCUUUAGUACUCUGAUUUGUCCAUGUAUAUAAAUAUAGUUUUGAUAGCUGUAAAAUAUUAUGUUUCAAACAUACAUACAACAUACUGUUUCCUACUUAUCCUACGCACACAGCACCUUUUUUGGACUUUCUUGCAAUUUUAUUCACGUGAUUGUCCUACGCACGCACAGCACCUUUUUUUGAACUUUCUUGCAAUGUUAUUCACGUGAUUUCCGGUCUAAUACCAAAACGGAAAAGGGAAUACCUGGACGGAUGUUGUUGCCUCCAAUAAAAGGUUGUGUGGUUUGAAAAUAAUCACAUUGUUAAAUAAAAAUAAUAAUAAUGAUUAAAUUGUUUUAUAGUUUCAUUUCAUUUUUUUUAUAUUAUAUAUGAUUUUUUUGUUGACAACUUUAUUCAAAAGUUCAAACUUAAUCAUAUAUUUUAAGAAUCCAAAUUUUUAGCUUGAUAUAAUACCUAUCCGAUAUCAUACUAUUUUUCUUUAUAAAUUUAAGAAUUUAGACUCAAUUGAAUUCAGUUUUCAAGUAAUAAGAAUAUAUUUCCUUUUCAAAAAAUAUUAAAGAAAUGAUAAAAUAAUAUUAAAGAAUGUGAUUUUUUAUUUAUUUAAAUACCAAAUAAAAAGUUGAGGAAAUAAAAAAUAAAAUAAAAAAGGUGACAUCUUUUUUUAUUUAGUUAAAAUUUUUAUUUUUCUUUUACCUUUUAAGGUUUGGAAAAGUGCAAGGUGCCAAAUUUAUACUUAUUGAAGUUUAUGAUUUGUUAAAAGUUUAUGUUAAAAGUUCAAAUAAGACUAAAUUUAAACAAAAUUUAAAUUAAUAAAAAAUAUGAAAGCAAAAACACCAUCAUGAUAAUUUUUGUUUAGUAAAUUUAUAUUUACUAUUAAUAAAUUUUAUAUUUAAGUCAUUUAUUAUUGAUGUAAUUAAGUUAUAUUAAUUUUUAAAAUUUGCAUAAUUGUUUUAAAAAAAAUUAAUGCUAAAUUAGAAAUUAUUAUUUAAAAAGCUAAAUGCUUUGUUUUUUCAUCUGAUGAAUAGUUGUCAUUGCUCCUAUCUAGGGUAUGAUAUUUAUUGGAUAUUUCAUAACAUUUUAAAGUGCCUCAAAAAUUAGUGGUAUGUAAUUAUAGUAAAAAAGUGUUUAGUGGAUGAAGGUUAGAUAUUCAAUGCUUAUCAAUGGUUUAAUGUCGAGAAGGUAAUAACAUUCUUGACAUGUCUUUGAGGAUGACAUUCCAACAUUUCUUAAAUUAACUUCCUAAAUAGAUCAUUACAUCAUGCCAAAAAUCAUUUUUCGAUAUCAUUCAAUAAAAAGUCGUCUGGUUGAAAAAAGUUUAAAUGAAUUCUUCAUUUGUAGCUUAAUUCUAUUUCUUUAUUUAUAAAUCUAAAUUCUUACAUGAAUCCCUCUUAUUUUUAAUAUGUAAGCACCAAGAUUUUUCAUACUUUUAUUUAACAAUCCAAUUUUUAUUGUAAAUACCUUAAAGACUCAAAUUUUGACUUCAAUAUGGUUUGCAUUUGGUAUAUUAGAAUUUUCUUUUACAAAUUUAAAAAUUUAUGGGUAUAUUCCAUUCAUAAGAAAUUUGAAACUAAUAGUGAUGAAGUGUAUUUAUACCAAAUCUAUGGGGAGUCUCGAUGAAAUUAAUCUUAUUUUUAUUUAUAUUAUUAUUAUUAUUAUUAUUAUUAUUAUUAUGUGAUUUUGGUUCACUAGAAAAGGUCAAUAUUUUAUGGUAUGCAUUUUUUGAAUGGGUGUUUGGUUGAGUAGAAAAGGUCAGUGUUCUAUCAUAUAUUUCUAAAAGGGACAAACAUAUAAAUGUAACUAGUUAAGAUAUGUUUAAAUGUUGAAAAGUAUUAUGAUAAAUUUGAUGUUUAAUUAAUUUAUUAUAAAAAAAUAAGUAAGAAAAUUAAAUUUAAUUAAAAUUAAUUUAAAAUUUAUGUAUUUUAAAAUUAUUAAAUCUUAUAAGGAGGAGAAAAAAUAAAUAAAAUGAAUUUAAAAAUAAUAUAUUAAUUUUAUGUUCUCUUGUUUUUUUCCUCAACAUCCCGAAUUACGGUUUUGAUUGCCCCAAUUUUUUUAGGAUCAGGUCUCAUGCGUACUAUUAAUCCAUGAAAACUUAUUUCAUUUAUUUAUUUAUUUUAUAUAAAAAUCAAAUAAUUUAAAAAUAUAAAAUUUUUAAAUAAUUUUAAUUACAUUUUUCAUAAUAAAGUGAAAUAUAAUAAAACCACUUUCUUUAACAUUAUUUUUUCUUUAUUUAAUAUUUUCAAACCACCAAAUAUAGCUUUUAAUUUCUAUGUUUUUCUUUUAUAUUAAUAAAAUGUCAUGGAAAAGUCCUUGAUUUAUUUUGCCAGCUCAUGUACGACAACUGUGGAAAGGACUGACAACACCAUUAAAUAUGAUUGAAUACGCUGAUAUUCAAUGCUUAUCAGUGGUUUGAUGUCGAGAUGGUAAUAACAUUCUUGGCGUGCCUUUGAAGAUGACAUUCAAACAUUUCUUAGAUUAAUUUCAUAAACAGCUCAUUACAUCGUGCCAAAAAUCAGACCUCUUAUUUUUAAUAUGUGAGCACCAAGAUUUUACAUACUUUUAUUUAACAAUCCAAAUUUUAUUGUAAAUACCUUAAAGACUCAAAUUUUGACUUCAAUAUGGUUUGCAUUUGAUAUAUUAUUCUUUUAUAAAUUUAAAAAUUUAUGAGCAUAUUCCAUUCAUAGAAAAUUUGAAAUUAAUGGUGAUGAAGUAUAUUUAUACCAAACCUAUGGGGUUUCAAUAAAAUUAAUCCUACUUUUAUUUUUAUUUUUUUUACGGGAUUUUGGUUUACUAGAAAAGCUCAAUAUUUUAUAAUAUGCCCUUUUUGGAUGGGUGUUUGGUUGAGUAGAAAAUGUCAGUGUUCUAUCAUAUACUUCUAGAAGGAACAAACACAUAAAUAUAACUAGUUGAGAUAAGUUUUAAUGUUGAAAAGUAUGAUGAUAAAUUUUAUGUUUAAUUAAUUUAUUAUAAAAGCAAGAAAAUUAAAUUUAAUUAAAAAAUUAUGUAUUUUUAAAUUAUUAAAUCUUAUAGGGAGGAGAAAAAUAAAUAAAAUAAUAUUAAAAUAAUUUAUUAAUUUUAUGUUCUCUUGUUUUUUUCCUCAACAUCCAGAAUUACAGCUUUGACUGCGCCGGGUUUUUUAGGAUCAGGGCAAUGGGUACUAUUAAUGCAUGAAAACUUAUUUCAUUUAUUGAUUUAUUUUAUAUAAAAAUCAAAUAAUUUAAAAAUAUAAAAUUUUUUAAUUAAUUUUAAUUACAUUUUUCAUAAUAAAGUCAAAUAUAAUAAAAUCACUUUCUUUCACAUUAUUUUUUCUUUAUUUAAUAUUUUCAAACCACCAAAUAUAGCUUUUAAUUUCUAUGUUUUUCUUUUAUAUUAAUAGAAUGUCAUGAAAAAGUCCUUAUUUAUUUUGCCAGCUCAUGUACAACAACUGUGGAAAGGCCCGACAACAUUGAAUAAGCUGAUUAGUUUUGUGGUGGAGAGGAGGCGCUCAAUUUUUUAUUUUUUAUUUCCUAUAUAUUAAUUGAGUGGUUGGUAAAAAGUUGAUAAGUGAUAAUUGCUGUCCUUUAUAUUAAUUCACUGAUCAGGAAAAAGUUGGUGAUUGCUGUCCUUUAUAUUAAUCGAGUGAUCAGAAAAGUUGGUGAGUGAUAAUUGCUGGGCUUUAUAUUAAUUGAGUGAUCAGGCCAGCUGGUGAGUGAUAGUUGCUGUCAUUUAUCUCAGGAAACAUCUGGUGAGUGAUAGUUGCUGUCCUUUAUAUUAAUGGAGUGAUCAGGAAAGUUGGUGAGUGAUAAUUGCAGUAGAGAAAGGGAAUGAAGAGGGAGACAAAUAUUUCUAGGGGAGAAUUGUGCUUCCCGCCCGCUUCCAGCCCCACUUUUUUUGGAUAAUUGGUGUACUCCUAUCACUUAUAAAUGAUUAUAAGAAUAAUGAGAUAAUAAUAGGUAAAACUAUCCAUUGAGUCAUUUUUGUCUCUAUUCCAUCCCUUUUCAUGUGCCAACGUCAACAAAUUCAUCCUUAUUUAACAAUUUUUAGAUUUUUUUAUUAAUUUUUUAAAACUCUUUUAUAAAUAAUUAAAAAAUCAAUAUUAUUUUCUAUUUUUAAAUUAUAAAUAAAUAAAAAUUAUAUUAAUGAUUAAAAAACUAUUUUAAAAAAUAAUUUCUAAAAAAAAUGUUAAUUUAAAUAAAUAAAAAUUAUCCUUUACAUUUUAAAAGUAAAUAAUUUAAUGAUUAAAACACUAUUUAAAAUAAAUAUAUUUACUAUUUUCUUUCCUUUUAUACUAAAAAUUAUUUUGAAGCUUAUUAUUUAUUUUUUACUAUUAUAAAAUAAAAUUUUUAUUUUUUUUAAAAUCUUCUUCCUUAUUUUAAUAACUUUUUUAAUAUGACUUUUGGUAAUAAGUUAUAUGAAAUGUUGCAAAUUUGUUUACAAAUGAUUUUUUUUAGCUUAUUUGAAUUAAUUGAAAAUUUAUCAAAAUAAUAAAAAGAAAAACAAAGAAAAAGGAUGGAUAGAGAUUUUUUAUUUUAAAUUUCUAAUUAAAAUGUUUUUCGUAUGACCUAAUUUUAGAAAUGUGUUAUAUCAAUAUAUAGUAUAGUAGAGAUUGAAAGUAUUUUAUAUAAAAGGGUUGAAUGGUAUAUUUACUUGUUUUAGAUGAAAACAAGUAGUUAAAAAUUAUAGAGAUUAUAUUUGAGUUUAAUUUAAAAAUAUUUUUCUAGUAUUUAUUUAUUUAUUUAUUUAUUUUUUAAAAAAUAAUUUUUAUUUUCUAUAUUGUCUAUUUUUUAAAAUACGUGUGAUUAAAAAUGAAAACUAUUUUUAAAAUGAAAAUUAAAAACCUUGUUUAAUACUAUUUUUUAUAUAAAAAUAAUAAAAAGAAUUAAAUUUCAUUUACUGAUUAUUCUUUUUUUAUUUUUUCUAUUAGUUAUUUUAAUAAUAAAAUAAAGAAAAUAUAAUAUGUUUACAAUUAAACAAAGGAAUUGACCAAUUGUGUGUUUUUUUCAUAAAAAAUAUAAUAUAUACAAAAAAAAAAAAGUUGAAUUUAAGUUUUCUGUCAUUUUCUCAACCAAACUAUCAGAAUCAUGUUUAAUAUACUUAUAGACACACAUUUACUAUAGGGAUAUGGAAUUUGCGUCACUAUACAAGGGUAUUCACUAACUGUACAAGGGGUGUACAAGACCACUCAUUGUGAAAUAUUUCAAUCAAUUCUAAACCACUCCUUAAUUUUCUUUGUCACUCACAUAUCGUACACUCAUGUCAUACAUUUUAUUUAAUUCUCACAUGGAAAUUCAAUGCUUCCCCUAGUAAUAAUGUUUGGGGAAAAAAUUUUGACCCUAAGUUAUCCAGCAUUUGCUCAACCAAACCAUUGGAAAUAUGAUUAACAUACCUACGCAGACACAUAACUUAGGGAAUAUGAAAUUUGUGCCACUAUACAAUGAUAUUACACUAACUAUACAAGGGAAAUAUACUAAAUGUAUAAGGGUGUACAAGACUACUAUUUGUGAAAGAUUUUAAUUGAUUAUGAACCACUCUUUUUUAUUUUCUUGUCACCCACGAAUUAUACACUCAUGUCAUAUACUUUAUUUAACUCUUACAUGAAAUUUCCAAUACUUUUUCCAGUAAUGAUGUUUAGGGAAAAAAAAUUUGACCCUAAGUCAUCCAACAUUUUCUCAACUAAACCAUUAGAAAUACGAUUAAUACACCUACAUAGACACAUAACUUAAGAAGGAUAUGGAAUUUAUGUUGUUGUAUAAGAGUAUUACACUAACUGUUUAAGGAAAAUAUACUAAGUAUAUAAGGGUGUACAAGGUUAUCAUUUGUGAAAGAUUUCAAUCAAUUAUGAACCACUCCUUUAUUUUCCUUGUCACUCAAGAUUAUACACCCAUGUCAUGCACUUUAUUUAACUACCACAUGGAAAUUUUAAUGUUUUCCACAAUAAUGAUGUUUGGGGAAAAAAAUUUAACCUUAAGUCAUCCACCAUUUUCUUAACCAAACCAUUGAAGACAUUAUUAAUACACCCACAUGGAUACAUAACUUAAAAUUGAUAUAGAAUUUGCACCACUGUACAAGGGAAUAACACUAACUGUAUAAGAGAAAUGUGCCAAGUGUACAAGAGUAUACAAAAUUCCUAAUAAGUUUUGUACGAUUUUUAAACAACUUGGAGCUUAACAUUAGGACGAUAAUUGAUAGUUUUUUUUGUUUUUUGUUUUUUGUUUUAUCAUCAAACUAUGUCAUUAAGACAUUCCCUACCAAAAUUAACACAUAGGAAAUAAAAUUAAAAUUAAUCAUAGUUGAAUUAUUCGUUACAAGUAAAUUAAAUGAAAUAUAUAUAUUUACCAUUUUUGCCCUUAUAAACAUAAUUUCACUACUCUUAGUAGAGAUUAAAAAAUCAUAUUUAAAUGGAAUUAAAAAUAAACAAAAGUUAUUUUUGUAACAUUUUUAUUUUUUAAAAUCAUUAAUUUAAAUUAUGAAAUUAGUUUUAAAAUUAAAAAUAUUUGUUGUAAUUAUAGUUUUGAAGAUUUCAUGAUUUUUAUCUUAUUACUUUUAAAAAAUUGUUUUAAUAAGAAAAUAUUUAUUUUAAUGGUUUUAAAUAUUUAAAUCUUUAUUUUAAAAUAUUUAAGAGUGUGAGGAACAAUUAGUUAAUUUUGUAAUGGAGAAAUUUUGAAUAUCUUGAAGUGCAUGUGAGUGUUUACAUUAUUUUCGAAAUAAUAUGAUAAAUAAUAAACACUAUGUGUCUAAUUUGUAAGUUAAAAAAAAAAAAGAAUAAUAAUAUUUUAUGAGGUAUUUAAAAAUUGUUUAAUAUAUAGGACAAAUAAUGUAUGACAUAAUUAUUAUUUUGUAAGUAAGAAAUAAAAAAAAUAUUUGCUAAGGUAUUUAAAAAAUAUUUAUUAUAGAUUUUAUAAGUUUGAAAAAAAAAAAAUUUGAUGAUGUCUAAUUUGCAAGUUAGAACAAACGAAGAAUACUAAUAUUUUAUGAGGUGUUUAAUAUAUAUGAGAAAUAAUGUAAGUUUGAAAUAAAUAAUAAUAUUUACUAUAUAUUAUGUAAGGUUUUUUUUUUUUUAAAAAAAAGAAUAUAUUUCAUGAGGUAUUUAAAAGCUAUUUACAUCAAAAAUGUAUUUGACAAUAAUAAUUUUUAACCAUUUAUUUCUCAUGUUCAAUUUGUUAGAGAAAAAUGAUUGGAAAAUUAUUCAACUUGGUCCCACUAAUAAAUACGUGAAAUAAUGUGAAAAAGUGAAAGAAAGAAUUAGAAAGGUGUGUGGUCAGUUAACUUUUCUAUUUAAUAAUCAAGGGACAUUUUAGGGAAUUUUUAAAGGCAAAAUCCUUCAUUUCAAUUUCUACUCUUUCUUUGGGCUCUAAGUUUAAAUAUGGGUAAUAGAAGGACCUUAAGCUAAUUAUUAGGCCCAACUAACUCCAAAGCACAAUUCUCCCUAUUUCUAGAAAAGCUUCAUGUCAUUGUACUACGCUUCAAUAAUCUGAUUUGUCCAUAUAUAUAUAUAUAUAUAUAUAUAAUUUUAAUAGUUGUAAAAUAUCCCUAACAACCCAAACUAUCCCUACUUAUCAGAAUUUUUUUUUUAUAAAAGUACAACUUUUUAAAAAUAAAAUUUGUAAAAUAUGGUAGAUUGAAAGUACUUCCAAAUCUAUUGCCAUUGUUGUUGAUGUGGACUGACACACUUUGAAAAACCAAAUUUUCUUCCAUUUAUUUUCUCAUUUCUUUGGAACGAAGAAAGCUGCUCUUUUCUUUUGUCAUUUCCCCAAACUGUUCUUAUGCUCUAGCAGUCCCUUUCUUCCCCUACUUACCCAUUUCCUUCAUUUUAUUUUCUUCUUCCCCGGAAAAACGUGAAAGUUCAAACAACGAUUUACUGGCAACUAUAGAACCAUCCAUUGUUCGAUUGUCCCCUAGGCAAAAUAGCGAUUCAAAUAGAAAAACCAAAAUAUAGAAGGGAAUGUGAUUAGAGAUUCGGAGACAUAGGAAAGGCCUUCAAGAGAAAGUUUUUGUGUGUGUUUUAUUUAUUUAUUUCUUUGUUCUUUUUUUUUCUUUUUUUAUUUGGUAUUGUGGCUUUGUUUGGUUGCUAAGAAAGUUGUAGUUUUUCUUUUAAGGGAAAGAAGAGGAGAAGAAGGAGAAUAAGUUGUAAUUCACAGUUUCUAUUGUUUGUUUUUUAUUUGUAAAUUUGUAAAGUUCAUGUUGAUCAGGAAUGCUUCUAUAAAAAUUACAUAUUUAGCUAGAAGUUUGAAUGAAUUGUUUCGGUUCAAAUGUAUUAAAAAAAAUGCUUAAUUUUAAGUUAUGGACUUUUAAAAUAAUGAAAAGUUGCUUCCGUUUUGAUUUUUAGAAUGUGAGUUUCCAAUGUGUAUGUUGGACAUGUCAUCCUUAUUUGUAUUGAUUAUGCAAAAUUUUCAUAAUAUAGCUUGCUAUUCAUUUUACUGUUCAGAUUUAUGCAUUUAGGGAAAUAUUUUUACCAUUGAAGAAGUUGCUUUAAUUAUUCCUGGUUUCAAUUUUUAGGUCUUGCCUUUUGGGUUAUUACUUUGCACUUUACAAGUUUAUGAUAUUAGACCAUCAAAUAAAUUUAGCUUAAAUUUAUUAUUAUUAUUAUCAUAAAAAUAUAAAUAAAGUUUAUGAUAGGUCUUGCUUUAUUAUUAUUAUUACUAUUAUUAUUAAUAAUAAAUAAUUAUAACAAUAGUUAUAAUAUUAAUAAAAAUAAAUUUAAUUCUAAUAAUGCUGAUAAUAAUGAAAAAAUUAUUUAACUGAAAUUUGCUUAAAUUUGUUUUUAUUACUACUAAUAAUAAUAAUAAUAAUACUAAUAAUAAUAAUUUUCCAAACUUCCUUUUUAGAACUUGUUUAGACAUUUCAUUACUUAGCAAUUGUGGAUAAUUUUUUUACAAAAUAAUAUAAUCAAAUCCAAAGUUGACUAUUGGUUGAUUUUCUAAAAUGGUCAUAUGAAAAUUACUAUUCUAUUCCUUUUAAAAGUCAAUUUUCUUUUUACGCAAAUACGAGAUUUUAAAUUUGCUUAAAUUUGUUUUUAUUAAUAAUAAUAAUAAUAAUUUUCCAAACUUCUUUUUUAGGACUUGUUUAGAUAUUUCUAUUAUUGGGCAAUUGUAGAUAAUUUUUUCCAAAAUAAUAUAAUCAAAUUCAAGGUUAAGGUUGACUAUUAGUUGAUUUUUUUAGAUGGUCAUAUGAAAAUGACUAUUCUAUUCAUUUUAAAAGUUAAUUUUCUUUUUACGUAAAAACAAGAUUUUUGGUAUUUUAACUAAAUAAGGUAUUGGGAUUCAAUCAUCACUAUUAUUAUUAUUAUUAUUAUUAUUAUUAUUAAAAAUAAUUAUAAUAAUAGUUAUAAUAUUAAUAAAAAUAAAUUUAGUUCUACUAAUGUUAAUAAUAAUGAAAAAAUUAUUUAAUUAAAAUUUGCUUAAAUUUGUUUUUAUUAGUAAUAAUAUGAAUAAUAAUAAUAAUAAUAAUAAUAAUAAUAAUUUUCCAAACUUCCUUUUUAGUACAUGUUUAGAUAUUUCUAUUACUUGACAAUUGUGGAUAAUUUAUUAUUAUUAAUAUUACUAUUAUUAUUGGUAUUAUUAUUAGUGUUAUUAUUAUUACUACAGUAAUAUUAUCAUCUUCAUCGUUACUAUUCUUAUUUUUUUUCUUAGUUAUUAUCAAUUCAAUCUUAUAUAUCUUUUAUUUGAUUAUUUUUAGGUACUUGAAUGGAUAGUUUGAUUACAAUUGUGUGUUACAAGGAUGGUGAAAUAAUUGAUGGCCCAAAUGGGAUGUGUUACCAUUGUCCUCCUCAAAAAGAUGUUUUAGUGAACAAUUUGAUAAAAUAUGAUGAGUUGGAGGAUAAGUUGUGUCAUGUUAUGUUGAUUGAUCGCACUCAUUCGAUAUUAUCCAUGAUAUUUCUAUAUUCAAUUCUUAUGCCAAUUGGAAAUGGGAACAUUAACCAUAUACAAUUACCAAUUAAAGAUGAUGAUGAUGAUGUAAGGUUAAUGUUUCAUGUUGUAGCACAAAUCCCACCAUCGAAUACUAUUGAAAUGUACUUGCAAACACAUCCAAGGAAUCAUUAAUCUGGGUUAAGGCCAUCAUUUGAUCAUGAAAUUAUGAGUUAUGAUGUGGAAGUACCAACAAAGGGGAAUUUGGCAGUGCACAUUGAUGAUAUGGACGGGAAUUUGGCACAAAAUGACGAAUUGGGGGGGGAAGGGGGGUGUGUGGAGGGGAGGAGGAGGAAUUUAACAGUAGUGACUCAGUUAGUUAUGAUAAUAAAAAACAAUUAUGUUGACAUCCCAUUUACAAAUGAAAAUGAUGAUGUAGAAUUUUAUGAUGAGGAUGAGAUUAAUGAGGAAAAUUAUGAUGAUGAACCUCCAACAAAUAAGGCUUCUUUAGUUGAUGGUCAACACAUUAUGCCUUCCCUAAUGUUUAAACAAUUGAAUUGGGAUGCAAUAAAUAGCAUGACUAUUGAGUCUCUCACAUCAUGUACCGGAUUGUGGAAUGAGUCCAAUGAGUUGCUUAAAUGAUUGAGAUUUGAGAGUAAAGAAGACUUGCAAUAUGCUAUAAAACGUUAUUCAAUAUGUUAGAAUCAACAUUUGGUUGUUUGUAAACGGAACCACAAUUGUGGGCAGUAAGAUGGAAGAAGUGGCAGGAAUGAUGCAAUUGGAGGCUUCAAGCAUGUUGUCGUAAAAUCCAUGGAAUGUUUGAGAUAACCAAGUACACAGGUCUUCACACUUGUGUUUAUCCUAAAUUAUCAUAAGACCACUCUUAACUGGACUUUACAUUGAUUGCAAGAGAGAUCCAAAAUGUGGUUCAAAGGGAUCACACCACCUCUAUUGCUAUAUUGCAUCAGAUAGUGAAGGAUAAAUUUGGAUAUGAUGUCCAUUAUAGGAGAAUUUGGGAAGUUAAGAGAAAGACAAUGCUUAGAGUAUUUGGUGAUUGGGAUGAAUCUUAUCAAUCAUUGUCAAAGUGGAUGAACAUCCUUCUACUAACUAAUCCUGAAACAAAGAUUGUUUGGAAGACAAUACCUUUAGGAGGGAUUUCUGGGAACUCUAUGUUUUAUGAGUGUUUUUUUGACAUUUGGGCCAAGUGUUGAAGGGUUCAAGCAUUGCAAACCAAUUAUACAAAUUGAUGGAGUGUUCUUAUGUGGAAAAUACAUGGGGAAGCUUUUAAUUGUUACUUCAAUUGAUGCAAAUGAUCAUAUAUUCCUUAUCGCAUUUGCAAUUGUGGAAGAGGAAUUACAGGAUAGUUAGUCUUGGUUUCUUAUUGCAUUAAGGUGUCACGUCACUCAAAGAGAAGGGAUAUGCCUAAUUUCAGAUCUCCAUGCAGGAAUAAAUGCUACUAUUAUAAAUCCAUCAGUUGGAUAUAGCCCCUCUCAUGCUCAACAUUGAUAUUGUCUUAGGCACAUAGUGAGCAAUUUUAAUGACAAAUUUAAGAAUAAGAUCUUAAAAGAGUUGGCGUAUAGAGUUAGAUCUCAACAUCAACCACGAAAGCAUGAGAAAUGCAUGGAGGAGUUAAAAUGAUUAGAUGAAAAAAAUGUGGGCUGGUUUUCAACGUUAAACACUCAAAAAUUGACUCAAGCAUAUGAUCUAGGAUAUCGGUAUGGAUGGAUGACCAAAAAUAUUGUUGAAUGCUUAAAUGGGGUGCUUAAGGGGGCACGAAUGUUACCUAUCACUACACUUGUUCAAUUAACUUUUUAUCGUUGUGUGUCUUACUUUGAGAUGUAGAGCAAAGAUACGUGCUAGAAUGGCAAUUGGAGAUGUGUAUACUGCGUAUGCAAUCGAUAAAUUUAGAAGAGCUGAAGCCAAAGCUAGUGGCCAUACUGUGACUAUCUUCCAUCGAAUUCAUCAAACAUUUGAAGUAAUUACUACUCUCCAUGGGUUUCAUAUUGAUAAAGAACAUAACAAACAAGUUAUUAAGUUGAACGAAGGCACAUGUAGUUGUAAUAAGUGGCAAUCAUUUGGCAUUCCAUGCUCACAUGUGCUAGUUGUUUGUGCUCAUAUGAGGAUUGAUAGUUGGUAAUUUGUUAAAAAAUACUACAAGAUGGAUGCUUAUGCAAGCAGUUAUGCUCUUAAAUUUAAUCCCAUUCCAAAUGAAUCUUAUUCGUUGUAUCCCGAUUUUCCUAUUCUCCGCCCGGACCUAACUUUGAUGAGAGAUAAGGGGCAUCCUAGAUCAUCAAGGAUAAGGAAUGAAAUGGAUUUGAAGGAACCAAGCGUUAGGGUUUGAUGUGGCUUAUGUAAAAUAAAGGGGCAUAAUCAUCACAAUUGUCCCACAAAAGAUGGAGGGCAAUCCUUUAACCCCCUUCUUCAUGACAAUUGAAGUAUGAAAGAUUAUCCAUUUUGAUAAUAUGAUAUUUUUAUGUAAUAUCUUUAUAUUUGUAAUCAUGCUAAUGUUAACAAGAAUUCAUGAUUAUUUACUAUAUGCAGGUAUCACUACACGAUGGAGUCGGGACCAUUGGUUCCCAUAGUUCUAUAUGGACAGGGUACACAUAGGUCAUCUCUAGCAUGGACAAAUGUGGACUCUAAGGAGCCUCAUGUCGACAUCACAAGGCGAUUUUCUAUCGCACCAGUGCUCUCGAUGGGCGUAUUAUUCCAUUGCUGCAACAGGUAGACUUCUAUGGUUUUGCACGCUUAGGAUUCAUUUCCUUAGAUUGACACCUUAUUAUUACAUUUGUCGAGAUGUGGCAACAUGAGACUUAUACCUUCCACUUACCUCAGGGGAAGUGCAUGAUUACAUUGCAGGACAUUGCCAUUCUUCUUGGACUACCAAUAGAUGGAGUUGUAGUUACUAGUAGCACAUGUUUAGAUUGGAGACGUGUAUGUUAUUCUUUAUUGAUAAUCUAGAUUUUAUCAUAUAUUUUUAAUGAUAAAAAUUACAAUUUCAAUAAAUAUUGAAUUAAUACCUUAAAUUUUUUUAAUAAAAUAAAUAGACAACAAGAUAUAGAUGAUAUAUAAUAAUACUACAAAGUGAAUUAUUUUAAGAUAAUGUUUAAAUUUUUUUACACACAAAAAUGUCUCUAUUAUAGCUCACUCGAUGGCCAUGGAUAGGUUGAUCUACUCUAUUACAUAUGAGUGUUAGGUUGUGGUUAUUUUAAAAAUUAUAUGGAAUUAUGUAAUGCAAAUUCAAUGAAAAUUUUCAUUUUUAGAUGAAAAACGUUUUUGAGGAAAUCCAAAAAUUCUAUAAAUUACUUAGUUUAGUAAAUGUCAGAGUUCAAGCUACUUAGUUUCCCUAAUUUAUGUCAAGAAUUUUUGUUUCUAUGAGUACAAUGGUAUCUCCGUACACUUGUUAGUUGUUCUUUGUAAAUUUUUAUAUAUAUUAUUUUGAAACCAACAUAAAAUAAGAACUUUUUAUCUUAUGUUUUAGAAUUUCUAUAACUUUAUUAUUAUUAUUAUUAUUAUUAUUAUUAUUAUUAUUAUCUUUUUUUACAUUUUCUUUUCAAAAUAUUUGAAUGUCAUAUUUUUUUUUGUUUUUUCCUAUUGUUUUGCUUUGUAUAUAAUAAUUUUUAUUUAAUAAAAUUAUUGGAUUUCUUAAAAUUAAUAAAAGUAUAAUUACACGAAUAAUAAAAUUACUUAAAUACAAAAUAUUAUCAAGCAUAAAUAUAGAUUUAUUAAACAAGAACUACCAAGUUUAUGCUUUUAUAUUCUAAUAUAAUUUUUUUUUCUUUUAAUAUUGCGUUUGAACAUUGGCCUCACUUUCAAGGGGAUGGCACCCUUAGCUGAAGCCUACAACAGCAAAAUCACGUGAAUAACACUUCAAGAAAGUUCAAGAAAAGUGUUGUGUGUGUAGCAUAAGUAGUGGCUUUUUAAAAUUUUACAACAACUUUAAAAAAUAAUUAUUUAAAAAUGGUAAUUUGAAAAAUAUUGAUAGAUGUACGUGACUUUUUGCCACGGGGAAGGUGUCUCUUCAAGAGAAACCUUUCAUAAUUUUCAAAUUCAUGAUAGGUAUUUAAAAGAAUUGAAUUUAUAUUAAAAGUGUCUCUUGAAAAGACACAUUUCCACAAUUUCAUAAAAUUUAAAUUUAUAUUACAAGUAUCUCAUGAAUUUGAUUUUAUAUUGAAGGUGUCUUUUUCUAUAAUUCCAAAAAAUUUGAAUUUAUACUAAAGGUGUCUCUUGAAGAGAUACUUUCCAUAAUUCCACAAAUUCCAAUAUAUACUAAAGGUGUCUUUUCAAGAGACCCCUUCCACAAUUUCAUAAAUUUUAUACGUGUCUCUUAAAUUUGAUUUUAUAUUGAAGGGGUAUCUUCAAAAGACAUCUUCUAUAAUCCCCAAAAAAUUGGAUUUAUAUUGAAGGUGUGUCUUCAAAAGACACUUUUCACAAUUCCACAAAAUCCAAUAUAUACUAAAGGAGUGUCUUGAAGAGACACAUUCUACAAUUCCCAAAAAAUUGGAUUUAUACUAAAGGUGUCUCUUCCACAAUUUUACAAAUUUUAAUUUAUACUACUAUGUGUCUCUUAAAUUUGAUUUUAUAUUAAAUGUGUCUCUUCAAAAGACACCUUCUACAAUUCCCAAAAAAAUGAAUUUAUACAAAAAGUGUUUAUUCAAGAGAUAUCUUCCACAAUUUGACAAAAUCUAAUAUAUACUAAAGGUGUCUUUUGAAGAGACAUCUUCCACAAUUUCACAAUUUUAAUUUAUAUCAAUUUUAUAUUGAAGGUGUCUUCUGAAAGACACCUUUUAUAAUUUUCAAAAAAUUAUAUUUAUACUAAAUCCAUAAUUAAAAAAAAAUGGGUUUAUGCUAAAAGUGUUUUUUCAAGAAAAAGACACUUUCCACAAUUUCCAUACACAGUGGAAAUUUUCAAAUUUAUGCUGAAGGUGUCUCUUGAAGAGACACCUUCGACAAUUCCCUAAAAAAAAUGGAUUUAUACUAAAUGUGUCUCUUCAAGAGUCACCUUCCACAACUAAAAACAAAUUGAGUUUAUAUUGAAAGUGUCUCUUUGAGAGACACUUUCCACAAUUUCCAUACACAGUGGAAAAUUUUAAAUUUAAGCUGAGGGUGUCUCUUCAAGAGAUACCUUCCAUAAAAGAAAAAAAAAAUUAUAUCUCUUAAUUAGUAUUACCUUAUAUACAACCAGAUGUUUAAAGUUUAUCACCUAUAUACAUUAUAAUCAAUAUUUUGACAUUCAAUCCAAAAUCAAUCAAAACAAGUAAACCAAAUACCAAUUAAAUUAGUACAUUUCCAUAAUAAUAACAAUACUAUUUUGUAUAAAAUAAGUCCAAAAUGGGUAGAUUACUAUAGAACUUACAUUAAUAAAAAGUUAGUCAAUCCAAAAUAUAACAAGUAUAAAUAUACAUCUUGAGUAUUUGUCUAAAAUAAUGAUAUGCAAAAUACUAACAAUAUCCAAAAAUAUAAGUCAUAUAUAGUCACAUCCUUAAUGUGUACUGCAUGAAGGAGCCUUCUUCUUCCGUUGUAGACGUCUAUGAUAUGCAUGUUCUACUAUUGGCUCUAUGGGGAUGACAUGUACCCCCCUCUCCCCCAUGAGUUGGAUGACCACGUCUCCUACCACAUCCUCAACCUUGUCCUCGACCACGAUCAUUCUUUUGUCCUCACUAAUCAUCAUUUUCUAUAUGAACUAACUCCUCAUCAACCAAUUAAACCUCUAUUGGUUGUAGUGAUGAUGCAACAAGUGGUACUAUAGGUGGGGUGGAUGACACUUCCACAGGUGUAAUAAGAGUCUCUUCUAUAUGUGGUGGGUUAAUGUCAGUUGAUGGUGCAUAUUUAAGAAUAGAUGUAUGCCUAGCCUUUCUUGUAUAAGCCCAUCCUCCUCUAGUCCAUACAUUUCUUGAUUGAGUAAUGGAUGAUAUCAACUGUUAUAAGGUGGUGGACUAAUGUUAGUUGAUGGUUGCACUCGGGCAACAAAUGGUGUAUGCCUAAUCUUCCUCGUAUGAGGCCCUCGUCCUAUAGGUCGUACAUGUCCUAAUCAAGGCUGGAGCUGUGUAGUAGCAUCAACACUAAAUGGAACAUUUAAGCAAUCCAUCUCAUGUAUGACCUAUAAUACGGUAGUAGAUAGUUUGCAAAUGUGCAAAUCAUCUAAAGGUGCAAUAUCAUAUAUCUGAUAUAUGCUGGUAGUCUGUAAGUCAAAUAGGAGAUAAAUUAAAUUCUUACAAAAAUAAAAUAAAAUAUAUUUAAAAAAAUAAAACAUGAAAAUUACUAGUAGCUCAUGGAAGGACCCAGUCUGAGUAAGAAACAGAAUAGUAAUGGAACAAUACCACACCAUAUAUGGAUCAUGAUACCCCAAUGAACCUAUAGCCAUCUCGCCUCUAGCAAUAUGCUCAUGCCUAAAGGUCCAACAUCGAAUGUAGUCUCCAUGUUGAGUAGUCUAAUCAACACCAUGUCUACCUCUCAAAUCACAUUUGUGUAAGAUUGAUUCAUUAUCACAUGGCUGAGGAAUCCCUUGACGAAAUCCAAACUAUUGCAAUACUCGAUCAGGUCUAUGCCAUUCAACUAUGUGGAAACAUAUCAAAGGUGAGAUAAUGUACCAUGUAUCUUUCCCAGCAAUACAAUAAUAAGGAAGACCGACAUUCAUGUUAUCAAUAUAAGGUUGCCAUAUAAUUUGUACUUAAGAAAGGUUAUAUAUAAUCGGUGGUAUGGAAUUUGUUUAAAGAAACAAGUGUAAGAAAUGAAUCACACUUCUAUAACCUGAUAUGCUAUAAGUCGAUCAAGAUGGUACCUAUAUUGAGCUAAGAUAUGCAUGAUAAUCGAAGUAGUACGAAACUCAUCUCUCCAACUAUAAAAACAAAAUAACAAAGCAUAAAUAAAUAAAUAAAUGAUAGAAUUUAAGUGUAUGCAUGUAUCAUCAUAAUAGUAAAAUUUGUGGAAUAUUACCGAAUGGCUAAUAAAGGUGGAGGCAACUGCUCAUCAUGUGGAGCUUUAUGUAAACGACAAGGUGCAAUAAAUGGGAACCUCUCCCAUACCCAUAAUUGGAGCAAAAUUAAUGGGCUAGAUAUAUUAUGUGUAUCAAUUUGAGAGGCUUGACACAAUUGUCGAUAAAGCCAGGCUAAACAGGCACUACCCCAACUAUUCCUACCAGCAAUCUCAAAAUCCUCUAGAAAGGGUAAAACAUAAGAUGCACCUUAUCACUAGACUUUCCCGAAUCUAAUCUUUUCAUAAUAUUUGUUAAUACACAACUAACGAUGUCUUGUCCGAUUAGCUUCUUUUGAAUCUAGAUGUUUUUUCGAACACGCUUCCUGAAGUUUAAAUUAGUUUAGAGAAGAGAUGUAUAAAAACUUUUUUGGGAACUUGCAUCAUACUUGAGUUUUGAUGCCUAAUUGUUAUUUAUCUUCACCAAAUUAUAACGUUUUCUAUGCGUCUUGAUUGCUUUUAAAUGUCAAUAAUUGGCUUUAUAAAUAAUGAUUUUUGAGCUUAAAGCCAAAUGUUUUAUGCUCAUGAGUUACCAUGGUGUAACGAUAUAAUAUUUAAUGCUUUGAUAAUUAAUGUCUGUCGAAUGAUAAUUAAUGAUGCCGGGAUAGCGUUUCCCGCCUAAUACCAAGACGGAAGAUGUUGCCUCCAAUAAAAGAUCGUGUGGUUUGAAAUGUCUCUUUUUCUUGUUCAAUGAAUGACUUUUUCUAUAGUAUAAUUUAUUGGAUUGAUUUUUAGAGCAUUUUAAAUCAGUUGAAUUACUAGCUGACAAGGUAUUUAUUGUACGUGGGUUUUAGGUAUUUAUUGCGUGUAGUAGGUGUGUGGUGGAUAAAGUUUUGAUAUUUAAUGCUUAUGAAUUAUUGGAUGAAAUGAUAGGUGUGUGGUGGACAAAGUUUUGACAUUUAAUGCUUAUGAAUUAUUUGAUGAAAGGAUGGUGGGAUCUUGGAAUUACUUGGCCUCCUUUAAAGAUGACAUCUAAACAUUUAGUAAAUUAAUUUAAUAAAUAUCAAUUCUAUUCUACAUUAUUUCACGUCACAUCAAAAAAAUGGUAAUCAUCACUUUGUUAAAUAAAAAUAAUAAUCAUGAUUAAAUUGUUUUAUAGUUUCAUUUCAUUUUUUUUAUAUUAUAUAUGAUUUUUUUUUGGCAACUUUAUUCAAAAGUUCAAACUUAAUCAUAUAUUUUAAGAAUCCAAAUUUUUAGCUUGAUAUAAUACCUAUCCGAUAUCAUACUAUUUUUCUUUAUAAAUUUAAGAAUUUAGACUCAAUUGAAUUUAUUUUUCAAAUAAUAAGAAUAUAUUUUAUUUCUAAAAAAAAUAUUAAAGAAAUGAUAAAAUAAUAUUAAAGAAUGUGAUUUUUUUUAUUUAAAUACCAAAUAAAAAGUUGAGGAAAUAAAAAAUAAAAUAAAAAAGUGACAUCUUUUUUUAUUUAGUUAAAAAUUUUAUUUUUCUUUUACCUUUUAAGGUUUGGAAAAGUGUAAGGUGCCAAACUUAUACCAAUUGAAGUUCAAAUAUGAGUUGUUAAAAGUUUAUGAUAAAAUUUUACAAUUAAGGUAUUAAAAUAUUUUUUUAAUACCUUAAUUUUUUAAAUAUAGUUUUUUUUUUAACCAUUAGUUUUUUAAUGCAAGGUUUUAAAAGUUCUUAUAUAAAAAGCUACUACCAUUUUCUGUUUUAAAAAAUAGAAAAUAUGAAAUAUAUAAACUGAAAACUUAAGUAAGUAAAUUUUUUAUUUCUUGGUUAUUAACAUUUAUAGUUAAAAUAUUUAAAAUUUAUAAAUAAAAAACAUUGUAUUUUGUUGUUAAAUAUAUAUAAAAGCAUUUUAUUUAUAUUAAAUAAUGGUAGAUGCUAAUAUCAUCUUUAUGUUAUAUUAUAAUCAAUUUUUAAUUCUUUUUUUUAAACUAAAAUUUUAAUUUAUUUAAUUAAAAAUUUUCUUUUAAAUAUGAGUAAUAUAUAAAAAAAAAAAUUGAAAUAAGACCAAAUUUGCAUGAUGCUUGCAUGUGACAGUUUGGCUGCCAUCUCCAUUUGCAACCUGGUUGGAAUCAGAAUCCAAGUUAAGAUUCUACAAUUUGAUUCAUGAAGUGAAGUUGGGUGAUCUACUAACUUCUAUCAUUAAAUUUAUGGCUUGGAAGACCACCCCUUGCUGCAAAGCUGUGUGGUGAUGGGGAGGUGCAUUUGUCCUUUCUUUGUCUCAUCUUUAAUUUUUAUUUGAUUUGAUUUGAUUUGAUUUUUCCUUUAUAUUAAUUGAAAGGUUAAGGAAAAUUCUUAGCCGGUAUAAGAACUGUGUCAAGGCUGAGCUCAAGUCUUCUCUCGUCUCGUCUUUGAGAAAUGACUCCAUUGUACCCAUGUAAACAAUAUUAAUAAAAUAAAGUGGGUAAAUUAAGUAACGGACUUCGACAAUUAAUUUAAUGAAUUUUUUUGGUUCCCUUAUAAACUUUUUCUAUUAAGAAAUGAAAAACUUCAUUGAAUUUGAAUAAAAAAUUCCAUAUAGUUUUUAAAAUGACCACAACCUAUUAUUUGCAUAGAAUAGUGAAGGCAUGGGAUAUUUUAUACCGAUAUUUUAAAGCGUUAAGUUAUAGGAUUAAUGUUAUCACACUUUGAAUAUGUGUCAUUAUAUACCGAAUAAUACCUAAAUAAGCCUUAUCAAAUGAUGAUGAUUCUAAUAAGCACCGUGGAUUGAAAAAUACUACACUAAAUGAUAUUGCACACUCGAAUCUCACAUUAUAAUUUAAAUAAUGACUCUUUUUAAAAGUGUUAAGGAAUCAAGCGUAAUUAUUUUCAAUUUUUGUAGUAAUGCUUUAACAUCUCUCAUACUACUAUAUAUCUACCGAAUAGGGUUUUAUUUUCCAUUGUUUUGUAUAAAACAUAUUCUAAUAUAAGGCAUGAUUGGGGUACAAAAUGGAUAUUAUUUUUAACAAUACUUCAUAAUUUUUAUAUUAUACAAUAUUAUCCUUUCAUAUAGAUAAAAAUUAUAUUUGAUUGUAAAAACAUAUUUAGAUGUUGAAUUUAAUUGUGAUAGCAUCUCUCGUAAUCAUUUCACCUAGUGAAUUUAUUUCAUCUGGACUUACUUUAAUUAUUUAUUUUAAUAAAAAAAAAGUGAAAUUUGAAGACUUCCAUUUGUUGGAAAUAUCUCUAUAAAUAUUGUAGUUCAUGAGGAGGAAAAGUUAUGAGAUGAAGAUGAACUUGUAAAGACUAUACGAAGUGAAUAGAGAUGUGAGGGAGAACGAGAGAUACUCGAUAGAGUGAGAGGGCUCGUGAUAGGGUAUGGAUAGAAAAAGUGGGCAAACAUGGGAUGUUUUGGGAACCCAAUAGUUUUAUUUGGUUUUAUCCUCUAUAAUAUUCUCUAUUGUAUAGUGGAAUGAUUCUCUUAUCUAUGGACGUAAGCUUGAUUGGCCAAAUCACAUUAAAACCUCGUGCACAUUUGUAUUGAUUAUUUUAUCUUUGUAUUCUUGAAUUAAUUUUGUUUGCAUGAAAGUUUUCACUGACAUAACAAAUUGGUAUUAGAGAUCCAGGUUGAAGACUUUUAGAAGAGCACAUAAGACGAAGACAAAAGAAAUUUCAGAUAAUGGUCAACAAUUUUUAACUAUAGUGACUGACUCAUUGUUUCAUCAUUUAGUGAUCAAUGAUAGUUGUUGUUAUCCCCUCUCCUUUAAUAAUUGAUGAUGUUAUCUCAACUCCAAUAAUUGAUGAUGUUAUUUUCACUCCUUUCAAUAUAUUAUAACUAACCAAUUAAUAACAUAAAUACCUUAGUCGUGUUUUCAUAUUCAUCUCAAACUUCUUUGGACUUUGUUGCCUUCGAAAUUUGAGGAAAAAUACUUUAUGCAAUUGCUUGUUGAAUAAAAAACAAAACAAUGUCUCAACAUCUUUCUUUCUUUCACACAUUUCUAAUAGCAUAUGUUAGAAUCUCCUCUUCUAUAUAAUCCUUAUUCAUAAGCUCUCCCAAAUCUUCAAAGAUAAAAGGAGUCCUCAUCUUUGAGCUUUAAAUGUCAUAUCCACUUCCUUGAAAAAAAUGGUAUCAUAAGCUGGAUUGGGAUAACCAUUCAAUCAACUUGAUUAUGAUACCAGACAAUAAUCCAAAAAAGACGCAUUCUUGACAAUCGUAAAGAAGAAAAAGGUUAAAAAAAACGUUCUCUACAAUAGUAAGGAAGAAAGGAGUUAAAAAAUAACAAAACACUACAAAAAACCUUUGGGAUAAAAGAAAGAAGUCUGAAAUUUUAUUCUUUAGAUUUAUCGUGAAAUAAAGCGCCUCAUUGAGAUGGUUUGCAAGGUGGCUCGCUUCACAGUAAAGUUGUACGUCUGGCCUCUUCUUUAUUUAUUAUUUCUUUUAAUUUCUGUGUUUUUUCUGUCAUAUUAAUAGAAUAUCAUGGAAAAUUCCCUGAUAUAUUUUGCUAGCCCACAUCCUAGAACCGUGGAAAGGCCGGAUAACAACGUUGAAUCAAAUAUGAUGGAAGACGUUGAUCAGUUGUGUGGUGGAGAGGAGGCGCUCAAGUCUUCUCCUUUGUCUCUUAUUUAUUUUUCACUUGUGUCUUUCCUUUAUAUUAAUUGAGUGGUCAGGAAAAUGUUAUUCAUAUUCACAACUGUGUCCAUUGACACUCAGGUCAGAUAAAUCAGUUCAAUACUCUAUGCACAUUUAAAAUAUAAUUCUAAUUCCAAUACAAAAUCAAUGUAAAAAUAAAAGAAAGUAGAAUAUAGUUUGAUUCUCCUACUUUCAACUUUCCCUGCUUUGGACUCUUGUUUUUCAAUAUCAGCAAGUGUAGAGCCGGUUCUCUUUGCCUUCUCAGAAAAGAGCUCAUCCAAAGAUCCGAGAGCCCUCAUCUACACAUCUGCAUUUUAUUUUCUUAUAUAACCCCAUCCUCAGCUUGCCAAACCGACCUUAAACAAAAACAAAGAGGCUAUUCUUUCUUUUUCUUGAGCGAAGAGGUUAUUUUGUCUACCAUGUCCGAAAUCGUACCUCUCCAAAAUUGACAAUUUUCAACAACAAAGGAGAGGAAAAAGCAAGAACAGAGGAUGCAAGUGAGAAAUGAAAGGUCCGAUGAAUGCGGUAAAACAACGUACAAGCCGGUUGCGAAAGCGAUCGCCAUUGCUCCCAUCCCAACCAUGGUGAAAAUAAAGGCCCAAAGCAAGUGCUUCUCAAGGAACUUCUCCCGUUUGCGCAUGGUCAUAAAAAAGUGAAGAAAUACGGCGCAUAGUGAAGACACCAUGGCUAUGGUAUCGGUCACAACAAAUGCUCUGAAAGCUGCUUUCUUUGAUAAAAUUGCCUUGCCAUCAUCCUCUUUGUAACCACCGGGCAAGGUGAAACCUGCAGCAAAAGUUACUGUUGUUAAAAGCGCGGACACUAUCAAAUGGGUUUCACCUUGUUUUCGUAAUUCAGAGGUGUAUUUCUCCUUGUACUCUUUGCUUUCUUUUUCUGUCUUCAAUUUCUUCAUUGACUUCUCCCGAGCCAUAGAUGAAUUACCGGGCAUAGCCCACUCGAACUGCUCUUGGAUCUGAUUCAGAAAUUGGAUGAGAGGAACAUUUAAAUUUAAUUCAAUUGAACAAUCCAUUUUUUUCACAUGCACUCAUUGCUGAUGAAAAUCUGAUAUAAGUGAAAAAUGCGCGUUACUUAAAUGCAUCAAAUCAAGCUUAUUUAUUCCAAAAGAUAUGACGUUAAUCGAGUUAUUUGUUUGUUCUAAACCCUUUUAAUAAAAAUGAUAUGUUGAGUGCAAAUUUAUUUAAAUUUCAACAUCAAUAUAAAUUAUUAAAUAAAUCCAAUAAAUUCAUUUUUUUAACUCAUAUAUAAGUUUUGGAAUAGAUGUUUUGCAAUUAUCUCUUUACAAUAAGAUAAACAAGAGUCUUACUAAUAAUGGUGAAUUCUGGUGCUGGGGUCUUAUGCCCAUCGUGAGUCGAUAGGCUACGGAUGAAAGGAUGGUAUGUUUAGGUUCAAGGAAACCAAUCAUAUGGUUAAAAGUAACAAAACAUUGCGUAUUUCAAAGAAAAUAUUUUCGUUCAAAUGAGCACAUGCAGUUUGAGAAACACGAUAUAACGAGCAUUUUUCAAUACAUGGUAACAAAGUGAUGAGGGAGCCUUUCCCUUUUCGUUGAAACAUUCUCCUUGGCCUUCAAAGUCAUGUCGUAAGCUGUCAAUUUUUCAUUGUUGUACUUAUUUAUUUAUUUUGUAUUUAAUUAACUGCGUUAUGGCCCUCAUGUGAGCUGCAAUAGUGACAUUUUUGUGUUUCAAAUGUUGAAUAUUCUCUAAAAAUUAUUCACUUUGUAGUAUUAUUAUAUAUCAUCUAUAUCCUAUUAUCUAUUUAAUUUAUUAAAAAAAUUAUAAGAUAUUAAUUCAAUAUCUAUUAAACUGUAAUCUUAAUUAUUAAAAAUAUAUGAUAAAAUCUAAAUUAUUAGAUAAGAGUAUAAAUAAAUAAAAUUAAAAUAUAAAAAAAUGUAAUCAAAUUAUUAAAAAAUUGACACAAUUAGAUACAAAACAAUAAAAGUAAAUUAUAUACAUGAUAUAUUAUAAUUAAUUCCACAAUUUUGUACGUACGAAUUUGAUAUUAUAGCGAAACUAAUCUUUCCAUCAUAUUUGUUAGUAUAAAACUAACAAUGUCUUGCCUAGUUAGUUUCCUUUGAGUCUCAAUGUUUUCUCGAAUAAACGUCUCAAGUUUGAGAGACUAGAUAGAAAAGAACUUUUUUUUGGAACUUGCAUUAUACUUGAGUUCUAAUGCCUAAUGGUUAUUUAUCUUCACCAAAUUGAAACGUUUUCUACGUGUCUUAAUUGCUUUUAAAUGUCAAUAAUUGGUUGGCUCUACAGUUUUUGGGCUUAAAGCAAGAUGUUUUAUGGUAAUGAGUGACCUUGAUGUAACGGGAUAAUAUUUAAUGCUUUGAUAAUUAAUGACUGUCGAAUGAUAAUUAAUGAUGCCCAGAUAGUCUAAUACCAAAACGGAAAAGGGAAUGCCUGGACGGAUGUUGUUGCCUCCGAUAAAAGGUUGUGUGGUUUGAAAUGUCAUUUUUUCUUAUUCAGUGAAUGACUUUUUCUAUAAUAUAAUUUAUUGGAUUGAUUUUUAAAGCAUUUUAAAUCAGUUGAAUUACCAGCUGACAUGGUAUUUAUUGUGGGUUUUAGGUAUUUGUUGCGUAUGGUAGGUGUGUGGAGGAUAAAGUUUUGAUAUUUAAUGCGUAUGAAUUAUUGGAUGAAAGGAUAGGCUUUUAAAUCAGUUGAAUUACUAGCUGACACGAUAUUUAUUGUGGGUUUUAACCUUUUAGGUAUUUAUUGCGUGUGGUAGGUGCGUGGUGGAUAGAGAUUUGAUAUUUAAUGCUUAUGAAUUAUUGGAUGAAAGGAUAGGUUUUUAAAUCGGUUGAAUUACUAGCUGACAGGGUACAUUUAUUGUGGGCUUUAGGUAUUUAUUGCGUGAGGUAGGUGAAGGGUCUCCAAAAAGCCCGCGGCCCACGGCCCGGCCUAGUGGGCUAAAGCCCGGCAGGCCCGAGCCCAUUUCUAGAUGGGUCGGGUCAUGGGCCCCAAUUUAGGCUCGAUCCGGCCCGACGGGCUGGCCCGCCCGUAGGCCCAUAGGCCCGCCACUUAAAAUAUAUAUAUAUAUAUAUAUAUAUAUAUAUAAAAUAUUCAAGAAAUAGAAAAUACUACAUUAAUAAAAAUAUUCAUUGCUAACUAUUUUAUUCAUUGAAUGUAUACAUUACAUUUGAAAAUGUGGGAAAAGUUUACAUCACUACAAAAUAAGUACAUCCCAACUAGGUUGGCACCUACUUAUUUCUCAAUCAUUGUACUUUUCAACCACAAAAAUAAAAAUAAAAAUAUGAUAUACAUUUAGUAAAAUAUUUUAAUCAUUAUCUUUUGGCGGUGAUGGCGAAAUAUCGCAAAUCCAUGAAGAUCUUGAUGAUUUUAGUUUUUCCAUAUCGACAAGCAUAUUUUCUUUUUGAAUAGAAUCAAAUAUCCUUUUAUCUGCUAUUGCCCAGUCUUUCACACAUAUAUUUGCUUCAAUAGAAUCCGGCGCUAAGCUGCAUCGUUUAUCACUAACUACUCUUCCAUCUGCACUAAAAGCAGCUUCUGAUGCAACUGUACUCACAGGAACUGUUAGUACAUCACGAGCAAUGAUAGAAAGCACAGGAUAUUUGUGUUGUUGUGAUUUCCACCAUAUUAAAAUAUCAAAAUCUUCAUCAUCUUCAAAUGAAAUUAAAUCAAUAUUAAGAUAUCUAUCUAAAUCAGUUGUGUUGUUUGGAGAACUAUUUGUUGUCUUCUUUCAACUUUUUAACAUUUCUAGAGCUCCUUUAUAAAAAGAUGAAGAGCUUGUAGAUGUAGGUAGUAAUUUAAUAGAACUAAUAUCAUCACCAUAUUUUUCUUUAUAAUAGUUAUAUAAAUUAUAUAAUAAUGAAUUUAGUUCAUUUUUAAUUUCUUCAAUUUUUAUUUGGUCAUUAAAAUAAAUAAUUGUUAACCAUUCAUCCAAAGCUUCAAAUUUCAAUCUAGGGUCUACAAUUAAAUCAAAAUAAAAAAUUAAAGGUAUUUCUCCCCAAUAUUUUCUAAAUUUUUCUAUCAUUGCAAAUAUUGCAUCAUUAAAUAUAUCCAAAUUUAAAUAUUUUUGAAGUACAAUAAAAAUAUUAGUUAUUUGCAUGACAACUCGGUUUGAAGAUGGAUAACAUACACCACAAAAUUUUUUUGUUGAAGUAUCAAAUACUUCAAAAAGAUCUCUUAAAAGAUCUGCAAUAUGUCAAUCAUAAUCAUUUAAUACAUCAAUAUCUGUUUCACAAUCAUUGCUAAUUAAUUAUAUUUCAUAUAGUUCUACUACUUUUCUAUAUUUUAUAAUAGUUUGUAAAAGUUUAUAAGUGGAAUUCCAUCUAGUGGGCAUAUCCAAAUUUAUAUAUUUUUUUUCAUAUUUAACAUUUUGCAACAAUAAAAAAAUAAUUCAUGUUUUGCUUGAGAACUAUAAAGACCCGUAGCAAUGCCUCUAAUUUUUUAUAAUGUAUCAUCAACGUGCUUUAAUCCAUCUUUUAUAAUUAAAUUUAAAAUAUGUGCACAACAACACACAUGAAAUAUUUUACAUUGAUCUUCUUUUAUUUGCCAAUAUCGUUUUAAUCUAGAUAUUGUUGCAUCAUUAUUAGAAGCAUUAUCUAAUGUUAUUGUAAAUAUUUUAUCACGAAUGCCAAAAUCUAUAAUUUCAUCAUUUAUUAAAGAUGCUAUAUUUUUACCAUUAUGUGGAGCAUUUAUUAUUUUAAAUGAAAUAAUUCUUUUAUUUAAUUUCCAUUCAUUAUCAAUAUAAUAAGCAGUUAUACAUAAAAAAACUACUGUGAGUUAAAGAUGUCCAAAUAUCAGAUGUUAAACAAAUUCUUCCUUCAAAAUUUGCAAAAAAAAAUUUUAAAUUUUCUUUUUGUGUUUCAAAAUUUUUUAUAAGAAUUCUUUUAACUGUAUUUCCAAAGCAACCUUGAAACUGAGGAUUAACAGCUCGUUGCAUUGUUCCCGUAAAAUCAUGAGUUUCCAUGAAAUUGAAAGGUUGUUCUGCUUUUAUUAUAUAACCAAUCAUUUCUUCACGACAAUAAGAUUCAUCAUAAGAAAAUGUUUUUAAAUUUUCACUUUCAUCUUUACCUAAUUGCAUAUAAUUUCUAAUAUCUACAUUAUUUUUAGUUUUACAAUUUUCAUGAUGCCUUUUUAAAUGACUUGUACCUGCAUUUGAGUCACUACUAAGAAGUUUGUUACAAAUUUUACAUUUUGCUUUUAUUUCUUUUUUAUUAUUUUCUAAAUUUAUUUCUAUUCUAUCAAAAAAAUUCCAUAUAUUUGAAAUAAAUUUUUUGCUAUCACAUGCAUUAGAUGAAGAACAAGAACCACUUGCCAUAAUUAUAAUUAUUGAUAAAAUAUUAUGCUAAAAAUAAUAAAUGUAAAAUUAAAAUGUAACAAAUAAAUAAAAGAAAAUGUGAAGUAUGUUACUAAAUUGGAGAACCGAAGUAGAAAUUCCUUCAAAUUUGAACUCUUUGAACCACAAAUGCUUGUUUUUCAUCACCAAUAAUAUUGAAUAAUUUGAGACAAAAUGCAAUAAUUGGAAAUAUUGUGGAAUGGGAGAGAGCUUAAGAGUUGAGAGAAUAGAAAAAAUUGAGGGUAUUUAAUAUUUAUAGGGAUUUAAAUAUUAGGAUUUAUUUAUUUAUUUAUUUUUUAAAUGUCAAGACCGUUCAACGGUCAUAUAUUUGAUAUUUAUGAGUGGCAUGUUCAAUGGUCAUGCGACCGUUGAACAGCCACCUCACUUUUAUUUUUUUUCAAAAAUCAUACAACAUUUCUAAUAUAUAUAUAUAACUAAUGCAAAAUAGUUAUAUAAAAGAGGGUCAGCUCAGUUGGUGGCUAGCUCUCCUUGAAUACUCAUAUAUCCAUAAGGGAAGGGGUUUGAAUCCCCCUCCUUUCAAAACUCAAAAGUAUUUUAAUUUUUACCCAAAACCCACCCAAGCCCGUAGGCUUGCCCGCCAAGCCCGCCCAGCUUGAGGGCUCAUAGGUUGGGCCACGGGCCUUAGAUUUACCAAGGGCCUGGCCCGGCCAACGUCAACGGGCUCAGUGGCCCGCCCCGAGCUGGGCCAUGGGCCUUACUCCUCCGGGCCGGCCGGCCCGACCCGGCCCGUUGGAGACCCUUAGGUAGGUGUGCGGUGGACAAAGUUUUGACAUUUAAUCCUUACGAAUUAUUUGAUGAAAGGAUGAUGGAAUCUUGGAAUUACUUGGCCUCCUUUAAAGAUGACAUCUAAACAUUUAGUAAAUUAAUUUAAUAAAUAUCAAUUCUAUUCUACAUUAUUUCACGUUACAUCAAAAAAAUGGUAAUCAUCACACUGUUAAAUAAUAAUAAUAAUAAUAAUAAUAAUGACUAAAUCUAUGUUUGUUCUAGAAAAUGCUAAGGAAAUGACAAAAAAAUCAUGUAGAAAAUUAUUUUCUUUAGUUUGGAUGAUAUGAUUGGAAAAAAAAUGUUAAAGAAAAUAUCAUAAUAUUCUUCCUAUUAUUUUCUUUAAAAAAAUAAGAAGGAAAAUAAGAAGAAAAGAGAAGAGAAAAGUUGAAGGAAAUUUUAUCGGACUCGUUUUCACCGAGUCUCUUAUUCACCUUUGGACGACGUCGUUGGGGUCCAUAUUACAUUCCUUGAGCAUGGCGUGGAUCUCCUGCUCUGAACAGUUAACAACCUCCCUCAAGCUUUAAACCAUCUUUCUAAGCGCCGUCGGAAUUACAGAAAUCCCACCACUGCCUUUUCUAUUCACGCUGCUCACACCACCACCGCCACCACCACCACCACCUCCUCCGCUCAUGAUUUCUCUCUCUUCUUUCUCUCUACACCAAACUCUCAUAUCUUUCCUCUCUUUCUCUCCUUGGUUGCCCUAUUGAUUCUGCUGCGAUAAAACAAGAAGAUUUCUAUGCCCCCACCCUCUCUCUCUUCCUUCCUACCGAAAACCCUCUUUCUUUCUCUCUCUAAAAACUAUUUUUAUUAUUAUUUUUUGAGGAAUGAUUAUAACAUUUUGUUUUCUUUCCAUUUUUCCUUGACUUUUUUUCGUGGUUAGUUGAAUAAAAGAAAAUGAAUUCUUUUUUUGUCCCUUGAAUUUUCCAUGGAUAACAAAAAAAAAAAAAUUAUAUUUCUUUCCUUAGCUUUUUCUUUCCUUCCAUUUUUUCUCCUAAUUUUCUUUCUCUUACAUUUUCUGGAACCAAACAUAGCCUAAAUUGUUUUAUAGUUUCAUUUCAUUUUUUUAUAUUAUAUAUGCUUUUUUUUUUUGUUGGCAAUUUUAUUCAAAAGUUCAAACUUAAUCAUUUAUUGUAAGAAUUCAAAUUUUUAGCUUGAUAUAAUACUUAUCCGAUAUCAUACUAUUUUUCUUUAUAAAUUUAAGAAUUUAGACUCAAUUGAAUUCAUUUUUCAAAUAAUAAGAAUAUAUUUUAUUUCUAAAAAAAUUUAAAGAAAUAAUAAAAUAAUAUUAAAGAAUGUACGUGAUUUCCUUAUUUAAAUACCAAAUAAAAAGUUGAGGAAAUAAAAUUUUUAUUUAGUUAAAAUUUUUAUUUUUCUUUUACCUUUUAAGGUUUGGAAAAGUGUAAGGUGCCAAAUUCAUACAUAUUGAAGUUCAAAUAUGAGUUGUUAAAAGUUUAUGAUAAAAUUUUAAAAUUAAGGUAUUAAAAUAUUUUUUUAAUACCUUAAUUUUUUAAAAACCAUUAGUUUUUUAAUGCAAGAUUUUAAAAGUUCUUAUAUAAAAAGCUACUACCAUUUUCUAUUUUCAAAAAUAGAAAAUAUGAAAUAUAUAGACUGAAAACUUAGUACAUAAAUUUUUAUUUAUUGGUUAAUAAAAUUUAUAGUUAAAAUAUUUAAAAUUUAUAAAUAAAAAACAUUGCAUUUUGUUGUUAAAUAUAUAAAAACAUUUUAUUUAUAAUAAAUAAUGUUCGAUGCUAAUGUCAUUUUUAUGUUAUGCUAUAAUCAAUUUUUAAUUCUUUUUUUAAAACUAAAAUUUUAAUUUCUUUAAUUAAAAUUUUUCUUUUAAAAAUGAGUACUACAAAAAGGAAUUGAAAUAAGACUAAAUUUCCAUGAUGCUUGCAUGUGAUGACAGUUUGGCUGCCAUCUCCAUUUGUAGUCGAUUCUACAAUUUGAUCCAUGAGUAAUAUAUAUAUAUAUAUAUAUAUAAAAUGAAAUAAGAGUAAAUUUCCAUGAUGCUUGCAUGUGAUGAUAGUUUGGCUGCCAUCUCCAUUUGCAGGUUGGAAUUAGAAUCCAAGUUAAGAUUCUACAAUUUGAUCCAUGAAGUGAAGUUGGGUGAUCUACUAACUUCUAUAACUAAAUUUAUGGCUUGGAAGACCACCCCCUACUGCGAAGCUGUGUGGUGAAGGGAAGGUGCAUAUGUCCUUUCUUUGUCUCAUCUUUAAUUUUUAUUUUAUUUGAUUUGAUUUUUCCUUUAUAUUAAUUGAAAGGUUAAGGAAAAUUCCUAGCCGGUAUAAGAACUGUGUCGAGGCUGAGCUCAAGUCUUCUCUCGUCUCGUCUUUAAUUUUUUCUUUUUCCUUUUUUAUGUGUCUUUUCGUUUAUAUUAAUUGAGUGGCUAUUGGAAAUGUUUUGUCCAAAGCCAAAUAUUUAAUUCAUUGUGAGGUAAAUAAAGACAUAAACAAAGUUUAAAUAAUAAAGAAAAUAAAAGCAAAAACUUUAUAAUUCUUAAUGAAUUUAUGUUUACCCAUGGAUAAGAUUUUAUAUUUAAGUAAUUUUAUCAUCCAUGUAAUUAAACUUUAUUAAUAUUCAGAAAUCAAAUUAUGAAAAGGCCAAAACAAUUGCAAUAAUAAAAUUAUGAACACUCCCGCACAAGUAAGGCCUAUAUAAAAAGUUCUUAUUUUAUGUUAGUUUUAAGGUAAUUUAUAUAAAAAUUUACAAAGAAUAGGUAAUUAAUAAAUGACUUCACCAUUGUACCCAUGUAAACAAUAUUAAUAAAAUAAAGGGGAAUUUAUGUAACCAUACACCAAGGGGCAAAAUUUUGCCUUUUGGAAACUUAACUUUUUACUUUUCAAAUUCAAUGGAUUUUGUGAAAAAUAAACAAUCUUUCAUACACUGUAAUAGUGAUGUUGAGACCCUUCCAAAAAUACCCUCCUAUAAUUUGACAUCUCUCCUAGUUGGAUAAGUUGCUUGUUGUCCACUUAAGCCAAUGACAUGACUCAGUUACAUGUCAUCAGCCAGCUAGACAUUCCACAUGGAUUGAUGUUUUAAACAAUAUUUACCCCCAAAUAUCUUCUUCUUUCUUCAACCAAACCCUAACACCAAAAUCCAUGUUCUUUCUUAUUCGUUCACAGGCACAACCCAUCACAAGGCGAAAGGAUCCAUAAAAAAUCUGGUAGGUUCUCAAAUCGCGAUAACCCAUCAACCCCAAACGAACCUCCAAACUUGAUCUCUUAUUUUGUUUCUCCUCCAUCACCAUAAGGAAGACAACAUCUUCAUUUUCCCACCAAACAUCAAUCUGAAAACAAAAGUCCAAGUGCGAACCCCUUAACAAAGGCCAGGUAGACAAAAAAAAAACCCAUUUCCUUCUUCUUAUUUCAGGAGUGACAGUCAUUUUUCUCCUGGUUGUACUUCCUAUUUUGCUUUUACAUCGAAAAAGGAGAAAGAAAGCAAUUGAAAGAACGAGAUAACGAAGAAUAAAAAUAUUGUAGUUGCAUUUAACUUUUAAAGCAAGGGUUUUUCCAAGUGAUAUAUAUAUAUGUUAUUAAAUUUUGUAAUAACUUUAUAUUUUGAUUUGUCAUUUUGAUUCUUUGAGAUUUGAAUAAUGUCAUAGUUAUGUGAUUUGUGCAAUUUUGUGAUUUAAACUUGAUUACAUUGCAUAUUUCUACAUGUUCAAUGUCCAUUAAUAUUGUAUCUAAAUUUAUAUUUUAAUUUAUUUAGGGUUUAUUUGAAAUGAAAUAUGGCUUAAAUUUUGAUAAAUGAUGGGAAAAUGAGAUGGUGGUAAGCUAUAUUGAUUUUGUUUUAUUUCUGAAUUGUUGUGUUUGUGUUGUAUGUGGUUGUUGGGAAGAAUACAGAAAAGAGAAGAAAAAUAUGAGUAUUGCAUGUGAAGGGAAUACAAUUUUUAGGAAUGUUCAAACAAUUUGUUGUUUAAUGUUGUUUAUAUGGGAUUCGAGAUGUUUUGUUGUUUAAUGUUGUUUAUCUAGGAUUCCAAAAUGAGUAAUUUGAGUGAUCUUUUAUAGUUGUUAAUUGGUGAAUCUAAUGCAUGGGAAAAGAAUUCAUGUUUAGUCAUGAGUAGAUGAGUAUAAAUUUUAAAAAUGAUUGGGAUUAAAGUUUGAAUAAAUUUCUUAAUAAAAGUUUUGAAUUUGUAAUGAAUAAGGAUUGAAUUGAAGAAGAAAAUAAAACAAAUUUAGUAAAGCGGGCAUGAAUUUAUGUGGGAAUUAGGGAAAAUAGUAUUGGAGCCUUAGGUUCAAAAUUGAUGGUCACAACCACAAAUAUGAAAUUUGUUUUGUUUAUGUGUGUAGUGGUCAUAGUAAGGGUCUACCCUUAGAUGAAGGGGUUGGCCGUAAUUCAGUUAAUGACAUUUGGAUGAAAUUAUUGUUUUCGUAAGAGGUUGCAGUAAGUGAAUUAAAGGCUGACCCAUUUGUUUGGAGGUAGGCCCUUAGUUGUAAAUAUUGUUGUGGUUUAAUCUGGAUAGUAGGCAAAAUAAAGGCUGACCCAUUUGUUUGGAGGUCGGCCCUUGGUUGUAAACAUUGUUGUGGUUUAAUUUGGGCAGUGGGCAAAAUAAAGGUUGACCCAUUUUUUUGGAGGUCAGCCCUUGGUUGUAAACAUUAUUGUGGUUUAAGUUGGGCAGUAGGCAAAAUAAGGGUUGGCCCAAUUGUUUGGAGGUCGGCCCUUGGUUGUAACAUUGUUAUGGUUAAAUUUGGGCAGUGGGCAAAAUAAAGGUCGACCCAUUGUUUGAGGGGGUGGCUCGAAGAGAGUAAAAUUAGCACAAUUUGGCUUGAAGAGUUACCAAAACAAUGGUUAGCCCAUGAAUUGAGAGGUUCACUCCCUAACUUAUAUAACAUAACAAAUUACUACGAAGUAAAAUAGAAUAAUUGCAUUGCUUAAUGUUAAGUAUACACUAUGCAUGUCUAUAUUUACACCAUUAAUUGUAAACUAUGAAAUGUAAAUGAAGCUCGUUUGUAAAGUUUCAAAGAUAAAUGAUGUAUUAAUAUAUGAUGGUCAUAGGCAUGAUAAUCAGUUUUGUUAUAAGUAAGUUGGUUUAUGCAGUGUUAUUAAGAAAUUAGUUAAUUGUUUCAGCUUGAUUAAAGGUUCAUGCUUCUAAACAGGGGCUGCACAUGAUCGAGUAGCAUUUAAAUGGAUCCAAAUAAUACAAUUUAUUGUUAUCUGCACAUUGGAGGAGAGCUAGUAAGGGAUGAACAUGGAAAUGUGGAAUAUAUGGGUGGGAGACGAGAGGGUCUAAGUUUAGAACGAUCAAUGACAUAUAAUGAUUUUGUUUCAAGGAUUUGUGGGAAAAUGAACAUCAAUAUAGUCGGACCAACAUUUUCAUAUACUCUCCCGUUUGAUUUAUAUGCACUUCAACCAUUGAAAAAUGAUGAAGACUUGACAAACAUGUUUCAAUUUAGUGACCGAUGUGCACGUGUAUAUAUAUGUUUAGCAUCAACAGUUGAAGACGAUGAAACGAUUGAGAAUGGAGGACAAGGGUAAGUUAUAUCAAAAAAAUAUAUAAUCUUAAAUGAUUCCAUGUAUUUAUUUAUUUUGUAAUAUUUAUGCUUAUUCAUUAGAUGUUAUAAUGCAGCUUGAACGAAACAAUCGUAGGGUCUAACUCACCGGUCCCAUAUUCAACAAGAGAUGUUGAUAUUAGAAUGCAAUCACGAGGAUUUCAUCAAAGAUGUGCUGAAUCACAUGUUGGUCCACUAGAGUCAAGUCGUUUUGAGAGUGCAAUAUUGGGUAGUGGGCAUACCUUCUCAACUGCAAAUGAAUUUCGGGAUGCAAUAUAUCUCAUGUCAAUAGGAGGCCGUUUUAGAUAUAAGUUUAAGAGGAAUUGUCUUGAUUACUACUCAAAACAUGCUAUUUUGUAGCUUGUAAUUAGCUCUUUUAAACACCCUUGAGUAGUAAUUAUUACCUUUUAACCCAAUUAACAUGUUAAGGACCCUUGCAAUCCGUUUCUAACAAUUAUGUUAAGUUUUGGUGCUUUUUGAUAGCUUUAUGCUCACCAAAGCAAUUUAAGAAUGAGGGAGAGCUAUUUAUAGUUCAUGGCAAAGCUUUUGAAAGCUUAAAUUUAUGAAGAAAUCAAGCUAUGGAGCCUCAUAAUCCUUUGCCUUAUUCGUUCAAAGUAUACAAGGAAGAAACAAUGGAGAAGAGGAAAACAGGGGAUGAAAAUAGGGGACACAGCUGCAGUCUUUCAUCGCACUUUUGGAGCACUUUCUGAAGUCCAUUUUUUACAUUCUAUAUACCAUUUCAAAGCUCAGAAAGUCAAUAAUCCAACGGUUCAAACCAUGUAUGAUUUGGAGCUGAAAUGAGAAAGAUAUGGCCUUCGGAAGACAACUGCAUCAAGCUGAGGGACAAUUUCGCACACCACUGUGCAAGGUGCGAAUUCCUCAGUCCACUGUGCGAGAAUUUCGCACACCUCAAAUCAAGGUGCGAAAUUGGAACUCCAGCGUGCGAAAAUUGGAUAUUUUUGCCGACUCUUUUUCUUCUGAUAUUUUUGUGUCUAAAUUUCCAUUUUCUCCUUGUAUUCAACCACUCAUGUAAUUCCUUAGCUAGGAAGUAUCCAAGGAAGGGUAAAAUUACCUUCCUAUAUAAAUUCUCUUGUAAUCACUGAAAAGGAUCUUCGGAGCUUUCUCCAGGAGACCAACUGAUGUAAAUUUGAUACUUAGUGAAAUACAGAGAUCUCUUUUGUUUUCUUUUUCUCUCUUCUAUUUUCUAUUUCCUUGCAAGUCAAACACCCUCUGAGGAUGUUUUCCCAGAGGAUGAGAGGCUAAACAUUUAGUUUCUUGGAGUAAAGGAAGCUAGGUGAAAAGUCCAGAUUAAAACAUGGAAAGUUUCCGUGCAUUAAAUUCAGGUAGUUGGAGUCCAUAAAUGGUUUAUAAAGCCAAGGUUUUGCCUUAAAUUCCUUUGAAUCACUUUGAAUGGCCAAUACAUGGUAAGCUUAAGGUCUCUGUGGAUGCUUAUUGCUAGAUCCAUAUCAGUCCAUUAGUUAUCAUGUACGAGCCAUUGGAAAGUGAUUCAAGGUGAUAGCCCAUAGUGUCUUAAGCCAUUAAUGGACCUUGACUACCAUCUCUAGUGACUUUUUAUGGAUUAAAACUUCAUUGUCAAACCUAUACCGGUUCGGGAAAUAACUAUAGGUUAAAUCCCCAAUGCGAGGAGAAAAAUCCGGAAUUUUCCACUUUGCAUCUGGCACUUGAACCUAGCAACCUUCAGCUCCGGGAGACUUUCUUUCUUACACUUUUUACUUAGUUCUAUGUGAGUUUAGUUUAAAUCACCACUUUCAAAACAAUUUUAUUUUCUUUUAAAUUUCAAGUUUGUGCUAAAGGAAAUCAUUAGAAUCAAUUUCUAAUUUAGAGUCUGUCACUGAUAGAGUGAAAACCCAUCCCUGAGUUCGACCCUAGAACUACUAUACUAUAGUAGCUUUGCUACGCCAGUAUAAGGUCAUAGGUUUUAUAAAUGUUUUUGAUUAAAAGACCCGGCUGGGCAUCGAAUCAAAUGGCGCCGUUGCCGGGGAUGGUGCCACAAUACAGUGAUACAACCUUUUAGAGGCUACUUGUGAUUUUCAUCACAACCAGGGUGAAUUCCUUUUUCACUAAUUUCAUUUUCUUUCAUUUUUCUUUUGUUAAUUUUAUAUUCAUUUUCUUCCUAACUUUAACCUUUUCUUUAGUUUCCUUUUGUUUUUACUAUACAGGAAUUGUAACUUGUGCAUGCCCUAUUGGAUUAGGGACCAAGAGGGAAGAUUAGUAAGGAUUGAGAAUCCUCAAGACACAGAGUUGGAUAUCUGUGUAAAUAUCAUGGACCCUCCACCAGAGGAUCAGAAUUCUCAACAAGGUCAAGGGGGUAAUCCCAAUGCAUACCUAUCCAUGAGGGAUAGAAUGCAUCCCCCAAGGAUGAGUGCACCCUCAUGCAUCCUGCCCCCACUUGAGCAGUUGGUUAUAAGGCCCCAUAUUGUGCCCCUCCUACCAACUUUCCAUGGAAUGGAGAGUGAGAAUCCAUAUUCUCACAUCAAGGAGUUUGAGGAGGUGUGUAAUACCUUUAGAGAGGGAGGAGCUUCAAUAGACUUGAUGAGACUCAAGCUAUUCCCUUUCACUUUGAAAGACAAGGCAAAAAUAUGGCUUAAUUCUUUAAGGCCAAGAAGCAUAAGGAAUUGGGUUGAUCUUCAGGCUGAGUUUUUGAAAAAAAUUUUCCCCACUCAUAGGACCAAUGGGUUGAAGAGACAAAUCUCAAAUUUUUCUGCUAAAGAAAAUGAGAAGUUCCAUGAAUGUUGGGAAAGGUAUAUGGAGGCCAUCAAUGCUUGUCCUCAUCAUGGUUUUGAUACAUGGCUCUUAGUGAGCUAUUUUUAUGAUGGAAUGUCUUCUUCCAUGAAGCAAAUUCUUGAAACCAUGUGUGGGGGAGAUUUUAUGAGUAAGAAUCCUGAAGAAGCCAUGGACUUUUUAAGUUACGUGGCUGAGGUGUCAAGAGGAUGGGAUGAGCCCAACUCAAGAGAGAAAGGAAAGUUUCCCUCUCAACAAACCCAAAAUCCAAAGGCUGGAAUGUACAUGUUAAGUGAAGACGUGGACAUAAAAGCUAAAGUGGCAACAAUAGCUAGGAGGUUGGAAGAACUUGAAUUGAAAAAAAUACACGAAGUCCAAGCCAUUUCCGAUACCCAAGUCAUGUUAUGCCAUGCACCAUUUGCCAAUCAUGUGAUCAUGUGGUAGAUGAGUGUCCAACCAUGCCAGCUGUGAGAGAGAUGUUAGGUGAUCAAGUAAAUGUUGUGGGGCAAUUUAGGCUCAACAACAAUGCAUCUUAUGGAAACACCUAUAAUUCAAGCUGGAGAAACCACCCAAAUUUUUCUUGGAAACCAAGGACACCUCCAUACCAACCACAAGGCCAAACCCAAGUACCUCAACAACCAUCUUCAGUGGAGCAAGCCAUUGUAAACCUGAGUAAAGUCAUGGGUGACUUUGUGGGUGAACAAAAGGCAAUUAACUCCCAAUUGCAUCAAAAGAUUGAAAAUGUUGAGAGCUCUCAAAUAAAGAGAAUGGAGGGGAUGCAAAAUGAUCUAUCUCAGAAGAUAGAUAAUAUUCAGUACUCCAUCUCUAGGCUUACCAACCUAAACACAGUGAUUGAGAAGGGAAAGUUCCCCUCUCAACCAAGCCAAAAUCCCAAGGGUGUUCAUGAAGUUGAAACCCAAGAUGGUGAGUCUUCAAAUUUGAGGGAGGUUAAAGCUGUGAUCACUUUAAGGAGUGGAAAAGAGGUUGAUCAACCCCUGCCUAAGGUGGGGCAUGAUGAAGAACUCAUAUCAAAGAGACCCUUGAUUAAUGAGAGCAAAAGCCAAGAAGAGAAGAGUGGGAAGAAGAGUGCAUCCAAAUCAAGCAUCGAGGAAGAACCAAGGAUAGUGAUUAAGGAGGAUAUGAUGAAGAAACAUAUGCCUCCCCCUUUUCCUCAAGCUUUACAUGGAAAGAAAGAAAUCAAGAAUUCAUCAGAAAUUCUUGAGGUUCUGAGACAAGUGAAGGUGAAUAUACCCUUACUUGAUAUGAUCAAACAAGUCCCCACAUAUGCAAAGUUUCUAAAAGACUUGUGCACAGUCAAAAGAGGUUUACAGGUGACAAAGAAUGCAUUCCUCACUGAGCAAGUGAGUGCUAUCAUCCAGAGUAAGUCCCCAGUUAAGUAUAAAGAUCCGGGAUGUCCCACCAUAUCAGUCAACAUUGGAGGGACACAUGUGGAAAAAGCUUUAUUAGAUUUGGGAGCAAGUGUGAAUUUGCUCCCAUACUCUGUGUAUAAACAAUUGGGACUAGGAGGAUUAAAGCCCACAACCAUGACCCUCUCCUUAGCUGAUAGGUCGGUCAAAAUCCCAAGAGGAGUGAUAGAGGAUGUUCUAGUUCAAGUGGACAAAUUCUACUAUCCUGUGGAUUUUGUGGUGCUUGAUACUGAUUCCACUGUCAAGGAAGAAAAUUAUGUACCAAUCAUCCUAGGGAGACCUUUCCUAGCUACCUCCAAUGCUAUUGUUAAUUGUAGGAAUGGGGUGAUGCAGCUCACAUUUGGAAACAUGACAUUGGAAUUAAACAUAUUCCAUUUAUGUAAGAGGCAUCUUUACCCUGAUGAGGAGGAAGGAUUUGAGGAGGUGUGCUUGAUCAACACUUUGGUUGAAGAGCACUGUGACAAGAGUUUAGAGGAGAGCUUGAAUGAAAACCUGGAAGUCCUUGAAGAUGGGUUCCUUGAACCCUCUGAUGUGCUAGCCAUUAUGUCUCCUUGGAGGAGACGGGAAGAGAUCUUACCACUGUUCAACCAGGAAGACUCUGAAGGAGUUGCUGUGGAGGACCCUCCAAAGCUUAUUUUAAAGCCACUUCCUGUGGGUUUGAAGUAUGCAUACUUGGAGGAUGAUGAGAAAUGUCCAGUGGUAGUUUCCUCAACCCUCACUAGUGAUCAAGAGGAUAGUCUUUUAGGAGUCCUCAGAAAAUGUAAGAAAGCCAUAGGAUGGAAAAUUUUUGAUCUUAAAGGGAUUAGCCCUUUGGUGUGCACCCACCAUAUUUAUAUGGAGGAAGAUGCAAAACCAGUGAGGCAACCCCAAAGGAGACUGAAUCCUCACAUGCAAGAAGUGGUGAGGAAUGAAGUUUUGAAGCUACUUCAAGCUGGGAUCAUAUAUCCCAUCUCAGACAGCUUGUGGGUGAGUCCCACCCAAGUAGUCCCAAAGAAAUCUGGAAUCACUGUGAUCCAGAAUGAGAAAGGGGAGGAAGUCUCUACACGUCCUACCUCAGGAUGGAGGGUGUGUAUAGACUAUAGGAGGUUGAAUUCAGUGACUAGGAAGGACCAUUUUCCAUUGCCUUUCAUGGACCAAGUCCUUGAGAGAGUCUCAGGACAUCCUUUCUAUUGUUUUCUAGAUGGUUAUUCAGGGUACUUCCAAAUAGAAAUUGAUUUGGAAGAUCAAGAAAAGACGACCUUCACUUGUCCCUUUGGUACUUUUGCAUAUAGGAGAAUGCCCUUUGGUCUAUGUAAUGCUCCUGCAACUUUCCAAAGAUGCAUGCUAAGCAUCUUCAGUGAUAUGGUGGAACGCAUCAUGGAAGUUUUCAUGGAUGACAUCACUGUAUAUGGAAGUUCUUAUGAGGAGUGUUUGAUGCAUUUAGAAGCUGUUCUCCAUAGAUGUAUUGAGAAAGACCUAGUGCUAAAUUGGGAGAAGUGCCAUUUUAUGGUGCAAAAAGGAAUUGUCUUAGGACAUAUCAUCUCCAAAAAUGGCAUUGAGGUAGAUAAGGCAAAGGUGGAGCUGAUUGUUAAGUUGCCACCUCCCACAAAUGUUAAAGGAAUUAGGCAAUUCCUUGGACAUGCCGGGUUCUAUAGGAGGUUCAUUAAGGAUUUCUCAAAAAUCUCAAAACCUCUGUGUGAGCUUUUGGUAAAGGAUGCCAAGUUUGUGUGGGAUGAGAAGUGUCAGAGAAGUUUUGAGGAAUUGAAACAAUUCCUCACAACUGCACCAAUAGUGAGAGCCCCAAAUUGGAAAUUACCUUUUGAGGUAAUGUGUGAUUCAAGUGAUCUUGCUAUGGGGGCUGUUUUGGGGCAAAGAGAGGAUGGAAAGCCCUAUGUGAUCUAUUAUGCAAGCAAAACUUUGAAUGAGGCUCAAAAGAACUACACAACUACUGAGAAGGAGUUGUUGGCAGUAGUUUUUGCCUUGGAUAAGUUUCGUGCUUAUUUGGUAGGGUCCUCUAUAGUGGUGUUCACUGACCAUUCUGCUUUGAAGUACUUGCUAACCAAGCAGGAUGCCAAGGCAAGAUUGAUAAGAUGGAUUCUUUUGCUCCAAGAAUUCAAUCUCCAAAUCAGGGAUAAAAAGGGGGUAGAAAAUGUGGUAGCUGACCACUUGUCCAGACUUGUGAUAGCACAUGACUCACAUGGUCUGCCUAUCAAUGAUGACUUCCCUGAGGAGUCUCUCAUGUCAGUAGAUGUAGCUCCAUGGUAUUCUCACAUUGCAAACUUUUUGGUUACUGGAGAAGUACCAAGUGAGUGGAGUGCUCAAGACAAGAGACAUUUCUUGGCUAAGAUCCAUGCCUAUUAUUGGGAGGAACCUUUUCUUUUCAAAUAUUGUGCAGAUCAAAUUAUAAGGAAAUGUGUUCCUGAGCAAGAGCAAUCGGGAAUUCUUUCCCAUUGCCAUGAUAGUGCAUGUGGAGGUCAUUUUGCCUCCCAGAAAACAGCUAUGAAAGUGAUCCAAUCAGGCUUCUGGUGGCCCUCUCUUUUCAAGGAUGCCCAUUCUAUGUGCAAGGGAUGUGAUCGGUGUCAAAGGCUUGGUAAGCUAACACGCCGAAAUAUGAUGCCCUUGAACCCCAUCUUAAUAGUGGAUAUCUUUGAUGUCUGGGGUAUAGACUUCAUGGGACCAUUUCCAAUGUCGUUUGGACAUUCCUACAUCUUGGUAGGAGUGGAUUAUGUCUCUAAGUGGGUAGAAGCAAUCCCAUGUAGGAGCAAUGAUCAUAAAGUGGUACUUAAAUUCCUCAAGGACCACAUCUUUGCAAGAUUUGGAGUGCCAAAAGCCAUUAUAAGUGACGGGGGAACCCACUUUUGCAAUAAACCUUUUGAGACUCUUCUAGCCAAGUAUGGGGUUAAGCACAAGGUAGCUACACCUUAUCACCCCCAAACAAGUGGCCAAGUUGAGUUAGCUAACCGAGAGAUCAAGAAUAUAUUGAUGAAGGUGGUUAAUGUGAAUAGGAAGGAUUGGUCUAUCAAGCUCCUGGAUUCCUUAUGGGCUUAUAGGACAGCUUACAAGACCAUUCUAGGAAUGUCUCCCUAUCGCCUUGUUUAUGGCAAAGCGUGUCAUCUUCCAGUAGAGAUUGAGUAUAAAGCAUGGUGGGCAAUCAAAAAGCUCAACAUGGAUUUGACAAGAGCCGGGUUAAAGAGAUGUUUGGAUUUGAAUGAAUUGGAGGAAAUGAGGAAUGAUGCAUACCUCAAUUCAAAAAUUGCAAAAGCAAGAUUGAAAAAAUGGCAUGAUCAGUUGGUAAAUCAGAAAAAUUUUACCAAAGGACAAAAAGUUUUGCUUUAUGACUCUAAACUUCAUCUCUUUCCAGGAAAGUUGAAAUCCAGGUGGACGGGUCCUUUCAUAAUUCAUGAAGUGCAUCCCAAUGGAGUGGUGGAAGUAUUCAAUCCCACAGGCAAUCAAACCUUCAAAGUUAAUGGCCAUCGUCUCAAGCCAUUCAUAGAGCCUUACAGUACAGACAAGGAGGAGAUCAACCUCCUUGAACCACCACAACUCUGAGGGAAAGCAGGGUAUCAUGGGCUAAAUAAGUCCAUGAAUUUUUUGUUAUAGUUUUAUAGUUAUAUCAUUAUUUUUAUUUCUUUUUAUUAUAAUUUUUCCUCAAUCUUAGUUUAUUUUGUCUUAAUUCAAGUCAAUUUUGAUGAUAAAUUUCAGAAAAAAAUCAUGAAAGAUGGGGAGAACUCUUCAAAAGCAAGACAGGGGAGUAAAACCAAGGAAACAGAGCACCUGAUUUCAAGGUGCGAAAAUUUCGCACACCCCAAAACCAAGGUGCGAAAUCCUCGGUCCAAAGGAGCCAUUUUCGCACACCCCAAAACCAAGGUGCGAAAUUUUGUUCAAGGUGCGAAAAAUGAUUUCAAGGUGCGAAUUCCCUAAAAACCAUUUUCGCACACCACUGUGCAAGGUGCGAAAAUUUUCGCACUAUGCGAAAUCUCCUCCUGGCACACGAGUGCCAUUUUCGCACACCUCAAGCCACUUUUCGCACCGUGCGAAACAAGGUGCGAAAAUUUCGCACACCUGAUUUCAAGGUGCGAAAAUUUCGCACACCUCAUUUUAAGGUGCGAAAUCCUCAGCUAAAGGGGUGCCAUUUUCGCACACCUAAUUUCAAGGUGCGAAAUUUGCAGGCCAAGGUGCGAAAAUUUCGCACGGUAAAAUUUUAAGUUCCAAAAAUUUUAAACGGACUUUUAAAUUAAAAUUUUACCCCCGAAAUUGUGCCUAACGUCCAAAAACGACUUUUCGGUUGCCUUGGAAAAUUUUAAAACAUCAAAAACCCCCUAAACCUCAUUCCUAUAUAAUCCCUUGAAGACCAGAAGCUCAAAGGACUCCCCCACGAACCAGCUGAGAAGCCUCUGGAAUCCCAAACAGUCGCCCACCUCCAUUUCGGCCAUGGCGAAGACCAGAGGAGGCCUUUCCGGCUCCCCAUCCUCACCGACACCUCGACCACAUCGAGCCGCCAUGGGAGCCGCAGCUUCGCCACCUGUUCAGGCCCCGGACAUUCCCCCAUCUGAGGGGGAAGCCCCUUCUCAGCGCCGAUACCCCACCAGGAGAUCACCCGCGGACCCUGUGCCACCCGCCGACCAAGCUCAGAGACCUGCUUCUCGGCCCCCUGCCAAGAGAACCAAGUUCUCGGGUCCUGGAGAGUCAGAGCCGCCUACAGAGGAGCCUCGGAUUCCUGUGGAGAUUACCCCCGAGACCCUUAUCAGGCGUCCCAUGAUAGCCGGACCACCGAUAGAGGGCAACUUGGAUUGCAGAGAUCGAUCCUUCCACUCCGAGACCUACUUUGAUAUAGAGGCCCUCAAACAGCAGCCAGAGCUCAGAGAUUCAUUCCGACUGCUGCAGAGGUAUCACAUGGAGGAUCUUCUCACUCCUAGGCAAUUCUACUAUCCCAGAGUAGUUAUAGAUUUUUAUCAAUCUAUGACUACUCGUGGCCUCCGCAAUCCUACCCUCAUCCAAUUUACCAUAGACGGACGCCAGGGUGCCAUUGGAGCUCGCCACAUUGCUGAGGCCCUCCGUAUACCUUAUGAGCCUGUGAUUCAGGCAGAUUUCAGGGAGUGGUCCUCAUUCUCUCAGAGCGACAUGGUCCGCAUUUUGUCCAGGGGGACUUCUACAACAUCAGUGUUGACUAGGAGAGAGCUUCCAUCUGGGAUGCUCCUUAUUGAUGUGCUCCUGCGUGCCAACCUUUUCCCCCUUCAGCACAAAGUUCAGAGGCGAGGAGCUAUACUUGAGGCGUUAUUUAGGAUUUCUGAGGGCUAUUUCUUCGGCCCUCAUCAUUUGAUUAUGACUUCUCUUCUUCAUUUUGAAGAGAAAGUCCAUCAGAAGAAGCUUCAAAGGGCAGAUGGCAUCCCAUUACUAUUUCCGAGGCUCCUCUACCAGAUUUUAGAGCACCUGGGCUAUCCUGAACAGCCCCGUCUUGAGAGGCGCCGCCAUUGCCGAGAGGACUUCUCUCUCGACAAAUGGCAUCACUUGGUAGCCUACUUUGCACCCCAGGGAGCCCCAGCUGUGCCUGCACCUCCAGAGCUACCCCAAGAUGAGCAGAUGCCUCAGGCCCAGCAGGAUGAGAUUCUCACAGAGACCACACCUCCUGCCCCUGCAGCACACCCCUCAGAGCAUAUUCCUGAGCCUAUACAUCCUAUUUCUCCUAUCACUUCGGGUGCUCCACCAGUCAUGCCAGCUACCCCAGCACCUCCUCUUUCAUCUGAGCCCACUGUCACCGUUUCUCUUACGGAAUUCAGAGGCUUAGAGCGUUCAUUGCGGACACUGAGCACUGCUCAGGAUUCUAUUAUCCACCAGAUGGCCACUAUUCGGGCACACCAGGAUCAGAUCAUUGCUACUCAGGCCCAGCAUACCACGAUCCUUCAUCAGAUUCAGCAACAUUUGAGUUUGCAGACACCUUUUGGGCAUGAUAGGUCUGCACCAUCCGAGCCUCUAGAGCUAGAUACGGAAAGCUUACUAGCUGAGCAGCCCAUACCAGAGGAGGAGAUCAGAGCAGAGCCAUCACAUGACACCCCUCAUAUUUGAUAUUUUUAUAUUUUACUUGUUUUUUAUUUUAGACUUGUAAAUCCCAUCUUUUGCAUGUGUUAUAAACUGGGAUUGGAAGUAUUACUUGAAAUCAUACAUUGUAUAUUUCUUUUACAAGUAAUAUAUAUAUAUAUAUAUAUAUAUAUAUAUCCUUUUUGAUUAUAUUCCCUUUUCUCAUUACUCUUUUGUCCUUGGAACAUGUGGUUUAAGGUACUCCAUACCUCCUUUACACUCAGACUUUGUCUCACUCAGGAGGUACCACUUCCUCCCUUUAUUUUUAAUUGGGGGGAGAGUUGAGAAAGGAAGUUUUGUGUUAAUACUAAGUUAUUUUGGUAUUUUUAGUUGAUUUUGGUAUUUUUAGUUGAUUUUUGCUUAAAAUUUAAAAUUUUUAAAAGUUUUUUGAAUCAUUCUCUAUGGUUGUUAAAGAUAAUUUCUCAAAAAUAAAAUAGGAUAAGUCGAGUUUUAACUUAAUUAUUUAAGUCUUAGAGUUUGUUUUAUGCUUUCAAAGUUGAUAAUCUAUUGAAGCCUCUUUGAUUUAGAACUUUCUUCUUCCAUUUCAAGCUUUACACACACUGUGCACAUUAGAUCCCGGAUAUAUGAUGUAAAACUUUCUACCUUCUAAGCUUAGAAAAAUUUUGACUUGGUUCAUUACUUAACCUCUCUUUAAUAGUGUUGGAACACCUCAUAAAGACCAAUGAGUCUUUGAAAAAAAAAAAAAAAAAAAAAAGAAGAAUAAGCUUCUAUUCUUUCCUUGAAACCUAAGCAUGAUCCGAAGGGGUAGCGAAAGCCUUUAAAACCCGAUGCCCUAAACCUUGAUUGGUUGGGAGUCAUCGAUCCUCUGCUUGCUACAUAGGUGAAUUGGUUAAGAUUAGUGAGUAAAAAGAAUUGUGAAUAAGAAGGUGUGUUCCUAACCUAUUAAGAGUUGAUUAAUUUUGCCAAUGUUCGAGAAAAGCUUAGGUUGGAGGGUGAGGAUAGUUGUAUAUACUAUAUCCGGAAGCUAAUCUCGUUAACACUUAGCUUAUUAUGGAAGAGUUUGAUUUGGAACCUUGAGAGUAGAGAUUCUUUUGAUACCUAAUUGCAUAAUCUCCACUCUUUGUACUUUUUGUUUAAGUUUUAAGCUUUGAUAACUCCUGUUGCAUUUUGAAUCUUCAUAUCUUUAGUUAGCCAGGUGAGAUGAGUUUGGAUAUCAGUCAUGCCUCUCAAUUAUUUUUUGGAAAUGAAUUGCAUGACCUCUUUUAUGUAUAUUAUUACGUUUGCUUAGUUUUUCUCUCCUUAAUUGCUAAGGGACUAGCAAUAUGUCGGUUGGGGGGAGUGAUUACUACUCAAAACAUGCUAUUUUGUAGCUUGUAAUUAGCUCUUUUAAACACCCUUGAGUAGUAAUUAUUACCUUUUAACCCAAUUAACAUGUUAAGGACCCUUGCAAUCCGUUUCUAACAAUUAUGUUAAGUUUUGGUGCUUUUUGAUAGCUUUAUGCUCACCAAAGCAAUUUAAGAAUGAGGGAGAGCUAUUUAUAGUUCAUGGCAAAGCUUUUGAAAGCUUAAAUUUAUGAAGAAAUCAAGCUAUGGAGCCUCAUAAUCCUUUGCCUUAUUCGUUCAAAGUAUACAAGGAAGAAACAAUGGAGAAGAGGAAAACAGGGGAUGAAAACAGGGGACACAGCUGCAGUCUUUCAUCGCACUUUUGGAGCACUUUCCGAAGUCCAUUUUUUACAUUCUAUAUACCAUUUCAAAGCUCAGAAAGUCAAGAAUCCAACGGUUCAAACCAUGUACGAUUUGGAGCUGAAAUGAGAAAGAUAUGGCGUUCGGAAGACAACUGCAUCAAGCUGAGGGACAAUUUCGCACACCACUGUGCAAGGGUGCGAAUUCCUCAGUCCACUGUGCGAGAAUUUCGCACACCUCAAAUCAAGGUGCGAAAUUGGAACUCCAGCGUGCAAAAAUUGGAUAUUUUUGCCGACUCUUUUUCUUCUGAUAUUUUUGUGUCUAAAUUUCCAUUUUCUCCUUGUAUUCAACCAUUCAUGUAAUUCCUUAGCUAGGAAGUAUCCAAGGAAGGGUAAAAUUACCUUCCUAUAUAAAUUCUCUUGUAAUCACUGAAAAGGAUCUUCGGAGCUUUCUCCAGGAGACCAACUGAUGUAAAUUUGAUACUUAGUGAAAUACAGAGAUCUCUUUUGUUUUCUUUUUCUCUCUUCUAUUUUCUAUUUCCUUGCAAGCCAAACACCCUCUGAGGAUGUUUUCCCAGAGGAUGAGAGGCUAAACAUUUAGUUUCUUGGAGUAAAGGAAGCUAGGUGAAAAGUCCAGAUUAAAACAUGGAAAGUUUCCGUGCAUUAAAUUCAGGUAGUUGGAGUCCAUAAAUGGUUUAUAAAGCCAAGGUUUUGCCUUAAAUUCCUUUGAAUCACUUUGAAUGGCCAAUACAUGGUAAGCUUAAGGUCUCUGUGGAUGCUUAUUGCUAGAUCCAUAUCAGUCCAUUAGUUAUCAUGUACGAGCCAUUGGAAAGUGAUUCAAGGUGAUAGCCCAUCUAAGCCAUUAAUGGACCUUGACUACCAUCUCUAGUGACUUUUUAUGGAUUAAAACUUCAUUGUCAAACCUAUACCGGUUCGGGAAAUAACUAUAGGUUAAAUCCCCAAUGCGAGGAGAAAAAUCCGGAAUUUUCCACUUUGCAUCUGGCACUUGAACCUAGCAACCUUCAGCUCCGGGAGACUUUCUUUCUUACACUUUUUACUUAGUUCUAUGUGAGUUUAGUUUAAAUCACCACUUUCAAAACAAUUUUAUUUUCUUUUAAAUUUCAAGUUUGUGCUAAAGGAAAUCAUUAGAAUCAAUUUCUAAUUUAGAGUCUGUCACUGAUAAAGUGAAAACCCAUCCCUGAGUUCGACCCUAGAACUACUAUACUAUAGUAGCUUUGCUACGCCAGUAUAAGGUCAUAGGUUUUAUAAAUGUUUUUGAUUAAAAGACCCGGCUGGGCAUCGAAUCAUGUCUUAAGCAUAUGACUGUAAUAUGUGUUGUUGAAGGAUGCCCUUGGAAAGUAACUGCUCGUGCUGUUGGGAGAACAAAAAUAGUUCAAGUGCAUACAUUUAUAAAUGAACAUAACCACUCUUUAGAAGAUGUGUCAAUUUCCGAACCAGUAGUUCGUUGUAAUCGAGCCACAGCUAUGAUUGAUGAUGUUAUUCGUUCAAAUCCAGAUUACUUACCCCGUCAAAUAUGUAAAGACUUUCGUCGACAAUACGGAAUGCAAUUGAAUUAUUGUCAAGCAUGGAACUUGAAAGAGAAGGCUAAAGAACGAAUUCAUGGUGUGCUGCAAUGUUCAUAUAAGUUGUUACCUUGGUUAUGUACAAGGCUUAUUGAAACAAAUCCAGGGACGAUUGCUGAAUAUAGAUGUUCGGAUGAUGGUCAUUUUAUGCAAUUGUUUGUUGCCCUUUCAGUGUCAAUUCAUGGGUUUCAACUAGGAUGUCGGCCUAUUAUAUCAAUAGAUUCAUCCCACAUGAGUGGGCCAUACAAGGGUGCUUUAUUUUCAGCUUCUUCCUAUGAUGCUGACGAUGACAUGUUUCCACUUGCUUAUGGCUUAUUUAGCUCUGAGAAUUACGAGGAUUAACUUUGGUUUUUAGAGAAAUUGAAUAUGGUCAUAGGUGAAAGAGAUGUUAUAAUAAUAUCUGAUAGGCACAAAAGGAUUAUCCGUAGUGUUUCAGAGGUAUUUGGUAGUGAAAACCAUGCACAUUGCUAUCGUCACAUUAAAGAAAACUUCAGUAGCUUUCUAACAAAGCUAAACACUAAAGGGAGGAAAGGAAAGGAAAAUGCUUUGCAAAUGCUUGAUUCUAUCGCCUAUGUUAGGUUAGAUUGUGAUUAUGAGGUUGCAAUGGAUACUUUAAGGACAUUUAAUCAUGAUUUGGCGAAGUGGGUUGAAGAAAAUAACCCUCAACAUUGGGCAAUCUCUAAAUUUAAGAAGAUGCGUUGGGAUAAGAUGACAAGUAAUUUGGCCGAGUCUUUCAAUUCUUGGUUAAGACAUGAACGACACCAUAACAUUUGUGUUUUCUUCAUCGAGCAUAUGGAUAAGUUAGGAUCUCUUUUAGUCAAGCAUAAAAAUGGACUUGUAAAAUGGAAUGGGUGUAUUGGUCCUAAAACAGAAGAAAAGAUUGCAUUGAACAUUGGAAAAGGUGAAAAUUAUAUCACUUAUUUACACUUAGGUAGUUCGAUGAAAGUAUCCAAUGGAAAAGCAUUCCUGGAAGUGGACUUAAUGGAGCGAACUUGCACAUGUAAAGCAUGGCAAAUGUCUGGAAUCCCAUGUGAUCAUGCUUGUGCAGCUAUACGGCGAAUGGGGUUUGAUGUAUCUGAUUAUGUUGAUGACUGGUAUAAGUACAAUUUGCAAGAGAAGAUAUACUCUGGAAGCAUGCGUACUUUGGUAACGCAUGACAUGCCAAUGAUUGAUGAAGAUGGAACCGUUCGUGAUGCCUUGGGUCAUACUUAUCCCUUUCUUAAUCCUCCAACCACAAAGCGACCUCCUGGAAGACCUAGGAAACGUCGAAUCGAGUCUCAAUUCAUGUAAAAAAAAACAAUUCAUUGUUCUCAUUGUAAUUAGCCUGGGCAUAAUCGUGCGACAUGUAACAACCCAUUGCUGUAAGUUUUUUUUUAUUAAACUUCAUAAUGUAAGAUCGACUUUAUAUUAGUAUGAAAUAGUUUGGUAAUCUUCGUUACUGUUUCAUUGAUUAUAAGCAAUGAGUAAUUUAUUGGAUUUGAAGUGUUUGGUGUACAUAUAUUGUGAUUGUAUGUUGUUCUUCAAUAUUAUGGGAUAUGUUACAUGAUAAUGUAAUUGUAAUAGAAAAAUAUGUACCUUGGUCAUUAUUGUUCAAAGAUGGCAUUGAAGUGACAUAGAUUCAUAUGGCGUCCUUGGCAAAAAAACGAGAUUGUUAACUAGUGGGCAUAAUCGUGGCGAACCUUUACAUGUAGGGGCUGCUACUUUUUGGCUGAUGACCCUUAAGCAUAUUAUUUAGUUUUGUGUGAAAUGGGCAGUAGCCAAAAUAAGGUUGUGCCUAUUAGAUCAUAGGCAACCCUAUCGUUUUUCAUCUUUAAAAUUGGUUUCGUGUUAUGUGAGGUGUCUGUAAAAGGGAGGUUGAACCAUUAACACCAUGGGAAGACAUUCGAACAUUAGUUUAGUAUGUUAUGUGUAGAAGGCAAUCUAGGGGCGCACCUUCCAUUUGAAAGGCAUGCCUAUGUGUUAAUGAUAUUAUAUAACUAUACUACAUGCAGAAGGCAAAGCAGGGGUGCACCCUUGGUUGCAUAGGUAUGCCCAUGGGUAUGAUAACUUUAUUGGGAAAUUCUAUAUGCAGUAUGCAAAGUAGGGGCACACCCUUGAUUUUAGGGGCAUGCCUAUUGCUAAAACCAUUAUAUUGGUAGGCUAUGUGCAGUAGUCAACCUAAGAGCAAAACCUUGAUGGAAGACACAUAAAUGUGGGUGAAAAACUUCUUUUUGUUAAGCUACUUGCAGUAGGAAAAAGAAAGACAUGACUCUCUAUCAGAGGCAUGCCUUUAGGAUGACUAGAGUUGAGGUGUGGGUUGGGCAGUAAGGCAAAUGGAGGCAUACUGAUAGCUUAAAGGUUGGCCCUUGAUGUUCAUAUGAAAUAAACGUUGGAAAUGAUUCCUUGUUGAUUCAAAAUCAUAGAUUUUUUCUAAAAAUUUAAUUGUUCAAUUUUUAAUUUAUUUUUUAUUAUCUUAAUUUUUUUAACUACUUUUUUUAUUUAGCUCAUUAAUAAUUUUUUUUUAUUUAUCCGUUUACUUUUAUUUAAUUUCAAAAUUUUGUAUUUUUAAAUAUUACAAAAAUAGUUGUGCUUAGAAUAUGUUACAAUAUAACAAAAAAUAUAAUGAAGUCCUAAUAUUUUAUAACUAAAAAUUAAUUUGAUUAGAUAAAUGAUUAAUAAUUUUAAUUAUUUAAAUAAAUUAAUUUUAAUAGAAAAAUUGCCACCACAUAUUUGUAAUAAAUUUUUAGAAAUCAUAUCUCAAAUCAAAUAUUUGAUAUAAAUCAAUUUAGUUUUUAUUUAAAAUUUAAUAAAAUAUAUUUUAAUAAAAGUAUUUUUUAAUUUUAAAAUAAAUAACUUAAAUAUAUUAAAUGUAAUUAUGACCCAUCCAUGCUCAGAUGGGGGUCCCGGAAUCACUAGACUUGGAUGUACCAAAUUCAAUGAAGGAUGUACCAAAUUUAAUUAAGGAUGUACCAAAUUUUGUUAAAGAUGUACUAAGGGCUCCAAAGUGUGAUACGAAGUGGGGAUCGGCUCCAAAUCACUCUGUUAUGGGUUUCUAAAUAAAAUAGUGGCUCAUCCAUGGUCAGAAGAGGGUCCCGCAAUCACUAAGCUCGGAUAGACCAAAUUUAAUGAAGGAUGUACCAAAUUUUGUGAAGGAUGUACCAAGGGUUCGAAAAUGCGUUCCGAAGUGGGGAUCGACCCCCAAUCACUUUGUUAUGGGUUUCUUAAAGAAAUUACAGACCAUCCAUGUUGAAAUGGGGGUCUCAGAAUCUAUCGGAUCGGAUGUACCAAAUUUAAUGAAGGAUGUACCAAAUUUUGUGAAGGAUGUACCAAAUUUUGUGAAUGAUGUACCAAGGGUCCAAAAAUGCUUUCCGAAGUGGGGAUCGGCCCCAAAUCACUUUGUUUUGGGUUUUUAAAUGAAAUAGUGGCUCAUCCACGGUCAGAAGAGGGUCCCGGAAUCACUAGGAUCGGAUAUACCAAAUUUUGUGAAGGAUGUAACAAGGGUCCGAAAAUGCGUUCCGAAGUGGGGAUCGACCCCCAAUCACUUUGUUAUGGGUUUCUAAAUGAAAUUAUCGACCAUCCAUGUUGAAAUGGGGGUCUCAGAAUCUGUCGGAUCGGAUGUACCAAAAUUUAAUGAAGGAUGUACCAAAUUUUGUGAAGGAUGUACCAAAUUUUGUGAAUGANNNNNNNNNNNNNNNNNNNNNNNNNNNNNNNNNNNNNNNNNNNNNNNNNNNNNNNNNNNNNNNNNNNNNNNNNNNNNNNNNNNNNNNNNNNNNNNNNNNNGGGAUCGACCCCCAAUCACUUGUUAUGGGUUUCUAAAGAAAUUACAGACCAUCCAUGUUGAAAUGGGGGUCUCAGAUCUAUCGGAUCGGAUGUACCAAAUUUAAUGAAGGAUGUACCAAAUUUUGUGAAGGAUGUACCAAAUUUUGUGAAUGAUGUACCAAGGGUCCAAAAAUGCUUUCCGAAGUGGGGAUCGGCCCCAAAUCACUUUGUUUUGGGUUUUUAAAUGAAAUAGUGGCUCAUCCACGGUCAGAAGAGGGUCCCGGAAUCACUAGGAUCGGAUAUACCAAAUUUUGUGAAGGAUGUAACAAGGGUCCGAAAAUGCGUUCCGAAGUGGGGAUCGACCCCCAAUCACUUUGUUAUGGGUUUCUAAAUGAAAUUAUGGACCAUCCAUGUUGAAAUGGGGGUCUCAGAAUCUGUCGGAUCGGAUGUACCAAAUUUAAUGAAGGAUGUACCAAAUUUUGUGAAGGAUGUACCAAAUUUUGUGAAUGAUGUACCAAGGGUCCAAAAAUGCUUUCCGAAGUGGGGAUCGGCCCCAAAUCACUUUGUUUUGGGUUUUUAAAUGAAAUAGUGGCUCAUCCACGGUCAGAAGAGGGUCCCGGAAUCACUAGGAUCGGAUAUACCAAAUUUUGUGAAGGAUGUAACAAGGGUCCGAAAAUGCGUUCUGAAGUGGGGAUCGACCCCCAAUCACUUUGUUAUGGGUUUCCUAAAGAAAUUAUGGACCAUCCAUGUUGAAAUGGGGGUCUUGGAAUCUGUCGGAUCGGAUGUACCAAAUUUAAUGAAGGAAGGAUGUACCAAAUUUUGUGAAUGAUGUACCAAGGGUCCAAAAAUGCUUUCCGAAGCGGGGAUCAACCCCAAAUCACUUUGUUAUGGGUUUUUAAAUGAAAUAGUGGCUCAUCCACGGUCAGAAGAGGGUCCAAGAAUCACUAGGAUCGGAUGUACCAAAUUUUGUGAAGGAUAUACCAAGGGUCCGAAAAUGCGUUCCGAAGUGGGGAUCGACCCCCAAUCACUUUGUUAUGGGUUUCUUAAAGAAAUUACAGACCAUCCAUGUUGAAAUGGGGGUCUCGGAAUCUAUCGGAUCGGAUGUACCAAAUUUAAUGAAGGAUGUACCAAAUUUUGUGAAGGAUGUACCAAAUUUUGUGAAUGAUGUACCAAGGGUCCAAAAAUGCUUUCCGAAGUGGGGAUCGGCCCCAAAUCACUUUGUUUUGGGUUUUUAAAUGAAAUAGUGGCUCAUCCACGGUCAGAAGAGGGUCCCGGAAUCACUAGGAUCGGAUAUACCAAAUUUUGUGAAGGAUGUAACAAGGGUCCGAAAAUGCGUUCCGAAGUGGGGAUCGACCCCCAAUCACUUUGUUAUGGGUUUUUAAAUGAAAUUAUGGACCAUCCAUGUUGAAAUGGGGGUCUCGGAAUCUGUCGGUUCGGAUGUACCAAAUUUAAUGAAGGAUGUACCAAAUUUUGUGAAGGAUGUACCAAAUUUUGUGAAUGAUGUACCAAGGGUCCAAAAAUGCUUUCCGAAGUGGGGAUCGACCCCAAAUCACUUUGUUAUGGGUUUUUAAAUGAAAUAGUGGCUCAUCCACGGUCAGAAGAGGGUCCCGGAAUCACUAGGAUCGGAUGUACCAAAUUUUGUGAAGGAUGUACCAAGGGUCCGAAAAUGCGUUCCAAAGUGGGGAUCGACCCCCAAUCACUUUGUUAUGGGUUUCUUAAAGAAAUUACUGACCAUCCAUGUUGAAAUGAGGGUCUCGAAAUCUGUCGGAUCGGAUGUACCAAAUUUAAUGAAGGAUGUACCAAAUUUUGUGAAGGAUGUACCAAAUUUUGUGAAGGAUGUACCAAGGGUCCAAAAAUGCUUUUCGAAGUGGGGAUCGACCCCCAAUCACUUUGUUAUGGGUUUCUAAAUGAAAUUAUGGACCAUCCAUGUUGAAAUGGGGGUCUCGGAAUCUGUCGGAUCGGAUGUACCAAAUUUAAUGAAGGAUGUACCAAAUUUUGUGAAGGAUGUACCAAAUUUUGUGAAUGAUGUACCAAGGGUCCAAAAAUGCUUUCCGAAGUGGGGAUCGACCCCAAAUCACUUUGUUAUGGGUUUUUAAAUGAAAUAGUGGCUCAUCCACGGUCAGAAGAGGGUCCCGGAAUCACUAGGAUCGGAUGUACCAAAUUUUGUGAAGGAUGUACCAAGGGUCCGAAAAUGCGUUCCGAAGUGGGGAUCGACCCCCAAUCACUUUGUUAUGGGUUUCUUAAAGAAAUUACAGACCAUCCAUGUUGAAAUGGGGGUCUCGGAAUCUGUCGGAUCGGAUGUACGAAAUUUAAAGAAGGAUGUACCAAAUUUUGUGAAGGAUGUACCAAAUUUUGUGAAUGAUGUACCAAGGGUCCAAAAAUGCUUUCUGAAGCGGGGAUCGGCCCCAAAUCACUUUGUUAUGGGUUUUUAAAUUAAAUAGUGGCUCAUCCACGGUCAGAAGAGGGUCCCGGAAUCACUAGGAUCGGAUGUACCAAAUUUUGUGAAGGAUGUACCAAAGGUCCGAAAAUGCGUUCCGAAGUGGGGAUCGACCCCCNNNNNNNNNNNNNNNNNNNNNNNNNNNNNNNNNNNNNNNNNNNNNNNNNNNNNNNNNNNNNNNNNNNNNNNNNNNNNNNNNNNNNNNNNNNNNNNNNNNNGGGACCUCAUCUGACCGUGGAUGAGCCACUGUUUCAUUUAAAAACCCAAAACAAAGUGAUUGGGGUCGAUCCCCACUUUAGAAAGCAUUUUUGGACCCUUGGUACAUCAUUCACAAAAUUUGGUACAUCCUUCACAAAAUUUGGUACAUCCUUCAUUAAAUUUGGUACAUCCGAUCCGACAGAUUCCGAGACCCACAUUUCAACAUGGAUGGUCCAUAAUUUCAUUUAGAAACCCAUAACAAAGUGAUUGGGGGUCGAUCCCCACUUCGGAGUGCAUUUUCGGACCCUUGGUAUAUCCUUCACAAAAUUUGGUACAUCCGAUCCUAGUGAUUCUGGAACCCUCUUCUGACCGUGGAUGAGCCACUAUUUCAUUUAAAAACCCAUAACAAAGUGAUUUGGGGUCGAUCCCCACUUCGGAAAGCAUUUUUGGACCCUUGGUACAUCAUUCACAAAAUUUGGUACAUCCUUCACAAAAUUUAGUAUAUCCUUCAUUAAAUUUGGUAAAUCCGAACCGACAGAUUCCGAGACCCCCAUUUCAACAUGGAUGGUCCAUAAUUUCAUUUAGAAACCCAUAACAAAGUGAUUGGGGGUCGAUCCCCACUUCGAAAAGCAUUUUUGGACCCUUGGUACAUCAUUCACAAAAUUUGGUACAUCCUUCACAAAAUUUGGUAUAUCCUUCAUUAAAUUUGGUACAUCCGAUCCGACAGAUUCCGAGACCCCCAUUUCAACAUGGAUGGUCUGUAAUUUCUUUAGGAAACCCAUAACAAAGUGAUUGGGGGUCGAUCCCCACUUCGGAACGCAUUUUCGGACCCUUGGUACAUCCUUCACAAAAUUUGGUACAUCCGAUCCUAGUGAUUCCGGGACCCUCAUCUGACCGUGGAUGAGCCACUGUUUCAUUUAAAAACCCAAAACAAAGUGAUUUGAGGUCGAUCCCCACUUUAGAAAGCAUUUUUGGACCCUUGGUACAUCAUUCACAAAAUUUGGUACAUCCUUCACAAAAUUUGGUACAUCCUUCAUUAAAUUUGGUACAUCCGAUACGACAGAUUCCGAGACCCACAUUUCAAAAUGGAUGGUCCAUAAUUUCAUUUAGAAACCCAUAACAAAGUGAUUGGGGGUCGAUCCCCACUUCGAAAAGCAUUUUUGGACCCGUGGUACAUCAUUCACAAAAUUUGGUACAUCCUUCACAAAAUUUGGUAUAUCCUUCAUUAAAUUUGGUACAUCCGAUCCGACAGAUUCCGAGACCCCCAUUUCAACAUGGAUGGUCUGUAAUUUCUUUAAGAAACCCAUAACAAAGCUAUUGGGGGUCGAUCCCCACUUCGGAACGCAUUUUCGGACCCUUGGUACAUCCUUCACAAAAUUUGGUACAUCUGAUCCUAGUGAUUCCGGGACCCUCUUCUGACCGUGGAUGAGCCACUAUUUCAUUUAAAAACCCAUAACAAAGUGAUUUGGGGCCGAUCCCCGCUUCGGAAAGCAUUUUUGGGCCCUUGGUACAUCAUUCACAAAAUUUGGUACAUCCUUCACAAAAUUUGGUACAUCGUUCAUUAAAUUUCAUACAUCCGAUCCGACAGAUUCCGAGACCCCCAUUUCAACAUGGAUGGUCCAUAAUUUCUUUAGGAAACCCAUAACAAUGUGAUUGGGGGUCGAUCCCCACUUUGGAACGCAUUUUCGGACCCUUGGUACAUCCUUCACAAAAUUUGAUAUAUCCGAUCCUAGUGAUUCCGGGACCCUCUUCUGACCCUUGAUGAGCCUCUUUUUCAUUUAAAAACCCAAAACAAAGUGAUUUGGGGCCAAUCCCCCCUUCGGAAAGCAUUUUUGGACCCCUGAUACAUCAUUCACAAAAUUUGGUACAUCCUUCACAAAAUUUGGUACAUCCUUCAUUAAAUUUGGUACAUCCGAUUCGACAGAUUCCGAGACCCCCAUUUCAACAUGGAUGAUCCAUAAUUUCAUUUAGAAACCCAUAACAAAGUGAUUGGGGGUCGAUCCCCACUUCGAAAAGCAUUUUUGGACCCUUGGUACAUCCUUCAGAAAAUUUGGUACAUCCUUCACAAAAUUUGGUACAUCCUUCAUUAAAUUUGGUACAUCCGAUCCGACAGAUUCCGAGACCCCCAUUUCAACAUGGAUGGUCCAUAAUUUCUUUAGAAACCCAUAACAAAGUGAUUGGGGGUCGAUCCCCACUUCGGUACGCAUUUUCGGACCAUUGGUACAUCCUUCACAAAAUUUGGUACAUCCUUCAUUAAAUUUGGUACAUCUGACCCUAGUGAUUCCGGUACUGAUUACUACCAAAAAGUGCUAUUUUGUAGACCUAAUUAUAAUGGUUUUAAGCACCUUUGAGUAGUAAUCAUAUUCAUUUAACCCAAUUAAUUCAUUAAGGUCCUUAGUAAUUGGUUUUAACCAUUUUGUGGCAAGUUUACAUGUUUUUAUCAGCUUAUGAAUCAAUUCAAGCAUGCCAAAUGAUUGAGGAGAGUUAUUUGGAAUCCAUGGCAAAGCAAUGAAGAGCUCAAAUUCAUGAAGAAACUAAGCUUUGGAGCCUCAUAGUCCUUUGCCUUAGUCGUUCAAAGUAUGCAAGGAAAGAGCACUGGAGAGAGGAAAAACAGAGUGAAGAAAACAGAGGACAGCAGCUGCAGUCUUCUUGUGCACUUUUGGAGCACUUCCCGAAGUCCAUUUUCUACAUCCUAUAUACCAUUUCAAAGCUCAGAAGUCAAGAAUCCAACGCUUCAAACCGUGUACAUUUGGAGCUGAAAUGGNGGAAGUAUAAGCCUUUGGAAGAUGACUGCNNNNNNNNNNNNNNNNNNNNNNNNNNNNNNNNNNNNNNNNNNNNNNNNNNNNNNNNNNNNNNNNNNNNNNNNNNNNNNNNNNNNNNNNNNNNNNNNNNNNGUUCAGCUUGUUGAUGCGAAAAUAUUUCGCAACCCUCUUGAGUGUCUGCGAAAUCUCGCAGANACCAUUUUUCACUUGCGAAAUGUUCCUUGGAGCUUCUCGAUAUUUGCCACCGACUCUUUUGGAUAUUUUUCUUCAGAUAUUUUUGUAUAAAUUUCCAUUUUCUCCUUGUAUUCAGCCACUCAUGUAAUUCCUUAACUAGGAAGUAUCCAAGGAAGGCUAAAUUACCUUCCUAUAUAAACUCUCAGAUCAUGUAAUCCAUCAAUCAAUAUAUAGAAUAUACAGAGCCUUGCUCUGUUUUUCCUUCUCUUUCAUUUUUCAUUUCUUUUUAUUUCUAGCCAACCAAACUUUGAGGAUUUUUCCUCAAAGGAUGAGAGGCUAAGCUUUUUGUCUCUUGGAGUGAGGAAAGCCGGGUAAGUUUCCACAUGCAUAAUUUGGAAGUUUUGUUGUUUUAGUUUUUAAUGAAGAGAAAGUGUAACCCGUUAGUGAUUUCUAUGUUUUUAGUUAACUUAAAACACCUUAGAGUCAUCUGGGCCAACACUUGGUAAGGCAAGUGAUUUCCAACCAUGGAAAUGCACUAGUUUACCCCUUGUGAGCCUUUGGGAGGUGACUUAAAGGUAGGAUUUUUUAGAAUAGCCAACACUUGGUAAGCUUUUGGACUCCAAGGAGACAUCCAUUAGUUAUCUCUUGCGAGCUUUUGACGGGAAGUCCAAGGUUAAAGAUCAUCUUGAAUGGCAAGUGCUAGGUGAGAGGUAUGAGCCAUUGCAAGAUGCAUCAGUGAGAGGGAUUUAGUGUUUGAACCCAUUAAUGGGAAGCAUCUGUACAACACCGGUUAGAGAAUUAACUAUAUGUUAAUUCUCUAAUGCGAGGAAAAGAAACAAGUGACCGGAACUCCCUUUUUGUAUGAGGAAUCUGAGCCUAGUGAUCUGAACUCCAAGAAACAUCUUUUCUUUAUAAGUAAAAUCAGUUACUAUUUUUGGUUAGUUUAAAACCAAACCUUUUUCAUUCAAACAUCUCUAUGUUUUCUUUUAAAGCUAACCUUGAAAUGAAAAGGCACCAAUUCAACUUUGAAUUAACAUCAUUUGUGAAGUGAAAACUCAUCCCAGUGAACGAUCCUAGAGCCACUAUGCUAUAGUAGCUUUGUCUUUGCUACCCUAGUAUAUGGUGUAAUAGGUUAUAAAUUUUGUUGAUUAAUCCCUCAAUCAAGGAGCACCAGCUGGACACAAAUCAGCUGAGACACCAAUUGGGCACGAAUCAGGUACCCCCUUAGUGCCAUGGAUGGACCAUAAUUUAAUUUGGCAACCCAUAAGUGAUUUAUUUCAAAAUUUAAAAAAUACUUUUAUUAAAACAUAUUUUAUUACAUUUUAAAUAAAAAGUAAAUUGAUUUAUAUCAAAUAUUUGAUUUGAGAUAUGAUUUCUAAAAAUAUAUUACAAAUAUGUGGUGACAAUUUUUCAAUUAAAAUUCAUGUAUUUAAAUAAUUAAAAUUAUUAAUCAUUUAUCUAAUCAAAUUAAUUUUAAGUUAUAAAAUAUUAGGACUUCAUCAUUUUUUUUGUAGCAAAUUCUGAGUACAACUAUUUUUGUAAUAUUUAAAAAUACAAAAUUUUGAAAUUAAAUAAAAUUAAACGGGUAAAUAAAAAAAGUAGUUAAAAAAAUAAAGAUAAUGUAAAAUAGAAUGAUAAUAUAAUUUUGAAAUAAAGUAUUAGGUAAUGACAACGUUUUUUUUGUAGGAAUGAGCAUGAAGGAAAACUAUGGCCACCGCCUUCAUGUCAUACACAUCCCCAAUGGUAUUAUAAACUUUGGAAUCUUAUGUUAUAUGCAAUACACAAAAUAAGGGCCCACCCUUUAUUUCACAGGCAUGCCUAUGUGUCGAAGAUGCCAUGUGCAGUAGCCAAAUUAGGGGCAGACCUUUCAUAUGACAUGCAUGCAAGUGGGUGAAAACCUAAUCGUAGUUAUUAUUUGUGCACUAUCAAAAAGAUAAGCAUGCCCUUGUGCAGGUGGCAUGCCUUCAUAGUGACUUUAUCUUACUUGUUGAUUGGACAGUGUGGUCAUGGGAGGCAGACCCAACACAUGAAGGGUUGGCCCUACACAUUCACAUUGAAAUAAAAUGUAUGGAUAAUUGAUUCAUAUGUGUUAAAGCCUAAAAUAUAGAGUCAAUACAUACUAAGAUUGGAAAAUAGGCAAAAUGUCAUUCAGACAUUCAAAAUAACUUAAACCAACCUCAUAACUAGCAUCACAUUUACACAUAAAUAUUGCAUAGAGUGUUGACAAUUGGUGCAAGAGAGUAUAAAGUUUACUGAUGAUUAAUGAAAGCAUGCAUAUUGAUAAGCAUUGGAAAGCGUUAAAGUAAAAGGAGUUAAGAAGUUGUUUGAGAACGAGAUUUUAUAAACUUAUUACAAAAUCCAUGAAAAUGUUGUGCGCACACAUACGCAUUCGAUUGUAAGACGGAUAGAAAGUAAGGUUACUCCUCUUCAUUAGUCGGUGCAUCUUCGUCUUCUUCAUCUCCACCAUCAUCAUCACCAUCUUCCUCGUCAUCUGUCUGUGAUGGCGUAGGAGGUAGAGCAUCAGGGUGCAAUGCUUUCCAUGCUGCAAUGGAACGAUCGCAUUGUUGACGCACAAUCUUCAAUUGAUUGUUCAUUGAUUUGCACAUUGGGUAAAUAUCCCCAAGCUGAGAACUUUUAGUUGACCUACGCGACGAAGAGGAUGAUGUUUGUUUGUCUAUCGACAUUUUCAUGCGCAUAGGUUGCAUGCGCGGGAUUGACUCAUAAGGUAGUGUCUUGAAAUCCAACCCUGCAUUUUGUAAAAGCAAGCAAACAGUUGAACCAUAUGGUAAUGCACGUGUGCUCACAUUACUACGCCGUGCCUCUAUCAUGUUAUGGCAAAUAAGUGCGGGCAAAUUAAUUUUACUGCGACGUGCCAUGUGAAACAGAAUAUGCAGAACAUAUAGUGUAAGCUCAUUAAGAUGACCCUUCUUAUUCAAGACAGUAUGAAACAAUAUCAGACUUAGAAUCCUGUAUUUUGGAAGUAGAGAUCUAUGUUCAACGCUUGUACCCAACUGAAAACAAUGGCCGCAUAAUUCCUUUGUUAUUGUGUCUGACAUUGCCUUGAUAUCAAUCUCUGGAAUACAAAAGUUAAUAGCUUUCUUGGGUGUUUCCAAAGAGAAGGUGCGUCCAAUAAGGGAUGGGGAAACCCGCACAGCAACUCCCUUGAAUGAAGUGUGAAAUGAAUAUUUCUCCUCGUCAACAUUUCUGAUAUUGUUGUAGAAUGCUCGCACAGGAGUUGGAUAACAUUCUUGCGUUAGCUGUAUAAAUGGUCUCAAUUUGUAAAAAUCUAGUAACUCAGCAACGCCAUGUUCUUCAAACCCAGCAAUUAGUAUGACACGCUCAAUGGCAAUUGGUCGUUUUGCUAUGAGCUUAUCACAUUCGUGCUCAUCAGGUGGGUGGCGAGGCAUGAAAGGGUCAUGUUGGACUUCCUCAGGUACAGUUGACGUUGAGCCAUGUCUAACCUUCUUUUUAGGCGGCAUGAUGUUUGGUCCUUGUAAUGGCACUACAUAUUGUUAAAAAUUCAGUGAUGGAAGUUAGAGAUGAAAAGUUUCAAUUCAUUGCAUCCAAGCCAACCACAAAUAGCUUAAAAAGGAAUUCAAGCAACUCCCAAAAGAGUGGUUGCCACAACCAAGAGAAAAUAUGUGCAGAAAACAAUGAAAAACAAACCUUAUUGUUGUUGUUAUUGUAGCAAAUUGUUGACGAUUAUGCCAGUGAAAAUCUUACAGUGAAAUGGUAGAGUAGCUAAAAUGGAGGAAUGGGUGGGUGGAAGAGGGAGGUUGUGAUGUGCAACGUGUAUAGUAGAAAAUGAGGUGUAAAUGGGAAUGAAUAUGAGUUGUUGAGGAUGUGAUGUCAACCAAACUGAGUAAAUGGUUGAAGUUGGAAUGGAGGUCCGCCUAUGCACGAGAUGUGGCUAGUACAUACAUGCAUUUAAUGUUCCAUAAUGAGUGCAUAGUUACAAGUCACUAAAAUUGGAUGGGAUGAAACAACGUGAAUGAAGUCUUCUACAAGCCUACAAUUGGAGACUAUCAUUAUGUGGAGUGAAUGUGAAGUUAUUAUGUGGUAGGUGCAUCAUAAAUAUUGGUAAUAUGAAGUCUUCUACAAGCCUACAAUUGAAGACUAUCAUUAUGUGGAGUGAAUGUGAAGUUAUUAUGUGGUAGGUGCAUCAUAAAUAUUGGUAAUAUGUUGACCUCUAGUUAUUAAAUGUCCACUGUGGUACAAUCAAAUCAAAUGCAACAAAAGUUUUUCAAGUUUUUGUUCUCGUUGACAUAAAAUGGCCAAAUAUUUAUCGAAUAAGUGUAAUGUAGUUGAUACAAGUAUGAAUAAAUAUAAUAUUUAUUAAAUUUUUAUAAGAAAAGUAGCAUUAAUUGAUUUAAUAUAUUUAAGAGAUUUAUUUUUAAAUUAAAAAAUACGUAUAUUAAAACAUAUUUUAUGACAUUCUAAAUACUUUAAAAAAUGUAUCAUUAAAUUAUUAAAAAUGCUAAAAAAAACUUUCACAAUUGACAAAAAAUGCGCAUGGACUCCAAUUUUUUCCCACAAAAACAGUAGUAGAAGUUUAUUUAAUUCAAUUUGGAAAAAAAUGACCCAUAUCAUUAAAAAUAAUUAUUUUUAAAAAUCAUCCGUAAAUAUAAAAUUCUAUGACUUUAUUAAUCUGAUAGCUACACAUAGAAGCUAAUCACCUUGCUAAACAAAGAUUUAUUACCAGUAUGAUAUUUUCCAUCAUGCCAAACGCUGCACGAGUAUGCAAUUUCGUUUUGUAAAUGCUUAUUGAUUCGACUCAUGGUAGCUUAGCUUUAAAGGCGUAUCAACAAAAUUUAUACCUUAAAUACUAUUACUAAAGUAGCCAAGCUACUAUAGCAUAGUGGUUCUAGGAUCGUUCACUGGGAAGGGUUUUCGCAAACACUAGUGAUAUUCAAAUUAGGAAAAUAGGUGAUUUUCUUAUGGAUGUUAGCUUUAAAAGAAGAUGUAAAUGUUUUAGAAAGAUUUAAACUAAUCUAAGCUAACAUUAAAGACUAAAAUGAAAGGGUGUAAAAACAAGUUUCUCAAAGAUAGGAUAGCUAUGCUCUGGCUCUUAUGCAAAUUGGAAAUCUCAUGAUAGGCUCCUCGAGUUGGGGUUGCAACUAUGGUGAUGCUUGCUUCCCGAACCGGUAUGGAUUUAGCAAAUCAAGUUUUAAUCCUUUAAAAUGGCAAAACAGAUGGUAGUGAAUUUCAUCAAUGGUUAUUCACCUUAGACUUCCUUUGAAUGGCUCGUAAGAGAUAACUAAUGGUCUAAAGCCAAAAGCUUACCAAAUAUUGGCAACUCAAAGUCAUUCCAGGUGAUAAACUCACCUUUCAAUGACCAUUGAAAUUGGUUCUAACGAAUUAAUGCAAAACUUGGAAUUGAAAACCUCACCUUCCAAUAGCUCGUAGGAGAUAACUAAUGGAUAGAAAUCCAAAAGCUUAUCAAGUAUUGGCCGUUGGAAGUUGUCCAAAGGAAAUAAAAACCAAACUUUGCAUUAAUGAACCAUUAAUGAAAAACGACUACCUUACCUUCCAAGUGCGAGAAAUUUCCAUGGGAUUGCAUCCAAGCCAUCACAUAACAUCCAUACUUUGAGAAACUAAAAGUUUUAGCCAAUCAUCCUUUGAGGAAAAGCCCUCAGAGGCUGUUUAGCUUCCAAGAAAAUAAAAUAGUAAAGAGACAAGAGAGACGAGAGAGCUCUGUAUAUAUUUUAAGUGUCAAAACGUCACCUAUGUUAUAUAUUCCAAGAGGUGAUUUCCACCCCUUAUAUAGUCUUUACAAAAGCAAAAGCUUGUGAUUGGUUAGUUACAAGGAUAAGAAAGGAAAUUACAUCAAAAAAUACAAAGGAAAAUAUCUAAAGUGGAGUCGGCAAAAACAGAGGAAAAUUCGCACCACGCAUGGGUUAUGCGAAUUUUGAAGGUGUUAUGCGAAUUUCGCAAAACACCUUGUGUCGUGCGAAAUUUUCGCACAACCUGGAGCAGUUGGCUUCCAAAGGCCAUAUCUUCCUCAUUUCAGCUCCAAAUCGUACACGGUUUGAAGCUUUGGAUUCUUGACUUCCAGAGCUUUGAAAUGGUAUAUAGCAUGUAAAAAAUGGACUUCAGGAAGUGCUCUAAAAGUGCGAAAGAAAACUACAGCUGCUGUCCUCUUUGCUUCUCUUCACUUUGCUUGCUUUUCCUCUUUGCUUCUCUUUCCUUGCAUACUUUGAACGACUUUGGAAAAGGGCUAUGGAGCUCCAAAGCUUGGUUCUUCAUGAAUUUGAGCUUCCAAAAGCUUUGCCAUAACUUGUCCAAGUAGCUCCUCCAUCAUUUGGCAUGCUUGAAUUGAUUCAUAAGCUGAUAAAAACAUGUAAACUUGCCACAAAAUGGUUAAAACCAAUUACUAAGGACCUUAAUGAAUUAAUUGGGUUAAAUGAAUAUGAUUACUACUCAAAGGUGCUUAAAACCAUUAUAAUUAGGUCUACAAAAUAGCACUUUUUGGUAGUAAUCACUUAUAUCAUCCACAAUCAUUUAAACCUCCAUAAAUGAUCAAUAACUAUUUGUAUUUCAUGGCAUUGGCAGAAUUGAACCUUUUGGGAAUACAAGAAAUAAUGUUGAUGGGACAAAAUUAGAACUUCUAACAAAGUACAUAAAUUGGAAAGGUAAGACAAAUUGAGAAACCAAGAAAGAACCACUAGAUUUAGCACACAUUUAGGGUUCCAUUAUGAACUUUCAUCAUGAAACAUUUCCUAGAAUCAAUAGCUAACUAUAGUCCCCAAUGCAACCCAAUUGGCAUCUUUUGCAAUAGAAAUACUGGUGGUUGAUGAGCCCAAUCACAGAACUUCAUGAGCUUUCCCAUAAUACCUGUUUAUAAACGGUGCCUGAAAGGCAUUCCAAACAACAAUAAUUACUAUUUAAAGAUUAAUGAGUCAUACUUAUUUCCUGAAAAAAAAUGUAGAGAGGGCACAAAUAAGAUAAUGCAAUUAGCAUUCAUUAACAAGUGUCUGCUCUAAUAGAAGAGGCCAAAUUCAUUGAUAUGCUACAACCAAUCAACUAUUUUUUGUACUUAUUCACAGAAUGGAUGGCAAAACAUACCCUCAAUAAACCAUGGCCAAGUGAAAACAAGGUGACUAAACAGAAAAAACUCAACUUAAUUAGCUAAGUAAAAGUCAAACCAUUUAGAAAUAGUGUCAUAUUGAUCCAUUUGGAUACCAAGGAAAAAAAAUGGCCACAUAAUGACAAAGCUUUUGGGCGAUCAGUUAGUUGAUAUUAAAAAUAGCAGACAUGUUAUGUUAGCAUGGAACAGAUAAAUAAAUUAAACAUAUAUUCCAUCAAGAGAUUAUUUUUUGACUAUUUAUGUAGGGAACGACUUAUAGCAAUACACCAUGAUCUUGAAUAUCGCAUUAAGGCCAGCUUCAAAAUGCACAAGAUUCAUAGGCUAUCAAUAGUCUCAUAUGGAGAAACAAAAAUAGUGGUGUCGAAGAUAUUCUGUUCUUUCAAUAGAAGAAAUGUUCAAAAUUGUACCUUAACAUUUUAGAGUUUUUGUCAAUGAAGAAUAAUCGGAACAAACUCUAACAAAUUCUAUCUUAUGCUCUCUCUAGCUUUUAACAUGACUGUCCAUAUUAGAUUGUGUUGAUUGGUUGGGCUCUUGAUGAUUAUAGAGAGGUGUUUUUGUUAAUCUCUCAAUCUAAUUGCCUUUAUGUCUUAUUUCUAAACUUCUUGUGUACAUUUGUGCACCUUCUUUUAAUUAGGUGGUGUUAAUAAUAUUAUCUUUUGCAAAAGAAAAAAUAAAUUGUACCUUAACAUUUGAUAUGCCAGGAUUAUCAUCGGUCUGGACUGAGUAGAACUUGUUAAACUUCAUGUUUUCAAAUGCUGCUUUAGUCUAUUAACUCAUUUCUGCAAGGCCUUUUUCUAGGCUUCUCUAGCCUACAAGAAAAGGAAUUGACAAGUACUCAACAUAUUUGAAAUUUAUGUGCAAGACCAAAACUAUUGUAACGAUUGGUAUCUGUUAUAAAAUACCUGUCUAUUGGCUUUUUUUGCCUCUCGGACAUUGUCUUUGACAAAAUUAUGAGCAACCAAAACAAUUUAAGUUCAUGGUAUGGUUAAUUACAUGCAAGAGCAAUCAAUUACAUGCAUAUCAUCAAUUACAGAUCACCUUAAAUGCAUCCUUUUGAUCUGCAUCAAAUUCAUUCUCCUCAAUUAGCUUAUCAGUGACCUCCUAAAGAUAAGAGAAGUACAGUUAACCACAAGAUGUAAAUAAAACAUAAUAAAAACCUAUAAAGCUUAUGAGUAAUGAAGGAACUUAUUCUUUUAGAGGGUUCCUUCCACAACACUCCCCUAGGAAAUAUUAAAGCAGGAACAAGUCGUCCUUUGUCUUAUUAAAUGUCUAACCAUCAAAAAUCACUCUAAACUAAGUUUAGUAUCAAUUGAUUUAUAGAUGCGAGACAGCUAAACCCACAAUAAGAUGGUAACAAGGAUUCUUUCAGCUAAACAGAAAAUACAGCCAUUUGACUAAAUUGGUUUACAGGGUUGUUGAAUUAUCUAAUAAUUAGCUCAUGAUUAUACAUAAACAUAGAAAAUUGGGGAUAAGUUUAAGCAACCAGACCAUGUCAUUACAAUAUUAUCAACUGAUUUAAACAGGUUAUAUGGAAUAGCACAAACGAUUUAUGGAAGCAUUAAGAAAUUGUCAAUAAUAUAACCUUAAAAAAUAAAAAUGUCAUUUACUAGAGUUUUAUAUAUAUAGGGAGGAGAUAGCACCUAACCUGGUAGUCAAAUGAACCAUGCAUGCAUUGGAAGUAGUCUUGAUAACUUAUCCCUUCUAUUGUACCAUAAAAAAGACAUGACAUAGCCUCAAAAUCUAUUAUUCACUAUCAAUGACCAAGUUGAAGUUUAAAUUUGAAUGUAUAGUUAAAAAAUUGAAUGAAAUAAAACCAAAGAAAUUAAUUGUGAAGGUUACCCAAUACUAUUCUGCAUCGUUGGUUGACCAAAUAUUGGCUGUAACCAUUUCACCAAUUUCGUUUUCGCUAUCAAGAACCAUAUGAGUUGCAAAUUUCAAUCUUUCAAGGCUCAUGCGUUCCUACACAUUAAACUUAUGUUAGACCCUACAUCUCGGUAACAUUUAACAUGUACAUUUGAAAAUAAAACCAUAACAUCAUAUUUAACAACUUACAGAAUUAAUGGUUCUAUUAAGACCACUUCCAUCCCAAUGUUGCAUAUAGAGAAUAGCAUACAUCCCAGUAUGACAUUUGCAAUAACAAGUAUGAUUUGUGACAUGUUAUUAACAUAGGACCCAAUUAGGAUUGAAAAUGAAUACAUGAAAAAAAAAAUAUGUAACUAACAAUUUUGGAUCGCCAUCGAUAUCUGCAUACUGUGGAUGUAAAUUAUUUAUAUUCACAUCAUUCCGUUUGAAGGAAUUUUUUAAUAACUGCGACAUAAAUCCAACUACUUUGAAAGCUUCAUUAACAAAGUGAACACGUUGAAUGCUAUUAUAUGAUGAAAGUAGAUCCACCCUUUUAGCCUCCAAAUUGAUUACCAUGAUGACCCAUUCAUUAAAUUGGAAUAAGGGGAUAUAAAACUACAAAACAGACAAUCAUCAUAACAACAAUGAAGGCUUAAAUAUUUGAAAUAUAAAUUCAAAAUUAUUAAAAAAUUGUCAUCAAUCUAUGUAAUCAAUACAAUAGUCAAGCAUUACCUGGUUGCAAAAUUCAAGAUUAACACAAUAGCUACCUAAUCUUUUCUUGAGUGUUGAUUUUGAGGUAGACUUGCUCAUUGAACCACAUAUUUCUUGUAAAAAGUUGUUGAGAGCAUAGUAACAAUGUAUGACUAAAGCUAUACAUGCAUCUUAUAUUAGGGACAAGAUUUGGUGUACUCGAGGAAAAAACCUCACCCCAAAGUAUGGAUUAAAAAAGUGUCUGCAAUAAGGAUUCUCUUCUUUUGCAUUCAUGUAUCGGCAAAACAUGGAAAUCACCUACAUAAUGCCUCUUCAUUAGUUAAAAUGAUCAAUGGAAAGAUGAAGGUAUUUUUUUCUUAUUUAUCAUAAACCUUACCGGAAUAUCAAUGAAGCUCUCCCCUACUAAGCAUUAAAAUUGUUCCCGUGUCACGCCAUAGCCACCAUAUGCACAAAGCAUCUCACUAUUAAUCACAUGAAACACAAGACGUGAGUAAUUUUUUUUGUUUUCUAGAUAAAUCCAUAAUCAUAGUCUUUUAAGAACAAUACUUGUUAAACGUGUGAUUUGGGACUAACCUUGGAUCUUUUGACUCAUCAAAUACAUAGUCGGCAACAUGUGUCUCUUCCUCCGUCAACCUUUUAUAUUUUGAUACACAUAAUUGUACAAAAGGUGACUUACACGCAGCUGCUCGUUGCCUAUGACGACGUACUUUCAUUUUUACUCUUUGUGGUCGUAUUUCUUCUGAGGCUUGUGGUGCUACAUCCACAUUGUUGUUCAUGCACGAUUGCACUAACACCAACAUAUUGUGUGGCCCAGGGUGAAGGGGAUCCUCGUUUGAAAAGAACACACCAUCUUCUAUGUUGGGUCUUUCUGACACCCCUUCAUUUGUACAUCCAACGUCAUCUUCAAAAGAUCUUCUUUGACCACCAGAAUGAACAGGUGAAUGUUGUGGAUUAUUUUUAUAAAAUGGUGCACCACUUUCAUUAACAUGUUCAUGAAAAUUUGACGGUUGGCCUUCAUCUGUGCGAUAAUGUGAAGAGGUGAAACGAGUCCUCAACACUUUCACGUCACGGUUGUAUGAUGCAAUAAGACUAUUAAGAUGACUUUGUGCAUCGGUGAUUUGACGUUGUGUUGCCUCCAUGCGAGCACAAAUAACCUAAGUCAAACAUAAUGAAGGACCAUUAAAUGACAUAUAUUUAAACUAAGCCUUAAUAUAAGUUACUAUUCAUAGUCAUUAGGUAUGAAGGAUUACAUCAAAGUCUUCAUUCUCAUCUGGGUCAACUGGGUCAUCAACUGUAGGAGCCUUAUUUUUUUCUGUUUCAUCUUGCUCCGCCGAUGUGCUAACCAACUAUCAUUGCAAAACAUGUAAAUUGUCAUCCCAAUAAUCUAAUUACAAUGGUAAUCAACUAUCUUAAUAUAACUAAAAGCUAAUUAUACCUCAACUUUGCCAAAUCCUCCAAGCAUUUCUAACUCCAACUUGAUGCGUUGCUUGACCAAAAAAUCAUUCCAUGCAGCAAUGCGAGGAGUGGUAAGUUCCACAUACAUGGCUGGAAAAUUAGAUAUUGAAAAGUAGAAUAUCUGUUGCAUUAUAUAAGACAUAAUUAGUGGUAACAUCAUGGCCAACAUAGUGUAUAACCAUUAUUGAAUAUCUAAUACAUGGACAUAUACUUAUAAAUAAGACAAAAAGUUACCUGUAGAAACAUCAAACACCCUUUAAUCCAAACACUUUCCUUCCUCCUAUGUUCAUGUAUAGCUUGAAUCAAAAAUUCUAAGACAUUCUCCCCAAUUUAUGUUCCCAAGUAACUGCUCUCGGGGUGUAUACCAUAACGAGUGACUACCUUCCAAACGAGAAGUGGGUGCCAAUAAGGUUGCACAAGCGAAAAUCAAGAAGACCCGCUUAAAUUCCUCCAUAUCAUCGAUGCCAACCAUCAUUGACUCUAUAUCUUGCAAACUCGGCAUUUGACUAGCUUUAACACUUCCCUUCUCAACAAUUAACUUUCUUCCACUAUGUGGAAUGCCCAUCGUCAUCCCAACAUCAUGACAUGUCAAAGAAACCUUCUUACCCCCAAAUAACUCGAGUUGGGAAUAAGCAAUGUUUGUGUUUUUUAUCAACCAAAAACAUAAAUCUAAAUUAACCUCCUUACAACCUAAUUGCAAUAGCCCACCAAAACCAAGUUCUCGUAUUACAUCCUUCUUCACUUCUGAGAGCAAAUGGAUUCCAGAGAGGAAUCUACGGCUAGAACAACGACACCGUAUGUUCAUAUUAUCACUGCAUUAAACAACUAUAAUUCAUUAAUAAAUUAAUCAAAUGUUAAAGACAUGUGAACGUGAAUAUAGUGUUCCUAUAUACAUUCAUCAUAAUUAUUACACAAAUAUAACAUAUAUUAACAAAGAAAUGGGAAACAUUUUGUUACAUCAUGUAAAUGAUAAUCAUUGAGAUCGGUUUCCUCUAGCCUUUCAAUAAUAUGGUUAUCAAUAAGGGUGAAAUUGUUAUAUAUAGGGUCACCCACUAUGAUACCCACUGCAAAAAAAAAAAAAAAAAAACAGACAAUGUGCAUUUUAGUGGGUCAGCCAAUAAAAACAAAUGGUACGCCUCAAAGUUACAUACUCAUCUAACCAUAUCAAUAUAGUUUAGGGAAAAGUGGGAUUUGAUUCACUAAUAAGAAAAUAUAUGAUAAAAAGAAUCCCAAAUAUUUUAAAUUAGUAUUAUCUUCAUCUAUUUAAAAAUAAUUUGAAAUACAUGCAAUGAGUUAUCCAAUUAUUCCAAAAAAUGUCAUUUUAUUUUUUAUGUUAUUCAAAUCAAUUGAAAACUACACUCCUCCAUAUAAAUGUUUCCUUAUUAUUUUAGAUUUUUUUAUUAUUAUUUUAUUAUUUAAGAUUUUUUUUCCUCUAGAAACAAACACCUUAUAGGAUUCUUAUUUUAGUUUUCUAAAAGUUUAGGAAAUAUUGUCAAACAAAUCAUAUUUAAUCAUAAUUACGAAUUCAAAAAGUAAUAAGAUUUUUUAUUAAAUAAUAAAGAAUAAACUCGUAAUAUAUAAUUCUUUUAAUAUUAUAACAAAUUUAUUAUUAAAAAACUUUAAUAACAAAUUUUAUUCAUUAUUAUAUUAAACAAUUAUUAAUAUUAUAUAAUAAAUAGAAAUUUAUUAUUGGUUUAUUUAUUAUCAAGAAUAUGAAUCUAUUUUUAACUUAUUAAUACUAUAAUAAAUUCUGUUUUUUUUUUCAAAUUAUUACUUUAUAAUGUUUCUAGAGAAAAAAAAUUCCCAAAUAAUAAAAUAAUAAAAUAAUAAAAUAAUAAAGUAAUAAUAAUAAUAAUAAUAAUAAUAAUAAUAAUAAUAAUAAUAAUAAUAAUUUAAGAUUAUUGACAACUACACUCCUCCAUAUAAAUGUUUCCUUAUUAUUUUAGAUUUUUAUUUUAUUUUAUUAUUUUAUUAUUUAAGAUUUUUUUUCCUCUAGAAACAAACACCUUAUAAGAUUCUUAUUUUAGUUUUCUAAAAGUUUAGGAAAUAUUGUCAAACAAAUCAUAUUUAAUCAUAAUUACGAAUUCAAAAAGUAAUAAGAUUUUUUAUUAAAUAAUAAAGAAUAAACUUCGUAAUAUAUAAUUAUUUUAAUAUUAUAACAAAUUUAUUAUUGAAAAACUCUAAUAACAAAUUUUAUUCAUUAUUAUAUUAAACAAUUAUUAAUAUUAUAUAAUAAAUAGAAAUUUAUUAUUGGUUUAUUUAUUAUCAAGAAUACGAAUCUAUUUUUAACUUAUUAAUACUAUAAUAAAUUCUGUUUUUUUUUUUCAAAUUAUUACUUUAUAAUGUUUUUAGAGAAAAAAAAUUCCCAAAUAAUAAAAUAAUAAAAUAAUAAAGUAAUAAUAAUAAUAAUAAUAAUAAUAAUNNNNNNNNNNNNNNNNNNNNNNNNNNNNNNNNNNNNNNNNNNNNNNNNNNNNNNNNNNNNNNNNNNNNNNNNNNNNNNNNNNNNNNNNNNNNNNNNNNNNNNNNNNNNNNNNNNNNNNNNNNNNNNNNNNNNNNNNNNNNNNNNNNNNNNNNNNNNNNNNNNNNNNNNNNNNNNNNNNNNNNNNNNNNNNNNNNNNNNNNNCUUUUUUCAAAUUAUUACUUUAUAAUGUUUUUAGAGAAAAAAAAUUCCCAAAUAAUAAAAUAAUAAAAUAAUAAAGUAAUAAUAAUAAUAAUAAUAAUAAUAAUUUAAGAUUAUUGACAACUACACUCCUCCAUAUAAAUGUUUCCUUAUUAUUUUAGAUUUUUAUUUUAUUUUAUUAUUUUAUUAUUUAAGAUUUUGUUUCCUCUAGAAACAAACACCUUAUAGGAUUCUUAUUUUAGUUUUCUAAAAGUUUAGGAAAUAUUGUCAAACAAAUCAUAUUUAAUCAUAAUUACGAAUUCAAAAAGUAAUAAGAUUUUUUAUUAAAUAAUAAAGAAUAAACUCGUAAUAUAUAAUUCUUUUAAUAUUAUAACAAAUUUAUUAUUAAAAAACUUUAAUAACAAAUUUUAUUCAUUAUUAUAUUAAACAAUUAUUAAUAUUAUAUAAUAAAUAGAAAUUUAUUAUUGGUUUAUUUAUUAUCAAGAAUAUGAAUCUAUUUUUAACUUAUUAAUACUAUAAUAAAUUCUGUUUUUUUUUUCAAAUUAUUACUUUAUAAUGUUUCUAGAGAAAAAAAAUUCCCAAAUAAUAAAAUAAUAAAAUAAUAAAAUAAUAAAGUAAUAAUAAUAAUAAUAAUAAUAAUAAUAAUAAUAAUAAUAAUAAUAAUUUAAGAUUAUUGACAACUACACUCCUCCAUAUAAAUGUUUCCUUAUUAUUUUAGAUUUUUAUUUUAUUUUAUUAUUUUAUUAUUUAAGAUUUUUUUUCCUCUAGAAACAAACACCUUAUAAGAUUCUUAUUUUAGUUUUCUAAAAGUUUAGGAAAUAUUGUCAAACAAAUCAUAUUUAAUCAUAAUUACAAAUUCAAAAAGUAAUAAGAUUGUUUAUUAAAUAAUAAAGAAUAAACUUCGUAAUAUAUAAUUCUUUUAAUAUUAUAACAAAUUUAUUAUUGAAAAACACUAAUAACAAAUUUUAUUCAUUAUUAAAUUAAACAAUUAUUAAUAUUAUAUAAUAAAUAGAAAUUUAUUAUUGGUUUAUUUAUUAUCAAGAAUACGAAUCUAUUUUUAACUUAUUAAUACUAUAAUAAAUUCUGUAUUUUUUUUCUUCAAAUUCUUACUUUAUAAUGUUUCUAGAGAAAAAAAAUUCCCAAAUAAUAAAAUAAUAAAAUAAUAAAGUAAUAAUAAUAAUAAUAAUAAUAAUAAUAAUAAUAAUUUAAGAUUAUUGACAACUACACUCCUCCAUAUAAAUGUUUCCUUAUUAUUUUAGAUUUUUAUUUUAUUUUAUUAUUUUAUUAUUUAAGAUUUUUUUUCCUCUAGAAACAAACACCUUAUAGGAUUCUUAUUUUAGUUUUCUAAAAGUUUAGGAAAUAUUGUCAAACAAAUCAUAUUUAAUCAUAAUUACGAAUUCAAAAAGUAAUAAGAUUGUUUAUUAAAUAAUAAAGAAUAAAAUUCGUAAUAUAUAAUUAUUUUAAUAUUAUAACAAAUUUAUUAUUGAAAAACUCUAAUAACAAAUUUUAUUCAUUAUUAUAUUAAACAAUUAUUAAUAUUAUAUAAUAAAUAGAAAUUUAUUAUUGGUUUAUUUAUUAUCAAGAAUACGAAUCUAUUUUUAACUUAUUAAUACUAUAAUAAAUUCUGUAUUUUUUUUUUCAAAUUCUUACUUUAUAAUGUUUCUAGAGAAAAAAAAUUCCCAAAUAAUAAAAUAAUAAAAUAAUAAAGUAAUAAUAAUAAUAAAAUAUCUAAAAAGAAUGGAAAUAUUUAUACAAUGGAUUCUAAUUGUCAAUGGAUUAGGAUGACAUGACAAGUAAAGGGCUAUUUUUGGGAAUAAUUAAAUCAUAAAUUAAAAAGUGCAUGCAUUUUAAAUUAUUUUUAAAUAAAUGAAGAUAAUAUUGGAAUUUUCUUUGUCAACCAAUCAGUUUUGAGAAAAAAUGUUCUUGUAACGGAUAAGCUCCAAGAGGUUAGUUUUUGUAUAUAUAUAUAUAUAUAUAUAUAUAUAUAAUGUAUAUAUAUAACAGUUCAUGUAAAUUUUGAUUUUUUUGUAAAUUAAAAUAUAAUAUUUUUUUAUAUUGAUAAAUAAAAGUCAUAUUGUUUUAAACUACUUUAUUCAACAAACAACAAGAUCGGUGGCCCCAACAUUGAUAUGGUUACAAAAAUAGCUAUAAAAGAAAAUAUGACAUCAAAAUCCAAUUCAAUAAAAAUCAUAGUCCUCAAACCUCUGUUUCAUUAAAAGGUACAUAAUCCUACAAUUCACUUCAUAUGACUCAUGAAGUUAGCGCCAUCAAGAUGAAUUGUCAUAAUUGAAACAAAUCUACAUAAACAAAUAGAGACCAUUUCACAUUUUAAACUACAAUAUCCAUCAAACAACAACAAGACCAAUGUUUACAAAAUUAAUGAAGUUACAAAACUACUGAAAGAAAAGAGUAACCUACCAUUUAAAAAUUUUCUACAUUUGUAUUAAAAAUAUAUGGUAACAAAAUUUUCUAUUAACAUUAAUUUAUUUAAAUAAUUAAUAUUAUUAAUAAUUUAUCUUAUCAAAUUAAUUUUAAUUUAUAAAAUAUUACUGAUAAAAACUGAAAUUUUGAUUUAACCAAAAUAAAGAUGGAUAAUUAAUUAUUUAUAAUUAAUAAUUAAUAAUUUUGAUUUAUAAUAUUGUUCUUGUGAUUUGUUUCCUUUUUAUUUCUAUACUAUAUCUAAAAAACAAACAUGCUCGUUGCCAUUCGUUGAGGCAUUAUGGGAAGGUGAAGGACCCAACGGUGGAGAAUUUGUUGCCGGAGAUUGAUUUUGAGCACACUGUUGGGAGGAGAUUGGUUUCAACCUCUGGAACUCGGUCUGUGGUUCUAAUGGUGGUUGAUGCUUCAGAUUUUGAUGGGUCCGGCCACCACGCGUGAGGCAUCAAGAAACCCCUUUGUUGAAUUCUUCUCCAGGCAAGCAUCAUGCCUUAUUUUCCUCUGCCACUCUCAAUCCUCGCAGGUGCUAAUCUAAUCAUGUUAUUAAUAUUUAUUUUCAACCCCAAUUUGCUUCCCAAGAAAAUCCAUCCCUCAUUCGAUUUCCGGGAAAAUUCAUCCUCGUUUAAUUUCCGAGAGAAAUCCAUCAAAACUCCCAAGGAAAACCAAAAAAAAAAAAUGCUUUUAUUUUGUUGCUCCCCGUGUUUUCUGGAUCUGUUCUAAGGUUUUAUUUGUUUUUGUGCCAUUGGAUUUAAAUUCUACAAACCCUAAAUCCACGAUUUUUGAGCCACGCUGAAAACCACAACCUUUGCCCUCAAAUUGUGGAUCUGUGUGCGUGUGUGGCGGGUUGGAUUUAAAUUCUACAAACCCUAAAUCCAUGAUUUUUUUGCCACGCUGAAAACCACAACCUUUGCCCUCAAAUUGUGGAUCUGUGUGCGUGUGUGAUAUUUUUAAAAAAUUACCCAAUUUUCUGUCAAAGAUCUCAACAAGCAUUAAUACCAACCCAAAUUAACUCAUAAAUCCAUUACAUUUGUACCUGGGAAAGCUCCUCUCAGCUCGGACCACUUCUCUCUAUUUUCACUGCAAGCUUCCCUCGCGAAUUGUGGCUGUGAAAGAAAGUGAAAAAAUAUGGGUUUUUGGAGUUAGGGUUUGGUUCAGGAGAGAAGAAGGGAUUUGGGGGGUUUGGUUGAAAGAGAGAAGAAGGGAUUUAGGGUUUUGAUUCAACACAGAAGAAAUGAUUUCGGGUAAAUCUCACUAUUAUAUUUUAGUAAAUAUUUUUUAAAAAAUAUUGCCACAUGGAGUGUCUACAUGUCAUAUGAGCCAUGUCACUGGCUUAAGUGGAACAUGACUUUGCUGAGUAAUUGAUUAUGUCAAAGUGUAUGAGGGUAUUUUUGGAAGGCUCCUCAAUAUCACUAUUACAGUGUAUGAAAGGUGAUUUAUUUUUCACAAAAUCCAUUGAAUUUGAAAAGUAAAAAGUUAAGUUUCCAAAAGGCAAAAUUUUGCCCCUUGGUGUAUGGUUACAUAAAUUCCCCUAAAAUAAAGUGGGUAAAGUAAGUAACGGACUUUGACAAUUAAUUUAAUGAAUUUUUUUGGUUCCCUUAAAAACUUUUUCUGUUAAAAAAUGAAAAACUUCACUAAAUUUGAAUUAAAAAUUCCAUAUAGUUUUUAAAAUGACCACAACCUAUAAUUUGCAUAGACUAAGGGCAAGGAGAUAUUUUAUACCCAUACUUUAAUGACGCUUCUCUGAAGCGCCAAGUUAUAGAAUUAACAUUAUCACACUUUGAAUAUGCACCAUUAUAUACCCAAUAAUACCUAAAUAAGCCUUAUCAAACGAUGAUGCUUCUAAUAAGCAUCAUGGAUUGAAAAAUACUACACUAAACAAUGAUGCUUUUAUUGGGUUUUUCCUCAUAUGGAAGGCCCAAAUUAAGAGCCCAAAAUUUAAGCUCUCUUAGGCCUUUAUAUAAAAGGGUUAAAAGAAAAAUCCUUCUUCUUCUUCUUCUUCCAAUUUUUUUUUGCAGCCACUAGAGAUAGAAGAAAAAAAUAUUAGAAGGAGAAAAGAGAGAGAGAAGGGGAAAACCACCAUUUUUUGAAACUAGAGAGAAAAAAACUCAAUUUUUCUUCACUGUCCAGAUUUCAUCAAAGGUUUGAUCCCGCUUCAUCUGUGGGCCAAUCGACUUGAUAUUUGAAGGAGAGGUUCGUGACUCAUUGAUCUUCAAUCUGAACGGUAAAGAUCGGAUUUGGAGUUCCGUACGGUCUUCUUUCAGUCCGAGAAUAGAGCCUCUGUUUUAGUGAGUUUUCUAUCCGAACAGUUUUGAUCAUGAGCUUCGAUCAAGUUUAAUCCGUGGUUCGAUUGAGUUGAUUUUUGGUAAGCACGUUUAGAACUUGUUGAUCUUCAUUCUGAACGGUGAAAAUUGGAUUUGGAGUUCGAAACAGUUAUAUUUCAGUCUGAGAACAAUGAUUGUGUUUGGUGAGAUUUCUCCAUUGUCUUUUAUGCAAAGUUGUUGAAAUUGCCAAGAUUAAUUUGUUUUGAGAUAUGACUGAUGUAUGCCUCUAGUUUUAUCUAGAGAGAAUUGUGUAACCCAUUGAUUAUAUCAGUGGAGUUUUUAAGUGGCCUAAGGGUCCCGUGGUUUUUACUUCUCACAUUAGAGAAGGUUUUCCACGCUAAAAAUUGUUAGUGUUCAUAUAUUUGUUGAUUGGGUGAAUUAUUAUUGCUCUAUUUGAUUGAUUCCUAUUAGGUUCUCACAAGAAGGGAUAAAACCUGGUUGCGCAUUGUUUGUGUUUAUUCCAUCAAAGUGGUAUCAGAGCAUUGGUUUAAGAUAAUUUGUGCCUUGUGUAGAACAAUGAAAACUAAUACAAGUAGAAUGAUUACUCUGAAUGGCUCCAAUUAUCAUGUUUGGAAAGGAAAGAUGGAAGACUUAUUGUAUGUGAAGGAUUAUUAUUUUCUUGUGUUUGCUUCUGGAAAGCCAAAAAAUAAAACUGAUGCAGAAUGAAAUUUACUUCAUCGGCAGGCUUGUGGUUAUAUCAAACAGUGGGUAGAUGAUAAUGUUCUCAAUCAUGUUAGUGAAGAGAAACAUGCAUGGAGUUUAUGGAACAAACUCGAACAGUUAUAUGCUAAAAAGACUGGUAACAAUAAAUUAUUUCUGAUCAAGAAUAUGAUUAGCUUGAAGUAUUAAGAUGGAACUCCUAUGACAGAUCACUUGAAUACAUUCCAAGGUAUUAUUAAUCAGUUGGCUGGAAUGAAUAUCAAGUUUUAGGAAGAGGUGCAAGGGUUGUGGCUUCUUAGUACAUUGACGAACUCGUAGGAGACAUUUAGAACUUCUUUGUCUAACUCAGCUCUAGAUGGUACUAUGAAUAUAGAUUUGGUUAAGAGUUGUGUUCUGAAUGAAGAGAUGAAAAGAAAGUCAUAGGGUUCCCCUUCACAGUCAGAUGUCCUAGUUACUGAAAAAAUGGGGAGGAGUAAGAGUAGAGGUUCAAAGAACAAAGAUAGAAGCAAAAGCAAGACUAACAAGUUUGCCAAUGUUGAGUGUCACUAUUUCCUUUUGAAAGGGCAUAUAAUAAAGUAUUGUCGCCAAUUGAAGAGAGAUAUGAAACAAGGGAAAGUGAAGAACAAGAAGAAUGAUAAUGGUGGUGAAGAUGAUCGAGUUACCACUACUACUUCAGAUUUCCUUAUUGUUUAUGAUAGUGAUGUUGUUAAUUUUGCUUGCUAGGAGACUAGUUGGGUGAUUGAUAGCGGUGCCUCAAUCCAUGCUACACCUCGGAAAGAUUUCUUUACAUCUUACAUAUUCGGUGAUUUGGAAGUGUUAGAGUGGGUAAUGAUGGCUCAGCUAAAGCCCUUGGUAUGGGAGAUGUGCGUUUGAGACUAGUAAUGAUACUAUGUUGAUUUUGAAGAAUGUCAAACAUAUUUCGGAUAUCCGCAUGAAUUUAAUCUCUAUAGGUAAGCUUGAUGAUAAAGGGUUUUACAACACCUUUCGUGAUAGUCAGUGAAAGCUCACUAGAGGUUCUAUAGUGGUAGCAAAAGGAAAGAAGUGUUCCUCAUUGUAUUUGAUGUAGGCAAGGGUAAUUGAUUCCAGUAUCAAUGCAGUGGAUGAUGAUAGCAUAGUUGAGCUUUGGCACAACAGACUCAGUCACAUGAGUGAGAAGGGCUUGAUGAUUUUGGCUAAGAAGAAUCUUCUUUCUGGUAUGAAGAAAGGAUCUUUGAAAAGGUGUGCUCAUUGCUUAGUAGGAAAGUAGACCAGAGUUGCAUUCAAAACACACCACCAUACAAGGAAGUCAGGUAUGCUUGAUUUAGUGUAUUCUGAUGUGUGUGGUCCUAUGAAAACAAAAACACUUAGUGGAUCUCUAUAUUUUGUGACUUUUAUAGAUGAUCAUUCAAGAAAUAUUUGGGUGUAUGCCUUGAAAACAAAAGACCAAGUAUUAGAGGUGUUUAAGCAGUUUCAUGCUCUUGUUGAGAGACAAUCUGGUGAAAAAUUGAAAUGCAUCUGGACUGAUAAUGAGGGUGAGUAUUCUAGUCCUUUUGAUGAGUAUUGUAGACAACAUGGUAUUCGACAUCAAAAGACACCUCCUAAGACUCCUCAGUUGAAUGGGUUGGCUAAGAGAAUGAAUAAGACACUGGUUGAAAGGGUGAGAUGUUUACUUUCGCAGUCACAGUUUCCAAGAUCCUUUUGGGGUGAGGCUUUGAAUACUGUUAUACAUGUUCUUAAUCUUACACUAUGUGUUCCUUUAGAAUUUGAUGUUCCGGAUAGAAUUUGGUCAGAUAAUGAAAUCUCUUAUGAUCACUUGCGUGUCUUUGGAUGCAAGACUUUUGUGCACAUUCCGAAAGAUGAGAGGUCUAAGCUUGAUGCUAAGACAAGACCUUGUGUAUUCAUUGGCUAUGGUCAGGAUGAGCAUGGUUACAAGUUUUAUGAUCCGGUGCAGAAAAAGCUUGUAAGAAGCCGAGAUGCUAUGUUUAUGGAAAUCAUACCAUACAAGACAUUGAGAUGACUGAUGCAACAGAGUUUCAGUAUAGUGAUAAUCUGAUUGACUUAGAUCCAGUUCCUUUGACACAUCUUCCUACAUAGGUUGAAGAUGAAACACAUGAGGACCAACCUAACAUUGGUGGUGUUGAAACUCCCACACAGGUUGAGAUGGAUAAUGAUGUUCAUGAGCAGUCACCAGUAGCAGAGGCUCCACCAGAUAUUCCACUCAGGAGGUCUACUAGAGACCGACAUCCUCCCACAUGGUAUUCUGUUGAUGAUUAUGUAUUACUAACUGAUGGGGGAGAACCUAAAAUUUAUGAGGAAGCCAUGGGAGAUGAAAAUAAGAUGAAGUGGGUUGAUACUAUGCAAGAUGAGAUGAAGUCAUUGCAUGAGAAUCGUUCUUUUGAGCUUGUCAAGUUGCCAAAGGGAAAAAGAGCUUUGAAGAACAAGUAGGUUUAUAGAGUGAAGCAAGAAGAACACACUUCACAACCACGUUACAAAGCUAGAUUGGUUGUCAAAGGAUUCAGUCAAAAGAAAGAUAUUGAUUUUGAUAAGAUUUUUUCUCCUGUUGUUAAGAUGUCAUCUAUUCAUGUAGUUUUGGGCUUGACAACUAGUCUUGAUUUGGAGAUUGAGCAAAUGGAUGUUAAUACUGCAUUUCUCCAUGGUGAUUUAGACAAAGAAAUUUAUAUGGAACAACUAGAGGGUUUCACAAUAAAAGGAAAAGAGGAUUAUGUGUGUAAGUUGAAGAAAAGUCUUUAUGGCUUGAAGCAGGCACCGAGGCAGUGGUAUAAGAAGUUUGAAUCAGUUAUGGGGAAGCAAGGCUACCGAAAAACUUCUUCUGACCAUAGCGUAUUUGUGCAGAAAUUCUCUGAUGAUGAUUUUGUUAUAUUGUUGCUCUAUGUUGAUGAUAUUUUGAUUUGAUAGAAAUGUUUCAAGAAUUGAUAAGUUGAAGAAGCAAUUAAGCAAAUCCUUUUCCAUGAAGGAUUUGGGGUCAGCAAAGAAAAUUCUAGGUAUUAGAAUUGAGCGAGAUAGAGUAUCCAAGAAGCUGUAUAUGUCACAGGAGCAAUAUAUUGAAAAGGUGCUUGAAAGAUUAAACAUGAGCAAAGCUAAAGUAGUUAGUUCUCUUCUAGCUAGUCACUUUAAGCUAAGCAGCAGACAUAGCCCUUUUACAGAUAAGGAGAAGGAAGACAUGAGAAGAGUUCCAUAUGCCUCAAUAGUAAGAAGUUUGAUAUAUGCCAUGGUAUGUACUAGACCAGACAUAGCUUAUGCCAUUGGUGUUGUUAGCUGCUUUCUAUCUAAUCCAAGAAGACUACAUUGGGAGGCAAUUAAGUGGAUUAUGAGAUCUUUGCUAGACACUUCCAAGUUGAAACUCACUUUUGGAAGUAGGAAACUAAUACUUGUUGGAAUCAACCUUCAUGGUAUGACCUCCAAAUAUAGGUGCCCCAACUUUUGGUCAAUUUUUGAAGUAUUGGGAAUUCCAAUUGCACUUACAUUUGAUAAGUACUUUGUAUAAAACUCGAUGUUUUCCUUUGCAAUAUAGCAUUUGGCAAUGCAACCUUUGGGUUGUUUACUGUUUCGUACAUAGCCUUUUAACACUUUCUUGAACCUUUCAAAUGGGUACAUCUACCUAAGGUAAACCAGUCCACAAAGUCUCACCUCUUUUAUAAGAUGCACCAUAAGAUGUACCAUGAUAUCAAAGAAUGAAGGUGGGAAAUACUUUUCAAACAAGCACAAUGUCGCCACAACCUCAUUUUGUAACUCAUCUAAUGUAGACCUCAACCACUUUAUUACAGAGAGCAUUGAAAAAGGAACUCAAUCUACAGAUGGCAUUCCUCACAAGCUUUGGAAAAAUAGUUUGUAAUGAAACUGCCAAUAACUGUUGCAUUAAUGUAUGAUAGUCAUGGGAUUUCAAGCCAUAAAGCUUCAAGUCUUCCAUUAACACAAUGUUUCGAAGGUUAGAGCAAUAUCCAGAAGGAACCUUCAAUUGUGAAAGAGUUUGGAAAAAUACCUUCCUUUCCAUUUUGGAAAGUGUAUAACAUGUAGGAGGGAGAUAUGUUCUCUUUGAUUCAAACCUUGGUGCCAAUUCACUUCUUAAGCCCAUGUCUACGAGAUCUAAACGAUAGUUGAGUUCAUCCUUUGUCUUACCUGGAAUGUUGAGUAAGAUACUAAUGAUGUUUUCACAAACAUUUUUCUCAAUAUGCAUUACAUCCAAAUUAUGACGAACAUGAAGAUAUUUUCAAUACUCAUGAUCAAAGAAUAUGAACUUCUUCUUCCAACAAUUUGCAUUGAUAACUUUGGAUUUACCACGAUUAACUUUUUUUUCCUCCAUGAAUUACAAAUGAAAUUAAUUUUCCUGAGAAUUUCCUUUCCACUUAAUAUUUGUGGAGGUGACCUAAACUCUUGUUCACCAUCGAAUGUUUUUUUUUUUUGUUUCCUAAAUGGAUGGUUGCAUGGAAGAAAUUGUCUAUGUCCUGUAUAUGAGUUAUUUUUUUACAUGUUUCAAUCUAUGAGAAUAUGUUUCUUCCCUGUAUAUUGGACAACCAAAAUAUCCUUUAACUGUGCACUCAGACAAGUUUCCAUAUACAGAGAAGUCACUGAUUGUCCAUAAUGGAACAAAUCUUAAUGUAAAGAACUCUCGUUGAUGUUCAUUGUAAGCUUGGACUCCGACCUCUCAUAAUGUUUUAAGAUCUUCUAUCAACGAUGUUAAAUAGAUGUUAAGGUCAUUACUAGGUUUUCGUGGACCUAAAAUUAACAAAGAUAACAUCAUAAAUUUUAUCUUCAUGCACAACCAUGGAGGAAGGUUAUAAAUUAUCAUGAGAAUAGACCAAAAACUAUGUUUGCUACUUAAUGAACUGUGAGGAUUUAUGUCAUCUGCUGAGAUGACAAGUCUUAGGUUUCUAGGUUCUAAGGAAAACUCGGGCCGUCUAUGGUCAACUAGCUUCCAUGAUGGUGAGUCUGAUGGAUGACACAUUUUCCCAUCAAAAUCUCUUUCUUUGGCAUGCCAUAUGAGGUAUUUUGCGAUUUUUGAUGAUUGAAACAUUCUUCUAAAUCUUGGAACUGGAGGAAAAUACCACAUUACUUUUGCAAGAACUCCCUUCCUCUUUUUAGUUUCUGUCAUGUUUGUCUUCCACCUUGAAGUUCCACAAGAAGGACAUGAGGAUGCAUCUUUCAACUCAUUCCUAUAAAGUAUACAAUCAUUAGGACAUGCAUGUAUUUUCUCAUAUUCAAUUCCCAAUGUAUUCAAUGUCUUUUUUUGCUUCAUACAUAGACAAAGGCAACUCAUUAUUUACAAGCAACAUAUUUCCAAGCAUUUCUAAAAGCUUUGAAAAGCUUUUAGCAAACUGCCCAAAGCAUGCUUUUAGGUUGUACAAUUCAAUCAAUGUAGACAAUUUUGUAAAAAUUCUACAACUAGGAUAUAAAGGUUUUUUUACAUCUUUCAAUAAUAUUUGAAAUGAUUCUAGGUCAUUUUUACAAUCCUCCUGUGCAACUUGAACCAUUUCUAUUGUAUUAUGCACAUCAUCAAAUUAAACUCUAUCAUAAUGUUUUGCUCUUGUAGUUGGUGGUCCAAUUGGAGUUGCCUCUCCAUGCCAAUACCAUGUAUUAUGGUAACUUUGAUCAAUUUCGUGGAAAAACAUAUGCUCUCUAAUCUUUUGAGGAGUAUGGAAUAUCAUAUUACCACACUAUAAGUAUGGACAUUUAAUGGAGUUUUUAUUUUCAGAAUUUUGUAUUGCAAAUGUGAUAAAAUGUGAUAAAAUGUUCUACCCCAUCCUUGUACUCCUUCGAUCUUCUAUCCUUUGAAAUCUAUGAACGAUCCAUUUUUUAAUAACAAACUUCCAAUAGUGAUCAAACUUCAAAUUGAAGAAAAUAUCAACAUUUUCUAUGUCAUUCAUUUAGCAACCUCUCUUUCCUCUGUUCAAAGAAUAAUCAGGAAUCAAUUUAAUACAACAUUUGCUUAAGAUGCUAGAUUUAAGAGAAAAAGUGUGAGCAUUAAUGUCCUAACCAUUUUGAAUUGUGUACAUAGAUUUACACUAUUGGAAUAACACGCUAAUUAUUGACAAUUUUAAAAAGUGCUAAGGAAAAAAAAGGUCAUUGUAUAUAUUAUAUAUAGUAGUGAUUAAGAAGCUAUAAAUGUUAUUGACCUUGAAUACUUGCAUUAAAGAGGAUGUACAAUCUCAAUUAAACAAGUGCAUAUUAAUAUUAUUAACAUGUACAAUUCAAGUUGUGUUGCAUUUUUUUUAUGGCAUUUAACAUCUCCAACUUUGUAAAUUAGGGAAUGGUUCCUAUCCCAUAUAAGAAUACAUAAUCUCUAUGAGUCAACUGCCAAUAUGCUCAAUUUAAUUUAAAAAGAUUUCAGCAACAUUUCCUUAUGAUUCUCCAAGUACACAAAAUGGAUAAGGCAUAAUAUGUAACCUUGUCCAAGUAUGUACCCAAAGAACAAGAAGAAAGAGUACCAAAAUUUAUUUAAAAUGAAUUAAGAAUAAGCAAUUAAUUUCAUUGAUAUUAUGUUUUCCUACACUGUCCAGUCAAACAAUUCAAACAUCAUUUGUAGAGAAAAAAUCUUUAUCACAUGGUAGACAAUUUAAAAGUUGUCAACGUGAAACUAGUAUAGAUAAAACCAUUUUCACCUUUUGACAACUAAAAUGUCUUUACUAUGUAAUAACAAAAACUUUUGUUUGACAAUGAUACUUGAACGGGAACUCUAAGGUUGUAUGCAAGCAUAGUUGAUUAAAAUUAAAACACAAUUACUUACUAAAAUAUUACAACAAAACAACAUAACUCUCAUUCUAUUACGUUUAUCUUAAAUAUAUAACAUUUAACAUGGAGACCCAAAAACCUUUUCACAACUUAGAGAGAAACAUCUUCUACAAAAAGGUCCACACCAAAUUUAAUCAAAUUAAUCUAAAUUGGCAAUUUUAAAUAAACAUCAAGUAAUUAUCCUUCAAAACAAAUAAUAAGACAAUCAAAAUUUUACAACUAAUUUUUUUGUCCAAAUUUUAGCCUAUAAUGGUAUUUUGUGAACUAAAUAAUUUUAACUUGUCUCUAUGCAGUGCUUUUAUAUUUGGUGUUUUUUAGAAGAAUUGACAAGCAUUAUAGGGAUAAUAUAUGGUUUAACAUAUAUUUUUUUUCAUUUAAAAUAAAAAUUAUGAAAACAUUAAGUAUUAAGAUGACAAUAUUUUUGGUUUGAUUACAAUUUUAAUCUCUUUAUUAUAAAACUAAUAUAAUAUACAUCUAAAUAAUGUGUAAAGAAAUUCUAGAUGCCUAUGUAAAUAAAUAAAUAGUGCAUCCUAAUGAAAAAACUGAGAAUUAAUUUCAUAUUUUGGAACAUUCUAUACAAUCAAUGAUAUGAAUAAAUUAGAUUAAACAAUAUAAUCAAUUAAAUCAAUUAACAUUUCAUCACUUAAAAUUAAUACAUGCAAACCUAGGUGUUAGUGUGUGAAGCAUGACUCGCUUUGUAAACCAUAUAUCAUAAUAUAGGAGCACACGGUAAUGAAUAGGGAACAUGGUUUUCAUAAUUUUAAAAAAUUAAUACAUAAAUUUUGAAAUUAUAAUUUUAACCUUUUAAAUAUCUAAACUAAGUAAUCAUCAUAAUAGGAAAUUUAUCCCAAAUACCCUUUUGAACCAAAUAUCCUAAAAUUGUUUUUAGGUUAUAAUUAAAUUUUGUGUUAUCAAUUUUAAUUUAAUUUUUACUAUUUUCUGUUUUCAAAUGGUUUGGUAAAUCAUUUUAAUAUAUUUAUAAUCAAUCAAGUAAAUUAAUUUAAUAUAAAAUAUAUUUAUUUAAAAUAAUUUUUAGUUUAAUAAAUAAAAUAUUCAUAUUAUACUUUUACGAUCAUAUUUUAUCCAUAUAAAUAAUAUUCACCCAUGAUAAUAUUUAUAUUUCUUUUAUAUCAUAUUUCCUACAAGAUCUCAUAUUUGAUUUUAUUUCAUGUCAUUUUGAACCUUUUAAAAAGUUCUUAAGAAAACUUUGAAACAUAGAAUUGGUUUAUUCCCUUUUUCGUUUUUCUGUUAUUUUUAUAUAAAAUAAAAAUAGAGAAAAUACCCAUAUUUGAACAAUAUACCUAUAAAUUUGGAAUUCUUUUAUGAAAAAAUCAAUUAAAAUGAAUGAGAUAAUAUUUCUAUUUUCAUCCUUGAACUAUUUAAUCGAAAAGAUAAGGAUUAAAAAAUUGUAGAAGGCAUUUUUUUCUUCUUAUUUUUAAAAGAUAAAGAUCAUUGUUUUGAAUUUUGUGUUUCAAUAUACCUUAACCAAAUAACCGUUUCUUUAUUAAAUAUUCAUUUUAUUUUAUUUUUAUCAAAUUGAUAAUAUUAAUAUACGACAAUAAUAAAUGAUUAAGAAGAAAAUAGUAAUAAAAGCAACAGAGAAAAUGAUGACGAAUAGAAUGAAGAAAGAAGAAAUCUUUUGCCUGGACAAUGCCACAUCAAAGCAAAAUGAGACCAAGGGAGGAAGUGCUCUGGAGGCUUCAAGCCUUGAAUGGAUGCCAACAAGGCGUAGUGGAGCCAUCCCCUUGACUCACGCCUGAGCAAAGCCUGAGCCAUGGUAACAAAUAUCUUUGAAUAAAGAAUAUUUUUCUUACAUACCCCAAUUAUUGUUAUAUCUAAUUGACACCAUAGUACGUGCUAAUAUGCCUAAAAAACUUGUUAGAUGCAAAGAAGCUUGUCCAACAUAAAUACCAUCGGGAUUGUACUUCAUCAUAAGCUUUACCCUUCUACUCUAGUUCUUGAUAAUCAUAGACUUUUGAGUUAUCCCUCUACACCUCCUUUUUGUAGGUGGUUUUUCUCCUUGCUCUAGAUCCCUACUUGUAAUAAAAAUAGUUAUAAAGUUUAAAAGUAAGUUUAUAAAAUAUCCAUAAAUCCAUACAAAAUUUGUAUGAAAUAUCUAACUAAAAUUUUAAGUAUCAAAACUUCAAUUGAGCUAUAUAGAACACAAUAUUGAAAAUAGAUCUGUCAAUGUUUUUUUGAAGCCAAUCUGACAUUAACUAAAAUUGAAACCAUACCAAUUAUCUAAUAGUAUAGACAAAUGAACCAAUAAGCAUAAGGUUUACCUUCUAGAAAACUAUACUAGCAUAUCAAUUCACCACAUAAAAAAUGAACAACAACUACUUAGACAAAUACAUGUUGCAAUAAAAACUAAAAUGCAUUUUGAAAUAAAAUAAAAUUUUGAUCACAUCAUUAUAACAAGCCUUCAAUUCAUUUACAUAUAAGAUUUGUUCUUAACCCAAAUCCCCUCACCAUCACGUCACAUACAAAUUGCAUCAAAGUCUUCCAUAGCAUCAAAUGAUUCAACUUGUGGCAAAGAAAAAAUGACUGGAUGGUGUUCAAUAGAGUUGUCCAUGAGAUCAUCACCCUCGUCCCUUUCCAAGAAGUCUUGUUGAGAAGUUGAUAAAACAAUUGACCAUCUUGGAUCAAGUUCAUCUUGUACGUAUAAAACUUGCUUAGCCUAAGAAGCUAAAAUGAAAAGAUUUGAUUUAUGAGCCAUUUUGUUGAAGUCAGCUAAGGUUAACCUAAGAUCAUCAACUCUAAUUCUGUUCUUAUUAUCAACCCAAUCACAAUUGAAGAUUGGAAUCCUAAACAUGGUAAAAUCAAGGUUCCAAAUCUCAGUAAUAACCCCAUAGAAACAAACCUCACCAAAUACUGGAUUUUUAUCCUUGGCACUAGCAAUUUGCAUUGUUGUUGCUACAAUAUUGACUCCACUGUUUUGGGUAGCUCGUAAAUCAUCAUGCCCCUUGGUAUGGUAGUGGCACCCAUAAUGACACAACCUUGAUACUUAAACACAUAAUGGCUAGGACCAUGAGCUAUCCAUUUAAGGGUUUUAGAUUAGGUUCUUCAUUACUAAUGGCAACUUCAACUUGUAUAGAUAAGUUAUAGUUAUUAUUAACAUAGAUAACCAUGAGUGUAAAGAAUACGAUAAAUUUUACUACCACUCUAGUACCUUAUGUCGCAACCAAUAAGUAAAAGUACGCAUAGGCUCAUCUUGUAGCCAUUUUUGUCUUUUAGCUUGACAUGGAUAUUUCAUUUUCAACCAUUUCAUGUGAUCUUUAUGAAGUCAUGUAUAAUAAUUUUAUAGUUAGUAUCCUAUAUUUAUUAUAAGUAUGAUAAACAAAGAAACAAAAGUGUGUCCCACUUACUUGACAUAAGGUUGGAUGAUUGUUGUAUUCUCCAACACAUAAUGAUGUGCUUGUAACCAUAAAUUGGAAUCAACCUUCAUGGUAUGACCUCCAAAUAUAGGUGCCCCAACUUUUGGUCAAUUUUUGAAGUAUUGGGAAUUCCAAUUGCACUUACAUUUGAUAAGUACUUUGUAUAAAACUCGAUGCUUUCCUUUGCAAUAUAACAUUUAGCAAUGCAACCUUUGGGUUGUUUACGAUUUCGUACAUAGCCUUUUAACACUUUCUUAAACCUUUCAAAUGGGUACAUCUACCUAAGGUAAAUCGGUCCACAAAGGCUCACCUCUUUUACAAGAUGCACCGUAAAAGAUGUACCAAGAUAUCAAAGAAUGAAGGUGGGAAAUACUUUUCAAACAAGCACAAUGUCACCACAACCUCAUUUUGUAACUCAUCUAAUGUAGACCUCAACCACUUUUACUAUAGAGAGCAUUGAAAAAUGAACUCAAUCUACAAAUGCCAUUCCUCACAUGCUUUGGAAAAAUAGUUUGUAAUGAAACUGUCAAUAACUAUUACAUUAAUGUAUGAUAGUCAUGGGAUUUCAAGCCAUAAAGCUUCAAGUCUUCCAUUGACACAAUGCUUCGAAGGUUAGAGCAAUAUCCAGAAGGAACCUUCAAUUGUGAAAGAGUUUGGCAAAAUACCUUCCUUUCCAUUUUGGAAAGUGUAUAACAUGUAGGAGGGAGAUAUGUUCUCUUUGAUUCAAACCUUGGUGCCAAUUCACUUCUUAAGCCCAUGUCUACGAGAUUUAAAUGAUAGUUGAGUUCAUCCUUUGUCUUACCUGGAAUGUUGUGUAAGAUACUAAUGAUGCUUUCACAAACAUUUUUCUCAAUAUGCAUUACAUUCAAAUUAUGAUGAACAUGAAGAUAUUUUCAAUACUCAAGAUCAAAGAAUAUGAACUUCUUCUUCCAACAAUUUGCAUUGAUAACUUUGGAUUUACCACGAUUAACUUUUUUUUCCUCCAUGAAUUACAAAUGAAAUUAAUUUUCUUGAGAAUUUCCUUUCCACUUAAUAUUUGUGGAGGUGGCUUAAACUCUUAUUCACCAUUGAAUGUUUUUUUUUUCCCUAAAUGGAUGGUUACAUGGAAGAAACCAUCUAUGUCCUGUAUAUGAGUUAUUUUUUUCCCUGUUUCAAUCUACGAGAAUAUGUUUAUUUAUUGCAUAUUGAAUAACCAAAAUAUCCUUUAACUGUGCACCCAAACAAGUUUUCAUAUACAGGAAAGUCACUGAUUGUCCAUAAUAGAACAACUCUUAAUGUAAAGAACUCUUGUUGAUGUGCAUCAUAAGCUUGGACUCUGAUCUCCCACAAUGUUUUAAGAUCUUCUAUCAACGAUGCUAAAUAGAUGUAAAUGUCAUUCCCAAGUUUUCGUGGACUUGAAAUUAACAAAUAUAACAUCAUAAAUUUUUUCUUCAUGCACAACCAUGGAGGAAAGUUAUAAAUUAUCAUGAGAAUAGGCCAACAGCUAUGUUUGCUACUUAAUGAACUGUGAGGAUUUCUACCAUCUGCUGAGAUGACAAGUCUCAGGUUUCUAGGUUCUGAGGAAAACUCAGGCCAUCUAUGGUCAACUAGCUUCCAUGAUGGUGAGUCUAAUGGAUGACGCAUUUUCCCAUCAAAAUCUCUUUCUUUGGCAUGCCAUAUGAGCUUUUUUGUGAUUUUUGAUGAUUGAAACAUUCUUCUAAAUCUUGGAACUGAAGGAAAAUACCACAUUACUUUUGCAGGAACUCCCUUCCUCUUUUUAGUUCUUGUCCUAUUUGUCUUCCACCUUGAAGUUCCACGAGUAUGACAUGAGGAUGCAUCUUUCAACUCAUUCCUAUAAAGUAUACAAUCAUUGGGACAUGCAUGUAUUUUCUCAUAUUCCAUUCCCAAUGCAUUCAAUGUCUUUUUUGCUUCAUACAUAGACAAAGGCAACUCAUUAUUUACAAGCAACAUAUUUCCAAGCAUUUCUAAAAGCUCUGAAAAGCUUUUAUCAAACUACCCAAAGCGUGCUUUUAUUUUUAUAAUUUAAUCAAUGUAGACAAUUUUGUAAAGUUUCUACAACUAGGAUAUAAAGGUUUUCUACAUCUUUCAAUAACCAUUUCUAUUGUAUUAUGCACAUCAUCAAAUUGAACUCUAUCAUAAUAUUUUGCUCUUAUAGUUGGUGGUCCAAUUGGAGUUGCCUCUCCAUGCCAAUACCAUGUAUGGUAACUUUGAUCAAUUCCAUGGAAAAACAUAUGCUUUCUAAUCUUUUGAGGAGUAUGGAAUAUCAUAUUACCACAUUGUAAGUAUGGACAUUUAAUGGAGUUUUUAUUUACAGAAUUUUGUAUUGUAAAUGUGAUAAAAUGUUCAACCCCAUCCUUAUACUUCUUCGAUCUUCUAUCCUUUGAAAUCUAUGAACGAUCCAUUUUUUAAUAACAAACUUCCAAUAGUGAUCAAACUUCAAAUUGAAGAAAAUAUCAAUAUUUUCUAUAUCAUUCAUUUAGCAACCUUUCUUUCCUCUGUUCAAAGAAUAAUCAAGAAUCAAUUUAAUACAACAUUUGAUUAAAAGGCUAGAUUUAAGAGAAAAAGGGGUGAGCAUUAAUGUCCUAACCAUUUUGAAUUUUGUAUAUAGAUUUACACUAUUGGAAUAACACACUAAUUAUUGACAAUUUUAAAAAGUGCCAAGGAAAAAAAAGGUCAUUGUAUAUGUUAUACAUAGUAGUGAUUAAGAAGCUAUAAAUGUUAUUGACCUUGAAUACUUGCAUUAAAGAUGAUGUACAACCUCAAUUAAACAAGUGCAUAUUAAUAUUAUUGACAUAUACAAUUCAAGUUGUGUUGCAUUUUUUAUGGCAUUUAACAUCUCCAACUUCGUAAAUUAGGGAGUGGUUCCUAUCCCAUAUAAGAAUACAUAAUCUUUAUGUGUCAACUGCCAAUGUGCUCAAUUUAAUUUUAAAAAAAAAAAAAAAAAUGGCAGCAUUUCCCUAUGGUUCUCCAAGUACACAAAAUGAACAAGACAUAAUAUGUGACCUUGUCCAAGUAUGUACCCAGAGAACAAGAAGAAAGAGUACCAAAAUUUCUUUAAAAUGAAUUAAGAAUAAGCAAUUAACUUCAUAGCUAUUAUGUUUUCCUACACUAUCCAAUCAAACAAUUCAAACAUCAUUUGUAGAGAAAAGAUCUUUAUCACAUGGUAGACAAUUUAAAAGUUGUCAUCGUGAAACUAGUAUAGAUAAAACCAUUUUCACCUUUUGACAACUAAAAUGUCUUUACUAUCUAAUAACAAAAAUUUGUCUCACAAUGAUACUUGAACGAGAACUCUAAGAUUGCAUGCAAGCAUAGUUGAUUAAAAUUAAAACACAAUUACUUACUAAAAUAUUACAAAAAAAAAAAACAUAACUCUCAUUCUAUCAUGUUUAUCUUAAAUAUAUAACAUUUAACAUGGAGACCUAAAAACCUUUUCGCAACUUAGAGAGAAACAUCUUUUACAAAAAGGUCUACACCAAAUCUAAUCAAAUUAAUCUAAAUUGACAAUUUUAAAUAUACAUCAAGUAAUUAUCCUACAAAACAAAUAAUAAGGCAAUCAAAAUUUUAUAAUUAAUUUUUUGGUCCAAAUUUUAGCCUAUAAUGGUAUUUUGUGAACUAUAUAAUUUUAACUUGUCUCUAUGUAGUGCUUUUAUAUUUGGUGUUUUUGAGAAGAAUUCACAAGCAUUAUAGGGAUAAUAUAUGGCUUAACAUACAUUUUUUUUUCAUUUAAAAUAAAAAUUAUGAAAACAUUAAGUAUUAAGAUGGCAAUAUUUUUGGUUUGAUUAAAAUUUUAAUCUCUUUAUUAUAAAACUAAUAUAAUAUACAUCUAAAUAAUAUGUAAAGAAAUUCUAGAUGCCUAUGUAAAAAAAUAAAUAGUGCAUCCUAAUGGAAAAACUAAGAAUUAAUUUCAUAUUUUGGAACAUUCUAUAUAGUCAAUGAUACAAAUAAAUUAGAUUAAACAAUAUAUUCAAUUAACAUUUCAUCACUUAAAAUUAACACAUGCAAACCCUACGUGUUAGUGUGUAAAGCAUGACUCGCUUUGUAAACCAUAUAUCAUAAUAUAGGAGCACACGGUAAUGAACAGGGAACAUGGUUUUCAUAAUCUUAAGAAAUUAAUAAAUAAAUUUUGAAAUUAUAAUUUUAACCUUUUAAAUAUCUAAACUAAGCAAUCAUCGUAAUAGGAAAUUUAUCCUAAAUACCCCUUUGAACCAAAUAUCCUAAAAUUGUUUUUAGGUUAUAAUUAAAUUUUUGUGUUAUCAAUUUUUAUUUAAUUUUUACUAUUUUCUAUUUUCAAAUGGUUUGGUAAAUUAGUUUAAUAUAUUUAUAAUCAAUCAAGUAAAUUAAUUUAAUAUAAAGUAUAUUUAUGUAAAAUAAUUUUUAGUUUAAUAAAUAAAAAUUUAUAUUAUACUUUUACGGUAAUAUUUUAUCCAUAUAAAUAAUAUUCACCCAUCAUAAUAUUUGUAUUCCUUUUAUAUCAUAUUACCUACAAGAUCUCAUAUUUGAUUUUAUUUCCUGUCAUUUUUAACCUUUUAAAAAAUUCUUAAGAAAAUUUUGAAACAUAGAAUUGGUUUAUUCCCUUUUUCGUUUUUCUGUUAUUUUUAUAUAAAAUAAAAAUAGAGAAAAUACCCAUAUUUGAAAAAUAUACCUAUAUAUUUGGAAUUCUUUUAUAAAAAAAUCAAUUAAAAUGAAUGAGAUAAUAUUUCUAUUUUCAUCCUUGAACUAUUUAAUCGAAAAGGUAAGGAUUAAAAAAUUGUAGAAGACAUUUUUUUCUUCUUAUUUUUAAAAGAUAAAGAUCAUUGUUUUGAAUUUACUGUUUCAAUAUACCUUAACCAAAAAACCGUUUCUUUAUUAAAUGUUCAUUUUAUUUUUUUAUCAAAUUGAUAAUAGUAAUAUACGACAAUAAUAAAUGAUUAAGAAGAAAAUAGUAAUAAAAGCAAUAGAGAAAAUAAUGACGAAUAGAACGAAGAAAGCAUAAAUCUUUUUCCUGGACAAUGCAACGUCAAAGCAAAAUGAGACCAAGGGAGGAAGUGCUCUGGAGGCUUCAAGCCUUGAAUGGAUGCCAACAAUGCGUAGUGGAGCCAUCCCCUGACUCACGCCUGAGCAAAGCCUGAGCCAUGGUAACAAAUAUCUUUGAAUAAAGAAUAUUUUUCUAACAUACCCCAAUUAUGUACUAAAGUAGACAGCUGAGAGUUACUACUUGUAAGCAAGAAUAGCCUGAUCAUCUUCAUUGAGGAGCAUUCAUAAACACUACUACUGUUUUAAAAGUGGAUUUAUGCAAAUUUAAUACAGAAUUCCUCCAACAAUCACCCAAGAAGACUUGAUCUUUACUUAAUUAACAAGUCCAAAUAGAGAUAUUUGGGCUUAGGUAGAGAUAUGAUCUACUGGACCUAUAUAUAAGAUGAAAUUGAAUCGUGACAUUUAUUAGUUUAUGUCAUUUUAUACGCAAUGUUGUCGUUUUCAUAGCAUAACUAUAUUUUGUUUUCCUAAAGAUCUUUUAGGCAUAUCUCAUAAUGUUAUAGAAUCUGGGUUAUAAAAUUAACUAAUUGAUAAAAUUGUUCACAAUUAUUUUUAGUAUUGUGACGUUGAUUUAAUAAAAUUCCACUUAGUAGUUUUAUAUCCCUUAAUAGCCAUGCCUCAUAGUUUUAAUAUGAAAUAUUUUUGUUUCCAUGGCUAAUCUCACCUUGUAUAUUUGAAAGCCCUGUUAUUCUUGGAGAAAUGUUAAUUAAAAACUCGAGUUUGCUCUAUUUUAGUCAUCAACAAACCCUAUCUAGUGGUAGCAAUAAAUUUACCCUGAUUAACAAUAUAAAAAAAGGCAUAAUAUAAAGGAAGAUGUGAUGUUGUAAAGAUUUGACCCCAAGAAACCAUGAAAAAUGAAACUAUUGCAAUUUAAAUAUUAAAACUAAGCAGAGACGAGAGCUAAAUAGUGGUAUAAACCUAGAUAGUGCAAUAGGUGAAGAAAUAGCAUAGGAUCAAAUUUGUAUGCAAGUUUUUGUCUUUAAACAUGCAAUUGUUUGAAGCAUGAGAAAUUCUCAAUAUUUAAUUUCCAUUACAUUUUAUUAAUCAUUUCCUUUUAUGGACAAAGAUUUUGGAUGUAUAUAUUAGUGAAAGUGAGGACUCAAGCAUGCUAUCUGAUCAAAGAAUUUCCAAUGAUUUUUUUUUUCUAGCUCCCAAAUUUUUGCACUAGUCUCCUUUUCCAAUAAGUCACAUGGAAAAUUUUAAGACUAUCCACCUCAAAAGCAUUAGCAUUAGCAAAAAAAGCAAUUUAAACUUUUAGUUGUGUAUGGAAAGUAUGGGUGUGUAUUUCAUUUUCAGUAAGAAAAAAUAGCAGUAUGUACAUAAAUUACCUAUGACUGAGGAUCAAAGCAAAGAUGAAAACUGUGAUCUGGAAAGCUAAUGACUAUAUCCAGCUUCAGUGGCUCUUGUAUAAAUUGUCAUAACAAUGAGAUGUUUUACUAGAAAUAUCUCCAAUCUGCCUCUUAGCAAUGCUGGAAAUGCAAGAUACUUAAGAAGAAGACAUUAACUAGAUCAACAUCUUAUCUUAAAACUUCGAUUUAAGAAAAGAGUGCUAUCUUUGGGUACUUAGGAAUUCAGGGGAAGCUACUAAAACUUACUUUUGCAUGAUGUUUAGAUGAUAGUAACAUGAACAUCUAUGGCCAUGCUACUUCAUGGAUGAUUGUAUUAACAGAGCAAUUCCCGUGUCAAAAUUCCUUUAGUUAUCACACCUUGAUUCACUUCCAAGGCCCCAGUAAUAAAAAAAUAAAAGGUUUCAAGAACCCACAUAUUUGAUGAUGAAGUCUUCUGUUUCAAUUGACUUUAAAGCCACAAAACCAAUAACAUUUUGGUGACAUUAGCUUCUUCAUUAUUGGAGCUAUUCAAUAGCAAAUAACCCCCUACCCCACCAGCCAACCACCCUAAAAAAUACCUCAUGUUUUGGUCUUAAACACCCCAUACAAAUAUAACAAUUUGACUUGGAGAAUUCCAUAGAAUAUUUAGUAUGGGAACUACUCUGAAGAUUGACCUGUCUUGGCAAGAGCUCCAUAUGCAGAACCUACAGGCAUAAUCUACCCCAACUCCUACCCAAAAUUUUCGAUUAAAACAUAUAGGGUUUUACUUCGUUUAAAGAUAUAAAUCAAAUUCAUAGGAAUCGUUUUGGUUGGUAACACAUUUUUAUUUAAUAAACCCUAAAAAAGUUAUAUUAAAGGUGAUAAAAAAAUUAAUAUAAUUUUUAAUGAAAUUAAGAAAAACCAAGAAAAAAUCAGGACUUUACCUUGAAUCACUAAGUGGAUGGAGACAAUGGAAUGUCUUGCGGUCCCAAGUUGUUUCUUCUCAAAACAGUUGGAGUUAUUUUUCUCGUUUAUUUGGAGAAAAUAGGCUUUGGCCAAAUGGAAAAUGAAAGAAAAAAAUUAGGGUUUAGAUUAAAAGAAAAAACCCCACCAAAAUCUAUGCAUGUGCAAAACUUACUCUUCUAAUUAGUGGACUUCCCACUUCAACUGGUCUUUCAAUCUCGACUACAUUGAUGUAAUACUUCUAUUGUUGAAAUGAAAACCUGUAAAUCUCAUCUCACUUUUGGUUACUUCACAAAGGAGAAGGCCAAACACAACUCUGACAACUGACCACUAGUACAUCCUAGGCAAGUGAAGACUUAGGGUUUUGGAUGCUCUGAAUGUGAGAUUUGAAGGUAUGUGAAGGAAAAUCAUGUUUUGGCGGGUGAGGAAAUCGUGUGGAGGGAGUGGAAAUUUUAGGCAUGUUUUAGAUAAAUAUAUAUACUAGGUAGGAUAAUGACACUCUUUAGAAACAUCAAGAAUGCAAAAAUGUUAUAUAUCCAAUGACACUUAAAAUAAGCACCAACAUUUUUUAAUUUAUACAUAUCAACGACACUUGCAGAUGUGUCAUAGUAAACAAGCGCCAAUGUUUGGGCAUAAAAAAUAAAUAAUGACAUUUUUUUAAAAGUGCUAAGGAAGGAAGUGUCAUUGUUCUUGUUUUUUGUAGUAGUGAUGGUAUGGUGGAAUGAUUUUCUCUCAUCUGUGGGCGUACACAUGUUUGACCUAACCAUAUUAAAAUCUCUUAUAUCUUUAUGUGGAUUAUUUUAUUUUUGUGUAAUUGAACUAGUAUUGUUUGCAUCAAAGCUUUUGCUAGUUCAACAUAUAAUUUGUGGUGUAUGUUAGAAUUGUGUUGAAAGUGUAAGUCCUAUUCUCCUAUUUACAAAAGGCAUAAACUUUUGCACUCUAAACAUUUCAUGGCCAGCCUGAUUUUAUGCAUGUAUUCAAAACCAAAUGGUGAAUGAACACUUGAGUAGUAUUGGAGACGGAAAAGAAGAGAAGUAAUAUUGGAUAAAAGGGACANNNNNNNNNNNNNNNNNNNNNNNNNNNNNNNNNNNNNNNNNNNNNNNNNNNNNNNNNNNNNNNNNNNNNNNNNNNNNNNNNNNNNNNNNNNNNNNNNNNNUUACAUCACACAAAUUCNUUUUUUUGCAUUGAAUCUGGUUGAAGAGUUCACUACCAAUUUUUGAACUCUAAGAAUAAUAUGUAAGUAGUGCAGGCAAACACAGGAAUCUUGAAAGACAGAUAAAAAUCAAAUAACAGUCAAAAUAAAAUGUAAGUUUAACAACAUGAGAUACAAUGGAGAUCCGUAUCAAACUCCUCGAAGCUUCUGGGUCUCCAUAUUCUGCAGAGAAGUCUCGUCUGCAACUUUGUACAAGUCAACAGCCAAACUUCAUUUCCAAAUUGAUGAGUGUCCAAAAUGUGACCGACAAAUACGUUAUUAAAAGGGAAAAACAAAGGACAGAAAAAGAAAGAGAGGAGAAAAUCUAUGCUUGAUCUUUGGCACUGAAUUACUGGUUUUACUUCCAGUCAAUCCAUUCAGAUAUCUUCUCAACGCACAAGAAGGGAUUGAAAAAAUCCCAGCUCCAAUUUUCCAAAAAACAGCUUAGUCCACUAGUCAGUCAAGAACCAUGACGACUUGCAACACCCCAGUCUUCUUUGUUUUACAGAAGCUCUCAAUUUUAUAAGUGCAGACAGACCAGAAUCUCACUCAGCUCAGCUUCACAAAUUCAAGUCAGCAAUCACUCAAAUGCAUUAAACUAAUUUUUAUGCUCUUCUCCUAUUGAGAGAAAUAGGCAUUCACUUUGAAGAGACAACGCAAGUUUGUGUCAGUAGGUUAUAUGUGUACCCUGAUAAGCAAAUCCCCUCUACUGAUGGAGAUGCCAAGCUCUAGCUUGAGAUUACAGUGGUGGUUUUUCCUUGUCAACCUCAUCAUUUGUAUUAGUUUGCUUCGGUUGGAAUCUCUUUCCAGCACGCCCACUUUUGGAAAUGAAACUGAUAAGCUUGCAUUGCUCACCAUCAAGCAUUAUCUGGUUGAUGUUCCAAAUGGAGUUCUGAGUUCCUGGAAUGACUCUGCAUUUCUGCCAGUGGCAUGGGGUUACAUUCAGUCGCUGACAUCAGAGGGUCACAACGAGGGUCAAAGCUUAGGUGGUUCCUUACCACCUAUUGGGAACUGAACAUUCCAAAGAGAGUUGGUGUUGUCCAACAAUCACUUGCACGGUACUAUACCCAGUGACAUUGGUCUUUUACGAUGGAUGCAGCAUCUCAAUCUGAGCACAAAUUCCCUCCAAGGUGAGAUUCCGGUUGAAGUGCUUGAAAUAUUUAUAUUUGGAUGUAAAUAACCUGUCUGGUAUGAUUUCUCCCUCACUCUAUAAUAGGUCAUCUGCCAUUGAAUUUUUUGUAUCUGGCAACAUUCUGUCUGGAAAUUUUACUCCAAACAUGAGGUUUAAUUUUCCUCAACUCCGCAAGUUUGGCAUAGCAGGGUAUCAGUUUACUGGAAUAAUUCCAGAUACACUAUCCAAUAUUUCAGGACUUGAACUUUUGGAUCUAAGUAACAAUUAUCUAACUGGCCAAGUCCCUGAUAGCUUAGGAGUGCUCAAGGAUCUGUAUUGGUUGAACCUUGAAUUCAAUAAAUUAGGAAGGGGCAUGUCAGGCGAUUUAAAUUUUCCAUAUUCUUUGCCAAAUGUCAGCAGUUUAAGACUUAUCAAUCCACAUGCCAAUAAUUUCCGGGGCGUGUUACUCAUCUCCAUUGUUAAUCGAUCAACCCAACUGCAGAAGCUUAUCAUAGGGGGCAACAAAAUAUCUGGAAGCAUCCCAAAAGAGAUUGGGAACCUGAUCAGCUUAACUGUUUUCAGUGCAAUGCGGAAUAAUCUUACUGUGUCAUUCCCAUUUCAAUUGGCAAGCUUCAGAAUUUAAGAGUAUUCGACUUAAAUUGGAACAGGCUAUCAGGUCUGCUCCCAUCCACCGUCGGCAACUCAAGUCAACUAUACUACCUUGACAUGGGCUACAACAAUUUGGAAGGGAACAUUCCUACUCACAGGAACUGCCAAAAUAUGGAAAUUCUUUUCCUCGAUCACAAUAAGUUGAGUGGUAGUGUACCUGAAAAUGUCACUUGUCAUUUCAAUCAGUUGAGAUCACUCUACCUACAGCAAAACACAUUCACCGGUUCUCUCCCAACAGAUGUUGGUCAACUGAAAAACCUAAAUCAGCUGCUUGUUUCUGACAACAACUUGUCAGGCAAAAUCCCCAGGGAACUUGGCAGCUGUUCGAUAUUUGAGUACCUCGACAUGGCAAAAAACUCUUUCCAGGGAAACAUCCCUCUGUCAUUUAGCUCAUUGAGAGGUAUUCGGUUCCUAGACCUUUCAUGCAACAUCUUGCCUGGAACGAUUCCCAAAGAACUACAUCUUCUUGGUUUGUUGAGUUUAAAUCUGCCUUAUAACUACCUUGAAGGUGAGCUUCCAAGUGGAGGAGUUUUUAAAAAUGUGAGUGGGAUUUUAAUCACUGGGAACAAGAAGCUUUGUGGGGGGAAUCCCUCAACUUCAGCUGCCAGCAUGCUGUGAUGUAGAGUCAGCAAAGCAUGGCAAAGGGAAGCAUCUUUCAACCAAAAUUGUUAUAGCCAUAAGCAUUACUGGUGUUUCUUGCUUGGCUUUCAUAGUGGCUUCAGUUCUCCUCUAUGGGAGAAAAACGGCUGUAAUGAAGCCUUCUUCCACCUUUUUAAGAUAUGGAUACUUGAGGGUUUCUUACAAAGAGCUCCUCAAAGCAGCUAGUGGAUUUGCUUCUUCCAACUUGAUUGGCAUGGGAAGUUUUGGUUCCAUAUACAAAGGAAUUCUAAUUCGAGGUGAAAGACCUGUUGCAGUGAAGGUACUGAACCUUCAACACCGUGGAGCUACCAAGAGUUUCAUGGCUAAGUGCAAGGUCCUCAGGAAUAUUCAGCUUCGGAAUCUCCUUGGAUUCAUAACUUCAUGUUCAAGUGUGGACAACAAAGUUUGUGAUUUUAAGGCUCUAGUAUUUGAGUUCAUGCCUAAUGGGAACCUAGAUAGCUGGCUGUAUCAUGAAUCUAGAAAUUUAAGCUUCAGACAAAGAUUGGAUAUCGUAAUUGAUGUGGCUAAUGCUCUGGAUUAUCUUCAUCACCAAUGCCAGACGCCAAUUGUUCAUGGUGAUCUAAGGCCAAGCAAUGUUCUUCUUGAUGAUGACAUGGCUGCCCAUGUUGGGGACUUCGGGUUAGCCAACCUCCUUCCUGAAGCUAACGAGAUUCUGAGUAGUGGUCUGUAGGUUUUCAUUGAAACAGAGUGUGGAAACUCUUUGGAAGCAAUAGAACGUUGAGGAAUCUGAAGUUCUUAAUUUUAUUAAGCUUCAAACCACUUAUUUAUACAACUAGCUUAAAACAGAAAAACAUAAAAAUAGCAACAAACCUGCUACCUAUAGAUAAUUCCUAAAGAAUAGAAACAACCAACAAACUUCCUAAGAAAUAGGUAAAUCUUCCACAUGACUAACUUAUUUGACUACUUCCACUUCAAUCUACUCAGCUCCAUGUCAGCAGCUCCUAUGACAUGUCAUUCAACACUCCUCCUUGUCUUUGGAGCUGCAAACUCCAAGCCUUUGCCUUAAGAACUCAUAUCUAGCUUUGGGAAGUGGUUUGGUUAAGAUAUCAGCAUUCUGACUUUCUGUUUUACAGUAGACCAACUGAAUUUCUCCCUCCUUCUGUACCUCUCUUAGGAAAUAGAGUUUCAACUUGAAAUGUUUUGUUUUUCCAUGGAACACCGGAUUAUUUGCAAUUGAAAUUGCAGCUUGGUUAUCUACGAGUAUUUGUGUGCUUUCAUUUUGCUCCAUAAGCAAGUCAGCCAUUAAUUUCCUAAUCCAGAGAGCCUGAUUCACAGCAGCGGCAGCAGCUACAUAUUCUGCUUCUGCUGUAGAUUGAGCUAUGACUUCUUGCUUUUUGGAACACCAUGAAAAAAUAGCAGAACCAAAGCUGAAACAAUAACCUAAAGUACUUCUCAUGUCAUCAACACAACCUGCCCAAUCACUAUCUGAAUAACCAUGGAGAGUAAAGUUUUUAACUUGACAAAACCUCAGACCAUAGUUAAUUGUACCCUUGACAUAUCUAACAAUUCUUUUUGCUGCUUGAAAGUGAAUUUCACUAGCACAAUGCAUGUACCUUGAGAGUAAACUUACAACAUUCAUAAUAUCUGGUCUAGUUGCCGUUAGGUACAUCAAGCACCCAAUAAUGGUCCUGUAAAGCCUUUCGUCAGCUUUUGCAGCUCCAUUUUUUUUGCAAAACUUCUCAUUUUGAUUCAUUGGAGUUGCACUUGGAUUGCACUCUUCCAUCUUGAACUUUUUCAGGAUUUCCUUGGCAUAUUUCUGUUGACAUAUGAAGAUCUCAUUCUGCUUUUGUUGUACCUCCAUGCCAAGAAAGAAUGUCAUCCUCCCAAGAUCAGUCAUCUCAAAAACAUCCUUCAUUUCCUUUUUGAAAUUGCCAAUUUGCUUCAUACUGCUUCCUGUCACAAGUAGAUCAUCAACAUAUAAAGAUACCACAAGUGUUUCAUCACAAACCUUCUUGAAGUAUAGAGUAAAUUCACUUAGGCUUUUUGUAAAGCCUAACCCUAACAAAUGUGAAUCAAUCCUACUGUACCAUGCCCUUGGUGCCUAUUUUAAACCAUACAAGGCCUUUUUCAGCAAAUAUACUUUAUCCUCCAUUCCUUUAACAAUAAAACCUUCAAGCUGCUCCACAAAAAUUUCUUCCUCCAAGUAUCCAUUCAAGAAGGCUGAUUUGACAUCCAUCUGAUGUAUAUUCCAGCCCUUUUGAGCAGCAAGAGCCAGGAACAUUCUUAUAGUGUCCAAUCUAGCAACUGGGGCAAAAGUCUCAGAGAAAUCCACCCCCAAACAUCUGAGCAUAUCCUUUGACAACCAGUCUUGCCUUGUGUUUGUUUAUAGAACCAUCAGAAUUGAGUUUGGUUCUAUAAACCCACUUGACUCCAAUUGCCCUUUUAUGUCUUGGUUUGUCCACUAGCUCCCAAGUCUGGUUUUUUUCAAUCAUUUUAAGCUCCUCCUUCAUUGCAUCCAUCCAUUUUUUAUCCGUUGCAGCUUCUUCAUACCUUGCAGGCUCUAUUAUAGCAAUAUUGCACCUCUGAUAGAUGUCAGAGAGUGAUCUGGUUCCCCUGACAGGUUCAUCAUCAAUAUUGGCAUUCUCCUCCUGAAACUCAAGCUUCUUAUCAUUCUCCCAACUUCAAAUUCGAAGAAUUUGACAUCUCUACUAACUAUGACUUUGUUGUUUUUUGGAAGAUAGAUUCUAUAGGCCUUUGAUAUUGAGUUAUAACCUAUAAAGAUCCUAGCUUCUGCUUUCUUAUCCAAUUUGUCUCUCUUAACAUGUGGAAUAUAAGAGAAACAAAGACAACCAAAUGUUUUUAAAUUUUGCAGCCUUGGUUUAUAGCCAUACCAUGCUUCAAAUGGAGUCUUUUGUUGCAAAGCUUUUGUUGGCAGUCUAUUUAGCAGAAAGACUGAUGUAUGUGCAGCCUCAGCCCAGAAUUUCUUUGGCAGCCCUUUCUCAUGCAGCAAACACCUUGUCAUUUCCAUAAGUGUUCUAUUUUUCCUCUCAACGACUCCAUUCUGUUGAGGGGUAUAAGGUGUUGUAAGCUGGUGCUCAAUGCCUGCAUCCUCACAAAAUUUGUUAAAUUUCUCCGAGGUGUAUUCAGUUCCAUUAUCAAACCUGAUCACUUGCAUUUUACAUUUACUUUGAUUUUCAGCCCAAGCUUUAAACUUCCAAAAGAUGUCAGCAACCUCAGAUUUAAAUUUCAUGAAAUAAAUCCAGCACAUUCUUGUGUGAUCAUCAAUGAAAGCAAUAUAGAACUUACUGCCAUUCAGUGAUGGUGUUCUCUGAGGUCCUCCCACAUUAGUGUGUACUAACUGCAACUUCUGAGUAGCUCUCCAGGCCUUGUUUUGUGGGAAAGGAAGUCUUGCUUGUUUCCCGUACUGACAUGCUACAUAGGUAGGAGGCUUCACCUCUAAUUCAGGCAAGCCUUCUCCAAGAUCGUUCUUCUUCAUAAAGAGAAGGGCGCUAUGAUGAAAGUGCCCCAAACGCCUAUGCCAAAGCAUUGUAUUGCUUUCUUCUUUGUGAAUUGCAGCCUGCUCUUCUUGCAUCAAAUCCAAGGCAAAGCCUUUGCCUUUCAUUUGAACUAUAAAUACCUCUCUGCCUUGUGCAUCAGCAAUCAUGCACCGAUUGUCCUCAAACAUCACCUUAUAGCCUUUUUCCAGCAGCUGACCGACACUCAAUAGAUUUUGAUUAAUCUCAAGAACAUAUAAGACAUUAGAAAUUAAUUUCAAACCUGUGUGGCCUUCAAUUGCCACUGUUCCUUUGGCCUUACUGCAAGAUAUGCUCCAUUUCCAAUUCUAACUUUGGAAGUAACAGUUUUGUCAAGUUCCUUAAAGAGCCCUUGAUCAUAAGUCAUAUGGUUUGUACAACCACUGUCUAUAAGCCAAGUUUCUGGGGAGCUACUAGUGGCAAAGCAUGAUACCACAAAUAGUUGCUCAUCUGGAAGUUCUUCCACAGCAACCUUGACUUCUCCUUGCUGCUGUUGAGAUUUGCAAAUCCUUUCCACAUGCCUUAGAUGACCACACUUGUGACAUCUUACAUCCGGCCUCUACCAACACCUUUUUUGUGGAUGAUUGGAUUUUUUACAGUAAGGACAUGGUGGAAACUUUUGAGUGUUGUUGUUGCUGUUAUUGUUGCUUUGCAUCUCUUUUUUGUACUGAGAUAUGGCUUGAAAUGCACCCUCCACAGAUCCUUCUUGUCUCAUAAGCCUCCUUUGUUCUUGAGCCUGUAAUGCAUUCAACAACUCUGCCAAGGUGAUACUUGACACAUCUUUUGAGUUUUCUAGAGAUGAUAUUGUAGUCUCAAACUUUUCAGGAACUGUUAUAAAAAUUUUCUGAACCAUUCUAGAAUCAAAAAAGUCAGUACCAAGAAGUCUUACUUUGUUAACAAUACUAAGAAGUCUGUCUGAGUAAUCCUUGAUUGUUUCUGAUUCUUUCAUCCUUUGCAUCUCAAAUUCUCUAAUCAAGUUCAGCACUUGCAUACCUUUGACUCGUUCAUUUCCUUCAUAUUCCUUCUUCAAGAAGUUCCAUAUUUCAUUUGUUGUCUUCAGUGUCAUGAUUCUGGUGAAAAUUGUAGAUGAGACAGCUGCAGCUCAAGAGAACCACAUAAUGCGAUGCUCUAAGGGUUUCAAAGAAAGACACGAGGCUUGGGAGAGGUUGAGUUCAAGAUUAGCUAAGGUAGUACAUAGGGUUCCUUAAGGAAGUACCUAAAGGGAGGAAUAUAUUAAUUAUUCAUAUAUAGCUUCCCCUCCCUAGACGAAGGAAACAAAAUCUUUUGCACUUUGUUUUGAUAUGUAAUUGCCUUUCUAACAAUUGGGUAAAUCAUUUGACCUAAUAAAUGUUUAGAUCAUUGUAUUAGUAAAUAAGUCCGUAGGUGAAACAACUACAUUAAUUCCUUUUUUGAAAAGGCCUUUGAGAAGCCAAAAACUAUUUUUAAAUUGAAUAAGAGCUUAACUAAUUUUUUUAAAAAGAGUUAAAAGCUACAUAAUAUGAAAUCUAGGAAAACGUUAAUUUGUCGUAGAAGCUUUAUUUUAGCUUAUAUGGGAAACUAUUUUAUGUUAUAAGAUCAAUAUUGCCCUUUGAGAAUUAUAGCUUCUUCCUUGAGCUAAAGGCAAAAACAAAAACCUAUCCGAGUAGGAGAACAAAGUACAAAACUUGAUUCUUACCAGGAAAGCAUAAAUUGAAAAUCACCAAUUAUCCCAACAUCCAACUCAAUAAAUUAAAACACCUCAAAAUCAAAAUGUCAAAAAUAUAUCAAUUUUCUUCUAUUGAAACAUAAAACAAACUGAAUGCUUGAAACAACAUCAACCAUCCAUUAAUUUGAUUUUUGGUCAAUCACCCAUUUCUUUCUUUUUUAAAAAUAAGAAGACCACACAUUUAGGUAGAAUCGCUCUCUGCUACAACGUAGGCAAUGCCUACAUAAGAACUAAAUCCUACCCACAAAAUGUCUCCUCAAAAAACUAUAAUUAAAAAAAAUGAAAUAAACAAGGGAGACAUCAGUUAUAUAUAUAUAAACAAGGGAGACCAGUUCAAUUGCAAGAAAUCAAAGAACAAAAGGUUCACAAACUUGAAAGCUACCUUUGAAAUUCUUGAAAAAAGUAACAGAUUACUGUACCACGACAUUGAUUAACCCAAUGAAAGAAUUUAACUCCACAAAAAGAUAUUUACGCAAAUGAGGUUAGGCUUUUAAGGAUUUGGGUUUUCAGGAUGAAGAGAAAGACGAGGCAGAGGCCAAGGUUUCAAAAAUUUAGGGUUCUAGGAGGGACAAAAGCAAAUGGAGUUUUAGGUUUCCGUUGACAGAGUUGGUGUCGAGGUGAAAAACGUUAGAUCUUUUUAUUUUUUAUUUUUUGGGCUUUUAAGGUUUUUUGGGUAUUCAGAUGUGGAGGCUGAGCUGGACGAAUGGGAGGGCAUUUUGGGAAUGAAAGCACACUUCAGUACAGAGUGCAUGGAAUUGCCAAUAUUUUCGGCAUUAGCACAGAUUUCUUGAUUUUCCCAAAGUUGGGGGUUGAAAAAUCCUAACAUUGUGAACCCUUGUUUUAUAGGUAGAGCAUAAGGUGUGUCCAUUGUGACACUGUAAAGAAGUCAACUUGGUAAAAACCACGACACAAUUUUUAUGCCUUAAAAGCAAAUAUAAACAAUUAAAAAGAGAGUCGAAAACUCAUUUUUGAUCUAUUUCUGAACCAUACCAGGCAGUAGAUACCAGACUUUGCAAUCAAACAUCUUAUUUGAUGCGAAGGGACAAGCCAAUGACCAAACAAAUAGAGGAGAAAACAAAGUGUCGAGGAAAAGAUGCCACAGAAAUCAAAAGAAAGUGAAAAAGUGUGAGUCACUUGAAUUUCUUAAAUAGCUAAAAACAGGUGGCUUACCUAUUAUGGCUCUUCAUGAUGAUUUAUUCUUUUGGUGAGAUUCUAGGUUGUGAUAAGCAUACAUGGCAAAAGAAAAAAAAAUGUUUUAAGAACACAUGGAACAAUGAUUAAUCAUCUUUCCGUGGAAGAAAAAACAUCUAGCUGGAAUACGUUGACAAUGGAAAGGAAGCAAUCAAAAGGAAGAACAACCAUUCAACAGUUCCACCCGAAAAAUCCAAUGCAAGGUAUAGCAAAAUAUAACAAUCACAAAGGAAACAAAUUAUUAUGUGAUCUACCAGUAAGUAACAGAGACCAGAGAACAUGGGAGUACACUAUUGAAGAGCCGCUUGGAACACUAGUCUACUCAUAAUAAGUAGAAAUAGUGAAAUAGUUCCAAUUAAGUUAUAAGAUGGUUCAAAACCUCAUAAAACUAGAUAAGAACUUCCAGUUAUCUUCUAAUUUUAGCAGAAACUAGAGAAAUUAGUCUUCCAACUAUAAAUAACUGUGAAAACCCUUAAGAUUUCAGAUAAUCAAUAGAAGGAAUCCCAGAUAGAGAUGGUGUUAAAAUAUGUCAACAAGUCUAAUUAUAAGAAUAUUCACAUACUCCAACAUAACUUGUCAAGCAUAUGAUACUCAUAAACUGUUUUAAUUUCAUACUAUAAAUGAUAAUAAAAAAAAAUGCACUAGCAUCUCUCUCUUAACUUCAUAAAGCUGCAGAUAACAAUAGGAAAAUUAAAGAUGUUUGAAUUAAAUUUAUAGGAGCAACAGCCUAACAGGAGAACGUAUAAUUCUUAAAGAAUGGAUUAAAGAUCAGUCUUGUGUGUAACAAUAUCCUUUGUUUCUGAAGCUCUGGAUGGAUGGGGCAAAGUGCUUUCAAGAUUAUCCACUGUGAUGUUAUUUGAUACAAUCAAGGCAGGAAGACCAGCAGAAUUGUUUAUAAUAAGUUUUGGUAUCAUACUAUCAUGGAGUUUCUUCUAGAAACAAUUCAACAUAAUUCUUCUUAACACAUUACAAUAUAGGAGUUUAAAAGGUUCUCCCCAUCAUGAAACUAAUCACUUCAAAUUGACAACCAAUUCGAAUCAGCUCCAAUAUCAAAAUAAGCAAUCCACAAAAAACCCAAGUGCCAUUCCAUCCAUAUACCAAAAUAAACCUUCAAAUCCAUUUGAAGAAAUCAUUUCAUCCAAAACCCACUUGUAAAAACACAUUAAACUCAACAAAAAAAACAUACCAAAAAAUAAUCCAUCAACCCCAAAAACCCCAAAUCAAUUUCCCUUGUUGAUUGAUUGAUUGCAAUAGUAUUACACAGGCUUAUCAUUUUGUCGCCCUAGAAAAUGAAAUGCCCAAGUUCUCAAUUGAGUGGAGAUUUCAAAACAUUGAAAAACCUAAUACCCCAAAUUCUAAUAUUUUUUGUUCCUUCUCCCACAAUUCUCAUCAACCAAACGGAGAAUGACGAACGUAUCAAAUUCUCUAUUGAUGGGAGAUUUCAAUUUUCUUGCUUCCCAAACAAUGCCCAAAACUCCAAAAUUUCCCUUUUUCCCAUACUUUCCUACCAAUCAAACAGACAAUAACCAAUCCAAGAAACCACCUAAAGAGGAGAAGAAAUGCACACAUAUACACACUCACUUGGUGGAUUGGUGGGUACAUGUAAUUGGUGCACACGGGGCACUCAAGCAAUUCAUGAACGCUAGUCGCCGGAGCAGUCGCCGAAGGAACGACGCCUUUUUGAAGAGGCUUCGACGAGAACUGAUGAACCACAUGAUUGUGAUUGAGAUUGUGAUGAUGGUAAUGAAGGUGGUAGAUCUCCUCUUCUUCCAUGUCAUCCGAUGAUGAUACACACUCGAUAUUAUCCAAGUCCAUUAACACACGACCAGAACCAAACAGCUCCUAAAAAGGAGGUUCUUUUCUUCCUUCUUCUCUCUAUCUGUUUUUGUAUCGAGUUUCCCCAAAUUUGAAAGCUUAUCGGGUCGGUUUUACAAAUUUGAUAACUUUGAAGAACCCGGGCGGGGGGGGGGGGGGGGGGGGGUUUUUGGAAAGGGGGGUUUUAAAAAAGUUAUAAUGGGGGAAAAAGGAAAAAAUUUUUUUAAAAAGGGGAAAAUUUUGGGGUUUAAAAAAAUUGGGGUUUGAAAAAAAAAUUUUGGGGAAAGGGGCCCCCCAAAAAAAAAUUUUCCCUUUUUAAAACCCAAAUUUUUUUUUUAAAUUCCCCACAAAAUUUAAGGUAAAAAAAAAAAAAGGGGAGGAAGGGUUUUAAUUUUCUUUGUUGGGGAACUUUUUUUUUUAAAAGGGAAAACCCCAAAAGGGGUUUCUUCCCCUUUUAAAAAAAAUUUUUUCCAAAAAUCCGAAGACCCCCCUUUAACCUGGGGGUUUUUUUUUUUUUUUAAACCCCUUUUCCGGAUUUCCAAAGGGAAAAAAACCUUUAAAAANNNNNNNNNNNNNNNNNNNNNNNNNNNNNNNNNNNNNNNNNNNNNNNNNNNNNNNNNNNNNNNNNNNNNNNNNNNNNNNNNNNNNNNNNNNNNNNNNNNNCCGGGGGGGGGGGGGGGGGGGGGGGUCUAUUGACAAGGAUGCAUUAUAAACAGUAUAUAGUGCGUAAAAAGGAAAUAAUUUUUUGAAAUAGUGGACAUAUCUUGGGUUAUACAAACUUGGGGUUUGAAAAUAAUAUUAUUGGGAAAUGGGCCUCCCAAAACACAACUUUCCCUUUUAAGAAUCCAAAUUUUUAGUUCAAAUUCCACUACAAAUUCGAUGUAAAAAUAAAAGACUGUAGAGUAUGGUUUUAACUUUCCUUGCUUGCGACUCUUCUUUUUCAAUAUGGAUAAGCCCAGAGCGGGUUCUCUCCCCUCUUAGAAAAGAGUUCAUCCAAAGAUCCGAGAGCCCUCAUCUACACGUGUGCAUUAUCUUCUCUUUUAGACCCCUUCCUCGGAUUGCCAAAGGGAACAAGACCUUGAAGAAACACAGAAUAAACGAAAUGACUAUUUUUUUUGUGAGCCAUGAGGUUAUUCUUCUAACCAUGCCCGAAAUCGUACCUCUCCAAUUUUGAAAAUAUUCCAAUAUAAAGGAGAGGAAAAAGCAAGAGCAGAGGAUGCAAGUGAGGAAUGAAAGGGCAGAGGAAUGUGGUAAAACAGCGUACAAGCCGGUUGUGAAAGCGAUGGCCAUUGCUCCCAUGCCAAUCAUGGUCAAAAUAAAGGCCGAAACCAAGUGCUUUGCAAGGAACUCCUCCCCAUUACGCAUGGUCAUAAAAAAGUGAAGAAAUACAGCGCAUAGUGAGGAGACCAUGGCUAUGGUAUCCGUCACAACAAAUGCUCUGAAAGCUGCUUUCUUUGAUAAAAUUGCCUUGCCAUCAUCACCAUUGUAACCACCGGGCAAAGUGAAACCCGCAGCAUAAGUUACUGUUGUUAUAAGCGCGGAAACUAUCAAAUGGGUAGACCUUGUUUUUGUAAUUCAGAGGUACGUUUCUCCUUGUCCUCUUUGCUUUCUUUCUCUUUCUUCAAUUUCUUAAUUAUUUCCUGAAAUUGAUGAAUCAAUUUUUGUCACAUUCAGUCACUCAUUGCUGGGUAAACAAGAAGUCAUUGAAAAUCUGAUACAAAUGAUAAAUGCGUCUAACUUAAAUACAGUAGCAAAUCAAGCUUCUUUAUUCCAAAAGAUUGAGGUUAAUGGAGUUAUUUGUUUGCUCUAAACCUUCUUAAUAAAAAUAGUAUGAUGAAUACCAAUUUGCUUAAAUUUCAACACCAAUAUAAAUUAUUAAAUAAAUCCAAUGAAUUUAUCUUAUUUCCAAACAUAUUUAAGAGUAACAAAACAUAGCAUAUUUCAAAGAAAAUAUAUCUUUUCGUUCAAAUGAACUCAAACAUAUAACUGAAGUGAUGUGGAAGCCUUACAUUUUUCCCAAAAAUGUUCUCCUCGAUCCCGUCGUUAACUGUCAAGUAUUUCACUAAUUUCUUAGUUUCCCUCUCCCAAAACCAAGAUCUAGUUUCAGGCAUAACCAUCUCGAAGGCACCUUGGAUCACAUCCUGAAAUUGAAUAAAAGGAACAUUUCAAUUUAAUUCAAUUGAUGAAUCCAUUUUUUUCACAUUCAGUCACUCAUUGCUGGGUAAACAAGCCAUUGAAAAUCUGAUACGUACAAGUGAGAAAUGCAUCCGACUUAACCAACCUUUAAUUAAAUACAUCCAAUCAAGCUUAUUUAUUCCAAGAGAUCUGGGGUUAAUCGACUUACUUGUUUGUUCUAAAACUUCUUAAUAAAAGCAUGAUGAGUGCCAAUUUAUUUAAAUUUGAACAUCAGCAUAUUCAAUAAAUCCAAUAAAUUUAGAGACAAUGGGGGUUAAAAAAAAUUGAAGGAAGACAAAAUAAAAUUUUAUCAACUCUUUAUCCUAUUCAUCUUCUACUACUUUAAAAUGUGAUAAAAAAUAAUUAAAAUGUGGAAAAGAAAAAAUAAUAAUUCUUGAUGUUAUGUUUGGUUCUUGAGAAAUCUUAAGACUUUUUUGCUCAUAGAAAAUGAUAAAAGAAAAGAACAAAAAAGUGAAAACAAAUAAUAAGGCUAUGCUUAUUUCCAAAAAAUAUAAGGGAAAAUUUAAAGAGAAGAAAAAUAUAAAUAGAUAAGCAUAGCCUUAAUGUUUUUCAUGAGCCAAAUGUAGUCCGAGAAGAAUCCAUGAAAAUUUAAAAAAUAAAACUGGAAAAAAUAAAAUAUUUUCCCUAGAAAAAAGUGGAAAAAGUUUGGAAAACGUGCAUUUCGCAACGGUUUAAUCUUUUGUUUUCUAAACAUUUUUAUGAACGAUAAAAUAAGAGAAAAUCUUAUAAAUUGUUCUUAUCUUUUUAUUUUUGUAUCUUUCUAUUUUUCCUUUCCUCAAAUUAAUCUUAAACUACAUUUGAUUUUAGAAAGUACAGGAAAAAAAUAUUAAGAGAAGUUGUUAUUUUUUUUUUUUUUCACAUUUGGAUACAAGUGAAAAAAUGAUAAGAAAAUAUAUAAAAAUAAAAAUUAUACUAUAAAAAGGACUAGCUAUUCACCAGUUCUAGGUAGUUUCAUAACAAAAUAUCAAACAUUCACGUAUAAUUGAAGUGAUGUGAGACUUCACCUUUUUCUUGGAACUGUCCUUCUUGGCCCUCGAAAUUAUGUCGUAAGCUGUCAAGUUUUUGCUAUUAUACGCCUUCUUAUCCACAUUCCAAUCGAAUAAGAACCGAAAAUCUGAAAUUUGAUAAGAAGAGAGCAAGUGGAUGGGUGUGUUUCCUUGACCAUCUUUCUCAUUUACAAGUCCUCUGGCUCUUAACCAUUCAUUUUGAAAGUAAUCACUAGGCUUAUAAUCAUGGUCUCCCUUUUUCAUCAGGGAAAAGUGAAAAACAUUAUGGCCGUCGUUAUCGACUUGCUCGCAACAAUCUGGAUAGUGAGAUAGGAGCUCCUCUAUUAUGUUUUUAUGAUGGUGGAAAGAUGCAAUAUGAAGGGCAGUCUUGUUACCAUCAUUGAUCCCAAGAUAUGCUACACUCUUAUCUGAAUUCUCUAGCAGUUGCCUCACAAUUGUUGGAUGACAAUUUCUCUCUGCAGCACAGUGAAGUGGAGACCACCCUUUCUCAUCCACUUCCUUAGUUAGAGCUGGAUUCCAUUUCAAUAUCGCGUCGGUCAUUUCUGACAAAUGGAUAAAUGAAAAAAGAGAGUAAAAAAGAAAGUUCAGAAAAAUGAAAGAAAAUAAAUAAAGUCAAAUCAACCAUGGCAGUUUCCCUUUUAGUCUAAAUAUGUGAAAAUAACAUAAUCAUUGUAUUAAACCCUCCGUAUUAUGAGCAUACUACCUUGGUCAUUGCAGAGUACAGCAGCAUGCAAGGCCGUUCUACCCAUGAAGCCACUGUAGGCUGGUGAAGUGCGAGUUUUGUGACUUUUGUCUAGGAUAAUUUGCACUAUUCUGGUAAAUCCUCUCUCAGCAGCCAUGUAAAGAGGAGUCCCACCAGAAACAUUAGCACCAUAAGUAUACUCAGGGUCUUUCUCAAUCAAUAACUUCACCAAAGAAUAUUGGCCAUAUCGCACUGCCUCAUGCAAGGCUGUGUCUUUCUCCUUAUUUGUCAUCCUCAACAUCAACUUAUCUGCUUCAAGCCCAGUUUCAAUAUCUGUGGCAGCGUCUAAAAGAGCUUUCACAACAUCCAAAUGCCCUUCCCUUGCUGCAAGGUGAAGCGGAAUGUCCCCUUUCAGAUUAGGGUGUAGCAGUAGAGAUGAAGAUGAAGGCAACCUAAGGAUCAAAUUCACAGACUCCAGUUGACCGAACUGGGCAGCGAUGUGGAGUAUUGUGUUAUGCUUUGGGGUUAAAUGGACUAGUAAGUCAUGAUCUGAAAUUUUUUCGAGGACUUCAAUGUUCCCCUUUGCUGCCGCCUUGUACACGUCCGCAUCCAUGCCCGUGAUGACAGUGUGGCUGCCAUCUCCAUUUGCAGCUUGGUUGGAGGUCUGGGCUGGGCUAGGAUCUUGAGCUACAACCUGAUUGGAAUUAGAAUCCAUGUCAAGAUUCUGAAAUUCUUCACUGAGGUUCGAAGCACCCAGCUGAUCCAUUAAGUGUUUAUGGGUUGGAAGUGAAGUGAUCGACUCCACUCAUCACGUUUAUGGCUUGGAAGGUGGUCCCCCUUCGCUGCAAAUGAAGUUGUGUGGUGGAGACGUCCUUGCUC